AAGUAAUAUAGCUUUGGGCUUUUUUUGCAAAUAGCCCCCUUACAAAAAAAAUUUUUAAAUUUGGCCCUGUCAAAAAUUUAUUUGCAAAAAUGGUCCUGGCCCCGCCACGCAAGCGCCACGUCAGCGCCACGCGGGCGGGGCUGGGCCAGAUGGUUAAGUUGAAUACGGUGAACCAUUCACCGUGUUCAAUACAAAGUUUUUGUAUUGGACACGGUAAAUGAUUCACCGUGUCCAAUACAAAAUAGCUAUUUGUAUUGGACACGGUGAACCAUUCACCGUGUCCAAUACAAAUAAUUAGACACGGUGAAUGAUUCACCGUGUCCAAUACAAAUACCCCAAUACAAAUAAUUAGACACGGCUAAGUUGGAGGUAUUUGUAUUAGACACGGCGGUGAAUGGUUCACCGUGUUCAACUUAAACAUCUGGGCCCGCCUUGCCCGCGUGGCGCUGAUAUGGCGCUGGCGUGGCAGGGGUAGGACCAUUUUUGCAAAUAAUUUUUAAACGGAGCUAUUUUUACAAAUAAAAUUUGUCAGGGGGCUAUUUGCAAAAAAAGCCCUAUAGCUUUUGUAUUCUCCAUGUGCAACGGUCGUUGCGAAUGGAUUGUACACCUAACAAACCGAAACGAGACACAUCCAUGAAAGGAGAACGUAAUAAUAAAUGCAUUUGGAUCGUUUAAUUACGAUAGGGCAGGGGAAAAAAGAUUAAAAUAUGUUAGAGCUCUUUGAACUUUAGUUUGAUGACACUUGGAUUUUUUUUUUUUUUUUUGAGUAUAUUUUAAGAACGGAAUAAUUUCUUAUAAUAUAGAGGGAAUAAUAUCGAGGCCCAAUACUUAUGAGAAUUAAGGCCUCGAAUUUUUGGGCCUAAGGCCCAACUCGAGCUUAUUCCCCGGUGCCCCAUAUAGUUACAAUAAAAUCCAACCGGGCCCGACCUGGCCCGGCUCACACUAAAAUAGGCCCCACUCAGGUAAUUUAAACCGAUCUAUUGUGGCCCAUUACCAGUAUUAAAGUGAAAUCAUAGUAUUAUAAACACUAGUGACUCAUACACAAUAGGGGCGGCCGUUUCGCAUACCAAUUACUCUCUUCAAUUUUUGGGUUUCAUUUUAAGAUUAUAAUCCUACAACUCACGUGAUCCAAAAGCCUAUUUUUCUUUUUUUACUACUUGUUUUAUCGUUUUUGUAACUAAAAAUAAAAAGGAUAUUUGUAGACCCUACAACUAUUGGACGAGGAAUUAUUAUAAAAAUUACGAUCCUUGCAGACCAAGUUUUUUUGUUAUUAUUUAAAAAUACUCAUUCAGAAAGCAAAUAAAACUGAAUAAAGAGCUCUAAACUAAUAGCAUGGAAGAGAUAGGAAAUCCACCAAUACCAUUCAUGAUUCGUAACAACAUCAUCGAGAAACUACAGCUCAUUAGGCGACUAUUGCUAUUAUGGGCACAACCCACCACCCCCGCCACAGCCAUUUCCUCACCAAAAAGCUCAUCACUUGGGCUCUCUAUGCUCUCAUCCCCUUAGCCCUCCUCCAUUUCUACCUCUUCCCCCUCUUCUCCCCCCAUCACCCAUCCCCAUCUCCUCAUCAUUCCCAAAACUCCACCCAUACGAUCUCCUCUUCCCACCAAGGUCUAUAUAUUUAUAUAUAUGCAUUGGCAUUACUGUCCAUCACACUCUAUUAGAUGGCCAUUAAUUGUUAAUUUUCUCUGAGAAUUAAUUUGCUUCCUGCUGCGCGCCGAGUAACAGCAACAGGUGCUGCGAGAACCGAUGAGUUCGGAUUAAUCCGGAGGAGGCAGCGGUGCGACUACGCGGAGGGGCGAUGGGUUCGGGACGCGGCGGAGCCGCUGUACAACGGCACGAGCUGCCGCACCAUCAAGGACAGCCGGAACUGCAUGGCGCACGGCCGCCCCGACACCGGCUAUCUGUACUGGCGCUGGAAGCCGAAGCACUGCACCCUCCCGCCGUUCGACCCCGCGUCAUUUCUUACACUACUGAAGAACACGUGCGUGCUAAGUGAACGACCGCUAGCUCUUUUCCUGUUAUAAAAGCUUAUUUACAAAUUAGUUAUCAUUAUAGAGAGAAUGAUGAUGUGUUCUCAAUUGAUGAUAUUUAUAUGGGCAGGCACUUAGCGAUGAUCGGCGACUCCUUGGCGCGGAACCAACUGGAGUCGCUGCUCUGCCUCCUCGCCACCUCGUCGCGCCCCGAGCUCGUCUACAGCGACGGCGAGGUCGACAAGUUCCCGCGGUGGGUCUUCCUCGAGUACAACGCCACCGUGUCGGCGUUCUGGUCGCCGUUUCUUGUUAGAGGCGUCGAGAGAACCGGCGCGGCAGGGCAGACUCACAACGUGCUGUACCUCGACUCCGCCGACGCGCGGUGGGCGUCGGAAUUGGAUAAGAUGGACACGGUGCUGUUCUGUGUCGGGCACUGGUUCGUGUACCCGUCCGUGUACUACGAGGGCGAUGCCGUGCUGGGCACCCACCAUUUCCCGGAACUCAAUCACACCGAGAUCGGAUUCUUCGCCGCGUUCCGGAUGGCGAUCCGGAGGGCUCUUCGAGAGGUCGUGGACGCGCAGAACCGCAGCGGCGGCGGUGCCGAGAAGGAGAAGUUGGUGGUGGUGACGACGUUCCCGCCGGCGCACUUCGAGGGGGAGUGGGACAAGGCCGGAGCCUGCCCGAAGAAGGAGCCGUUCGGAGAAGGGGAGAAGGAGAUGGACUACACGGACAAGGAGAUGCGGAAAAUUGAGGUGGAGGAGGUGGCGGCGGCGUCGGCGGCGGUGGCGGAGAGGGGUGCAAUGCUGAAAAUCAAGGUGCUGGACGUGACAGAGUUGGCCUGGAUGCGCCCGGACGGGCACCCGGGCCCGUACAUGCAUCCGAAUCCAUUCGCCGAGGGGCCGAAGAAAAGGGUGCAGAACGAUUGCGUGCACUGGUGCCUGCCUGGGCCGGUUGAUGCGUGGAACGAGAUAUUGCUCGAAAGGAUGAAGAAAUGGAAAGAAGAGUAAGAAUUAUUAAACGGGAAAUUUUUUCAUUGCAUUUUUAUGUUUUUUUUGGGGUGUUCCUCCUUUGCUUCGUUUUGCUUUUAAUUUAGAAUUAUUAUUUGUUGAGAGGGAUAGAGUUUGGGAUGCAUGCUUCAUGAGGGUUGACAGGGAAAGAUUGAGGAAUUAUCAUGCAGGCCUCUGUUGAAAGGUGAAUUUAAUUAUUUGGGUCAAAAGGAGAAGGUCAUUAAUUUUGCUUUUCGAGCUAUGCGUUGAGGUUAUUUGAGAUGAGCAGUUAUUAUUAUUAUUAUUAAGAAGAGGAGGGAGAGAAAAAAAUUGAUAUGAUUUAGAGUUAUAUAAUUUAAUUUAGUCGACUAAAUGUUGAUGAAUCGAAACAUUUAGUCAAUUAAAUUUUUUUUGUGGUACUAAAUUGUGUAAUUUCAAAAGUUAGAACUAGAUAUUACAGCAAAUUAAAUUUGAGGACUAAAGUGUCACCGGAUAGAUAGUUUAAGGACCAAAUGUGUAAUUUACCCUCUGUUUUUUUAGGUAAAGAUGUACAGAACUAACUUGGACUACUGUCCAUUUGAUUUAGCUACUCAAUUUUUUAAAAUUUUAAUUUUAUUAUCUAAAUUUUUAAUUUAUUUAAUUUAAGUCAAUCAAUGAUAUUUUAAUUUUAAAAUUUGAAUGCGAUGUUUAUUUUUACAAGCCUAGUUAAUAUACUUUAUACAAUUUUCGCAACCAUAAAUACAUUAAAAUAAGUAAUUAGCUUAUAUUUUAAAUUGUAAGAUUAAGCAGUAAAAUCAAAAUUUUGAAAUAUUGAAUAGCUAAAUCAAAAUAUUUCAUAGCUCAUAAAAAUUUUGUGCGUAUUUAAAUUUUUUUUAUUAUGAGUUGGUCUCGUGAUAUUUAUUAGGCGUUCUCAUGUUAGAAGCUGUUUGGCAGAGAUGGAGAGUUUCGUUGUGUUUUCCAGUGUGUGACCUUCAAAGGCAGCAGCAGAGUGCUAAAUUGUGGUUCUAAUUUUCUACGAAAACAAAAGGGAUCUUGCACCAUCAGCCAAAAUCAAUUUGAAUACAACAGAGUAUUCAUUUUGGAUUAUUUUGUAUCUAAUUCCUCAGAUGCAAGUCGUUUUUCUUUCUGAAUUUAGGGUAUGUUUGUUUCAUCGAAACUGGACUUUGGGUUGAACUGGAGCUCGGUGAAAACUACUUCUUUCCCGCUGUUUGUUUCGUGAUUAUGGAAGUUAAAUUAAGGCCUAGAGCCCAAUACAGGGAGUCCCUAGUUACAAUAGCAAAUACUUGGGCCUGUGGCCCAACUCGACCUUAUUCCUGGGUGCACUGUUUAGUAAGAAAGCCAAUCUGGCCCGGCCUACGGAACAAAAGGCCCAAAUCACGUAAUUUAAACCAAUCUAUAUUUUACGGCCCAAAUCAUAGUAUUGUUAUUAACAUUAGUGGUUCAAUUACAUAAUAGUGGUGACCUUUUCGCAUAGUAAUACUUUUAUUUCAUUUUUUAGAUAAUAAUAAUCCGACAACUUACCUGAUCCAAAAAGUCUAUUUUUCCAGUUUGGGUUAUCAUUUUUGUAUGUGACUAAAAAUAAAAAAGAGGAUAGUUAAUCUUACAAUUAUUGGGUGAAGAAUUAUAAAAAUUAGAAUCCUUUUGAUUGCAGACUUAGUAAUUUUUAACUUAAAAAUGCUUGUUCAAAAAGCAAAUAAAAUUGAAUUAAGAGUUCCAAACUAGUAGGAUUUGGAUAAAGAGAUGGGAAGUUGGUGCAUACGAGGGAAGAGAAGGAAAACACAGGCAUCACGUGCUAAGGACCACCGACACAACUUCAUGUCUCUCUUCUUUUCUUUUUUCAUUUUUUUGGUCCGUUCUGUUUUGUCAUGGUCCUUUUGACUCAUAAUAACAAUCAUGCUCUCCUACUAGCCCACCUUGAAGAUUCUCCUCCUAUGAGGCUAUAAUCCCUCCCCACCACUAGGAUCCAUCCCAUCCCUCCCUCCCUCCGCAGUCCCAGCCGAAGAAACCCAGAACAAUCUCCUCAACAAACUACAGCUAAUUAAUCAGUCCACCGAUCAAUCUACAGUUAUUAUGGGCAUAACCCACAACCCCCACCACAACCAUUUCCCCACCAAGAAACUCAUCACUUGGGCUCUCUAUGCCCUCAUCCCCUUAGCCCUCCUCCAUUUCUACCUCUUCCCCCUCUCCUUCCCCCACCGCCAAUCCCCAUCUCCCCCUCAUUCCCAAACCCCCGUCCACACAAUCUCCUCCUCCCAUCAAGGUCUAUAAAUAAAUAAAUAAAUAAAUAUCGACAUUAAUUAAUUUCCAUCGCGUUCAUUUUCUCUAAUAAUUAUUUUGAUUCCUGCUGCCGAGCAACAGCAACAGGUGAGCGGAGGCUGCGGUGCGACUACGGGGAGGGGCGAUGGGUUCGGGACGCGGCGGGGCCGCUGUACAACGGCACGAGGUGCGGCACCAUCAAGGACGGCCAGAACUGCAUGGCGCACGGCCGCCCCGACACCGGCUAUCUGCACUGGCGCUGGGAGCCGAAGCGCUGCGCCCUCCCGCGGUUCGACCCCGCGUCAUUUCUUACGCUGCUGAAGGGCAGGCACCUGGCGAUGGUCGGCGACUCCAUGGCGCGGAACCAAAUGGAGUCGCUGCUCUGCCUCCUCGCCACCGCGUCGCGCCCCGAGCUCGUCUACCGCGACGGCGACGAGAACAAGUUCCGGCGGUGGGUCUUCCGCGAGCACAACGCCACCGUGUCGGUCUUCUGGUCGCCGUUUCUCGUCCGAGGCGUCGAGAAAUCGGCGGCGGCGGCGGCGGCGGCGGGGCUGGACCACAACGAGCUGCACCUCGACUCGGCCGACGCGCGGUGGGCGUCGGAGUUGGAUAGGAUGGACGCGGUGCUGUUCUCCGUCGGGCACUGGUUCCUGCACCCGGCCGUGUACUACGAGGGCGACGCCCUGCUGGGCUGCCACCACUGCCCGGGGCUCAACCACACCGAGAUCGGAUUCUUCGGCGUGUUCCGGAAGGCGAUUCGGAGGGCUCUUCGGGAGGUCGUGGACGCAGAGAAGGAGAAGCUCGUGGUGGUGACGACGUUCUCGCCGGCGCACUUCGAGGGGGAGUGGGACAAGGCCGGGGCGUGCCCGAAGAAGGAGCCGUUCGGAGAAGGGGAGAGGGAGAUGGAGUACACGGACAAGGAGAUGCGGAAAAUUGAGCUGGAGGAGGCGGCUGCGGCGGCGGCGGAGGCCAUGGCGAAGGGUGGAAGGGUGAAAAUAGAGGCGUUGGACGUGACGGAGUUGGCCCUGAUGCGGCCCGACGGGCACCCGGGCCCGUACAUGUAUCCGAAUCCGUUCGCCGAGGGGCCGAAGGAGAGGGUGCAGAACGAUUGCGUGCACUGGUGCCUGCCCGGGCCGAUCGAUGCAUGGAACGAGAUAUUGCUCGAUAUGAUGAAGAGAUGGAAAGAAGAGUGAGAAUUAUUGAACGGAAAAUUUUGUUGUGUGUAUCAAUGUUUUUCUUUUCUUUUCUUUUCUUUCUUUUCUUUUUUUUUUUCUCCUUUGUUUGAUUUUGUUUUUAGUUUAGGAUACUGUCGAGAGGGAUAAAGAGGUUGGUAUGUUUCAUGAGGGUUGAUAGGGAAAGAUUGAGGAAAUCUAGCAACGUUGAAAGUUGGGAACAGGUGAAAUCUGUAGGUUCCUCUUGGAAAGUGAAUUUAUUCGUACCAAAAUGGAGAAGGUCAUUAAUUUUUGUUCUCGAGCUAUGUGUUGAGAGUUUUUAUUAACCCCGAGUUUUUGAGAGUUUAGGAAGAAAAAGAAUGAGAAGGGAAAGGUUGAGAGAUUUAGUAAAGCCUCACGCUUGGUGGGGCUUCAGGCAGAAAACAGUCCAUAGAUUACAAAUGUUAUACUUACCUCACAUUAUCAGUAAUAAACUAAUCAUUUCUUUUUUUUGAGAGAGAGAGAACUACGACAAAAAUAUUUUUCUAUUAAUCAUGAUGAAUAGGUGAGCCUAAGGAGAACAAUUUCAUUGGUAGGGAAUACCACAUCAAUUAUGUGUAUUAUAGAUUUUUUUUCUCAGGCAGAUAGUAAUAAAGUAAUAACAAUAAUUUUCGGCCUGCAUUUUCUUUUGCGGUGACUAAAUGUGUCAAAAAUUUUGAAAAUAUUUUAGAUCAACAAUUUGAUUUCGUCUCCAUGAGAUCUUUAACAAAUAAUGUUACUAAGAAUUUGCACCAAAGCAAUUUUAUUUAACAAUAACAUAAUAAUAUAAUAAUUUGUAUUAUAUUAAAAUAAUAUUAGAGAUUUACUUCUGUAAUUUUCUUUUAUUGAAAGGAAAAAAUAAUUAUAUAAAAUAACUUAUUUGCUCAGAGGUGGGCAGCUGGAAGACACCCAACACAAUGAAAAACUCUACUUGUUUAAAGUUUAAUCUAAGUUAAUUAAUUAAUGCUUGGAGUGGGUAAAUAACUUGCCCACCUGGUAGUCCUGGGAGAGCAAUUUAGGGAUGUGCUUUAAUGAAGUACUUAAAAUAUAUCAAAUUUCUACAAAAGUUACAAAUUUAAGCAUAUACUUAAAUUUCUUCCUCUCAGUUAAACAAAUUUUAAAUUUGUUUAUUAUAUUGGACCUCUAGGAAAAGUGCUAUAACCAAUUAAAUUGGAGUUUUUUUUUUUUUUUUUUGAGAAAUAGAUAGCAAGCUAUCUGUUUCAUUCAUUAGGUAAAAUGAACUAAGCGUACAAUAUGAAGACAGCCAGGGCCUCCCAGAGAACAGGCGAAAAGAGAUAAACAAAACAAAAGAGAAAAAAAAGGGGGGUGUUAGUAAGGAGAGGAGGGAUUGGAGCUGAAGCCCAAUCGUCACGUCACCGUAAAGAGUUCCAGUCGUUUAGCAAAAGUUUGACACGUUCGAGAGACCGGGUAACGUUGUGCGUAAUUCCGCAAAAAAUGACGUUAUUUUUGUCUGUCCAGAUCACCCACCAAGUCGCAGCCAAGAGGAUCAGACCUUGCGUCCUCGAGGAGUGAACCGGGAUGCCGCACGAUCCGUUCCAAAGAGUGUUGACGUGACGUCCAAUAUAGCUAGAGAACAAUAGUUUUAACAGUACACGUCCAAUAUAGCUAAAAAAAGUUGUUUAAUAAGCCAACCAAAUAAAGAAGCAAGUCCUACCAGUACUUCAAAUGUGAUAUUUUACCAAAAUUAAAACAAACCAAAUUUAUUAAAUUUUAUCACUAAUUAUAUUACUAAUAUAAAAUUUAACUUUACUAAUAAAAUCAUCUCUUAACCAAGGCCUCAAGAUUACUGAUUUUUUCUAAGAGAAAAAGAUAGCAAACUAUCUGUUUCCUUUAUUUUUUUUUAAAUCGAACUCAACUAGCCAUAUAAAAUAAGUAAGCUUCAAAAUUAAAAUUUUGAGUGUUAAUCACCAAGUUUUAAGCCCAGAGUAUUAGAAUGUUUAGGGCCUGUUUGGUUUAAAGUAAAACUAUGAAAAAAAAAAAUUUCGGUGGAAAAAANAUUAUAUAGAAAAGAAAGAGAGGGGGGAGAGAGAGAGGUCCACCGGCGGUCCUUGCCCUUCCAAACGCCGCGAUUUUUGGGCGUCUAGUUUCGAGCGAAAAACGAAAACGACACUUUUCCUCACAAUGCGUAAAAGAAAUUUUUCGAAAAUUUUUUUUGUGAGCAAACAAACUGCGGAAAGUUAUUUUCCACCGAAAAAUUUUUUCAAGAUGAUUUUUUUUUUUUUAGAGAUAGAUAGUAUACUACCGCUUAAUUUAUUUUAUUUACAAAUAAACUUAAAUAGAAAUAUGAAUUAAUUAGAAUUUGAACUUAAAAUUUUAGAUACCAAUCAUCAAGCACUUUGCGUAGGACGAAACAAACGCACCCUUAAGCUCCGUUUGGAUACCUCUAAAAACGUAGCAUAGUUAAACUAUGCUACGCCGGUAGAAAAAUAAUUCUAUGAAGCAUUUGGAAGAAAAAAAAAAUAACGUAAUUUUUGGAGUAUAGUUAUACUAUACUCCAAAAAAUAGAGUAAAUUUACAAUCCACUUUAACCAAAGGAAAAAAAUUUCAUCAUUUUGAGCUCCCAAAGAUGUAUCAAUUUCUAAAUUUUAAAUUUCAGCAUAAAAUUUUAAAUUUCAAAAUUUAAAAUUUUAAAAUUCAAUUUUAAUUUUGAUUUCAAAUUUCAAAUUUCAAAUUUUAAAUUUCAAAUUUCAAAUUUCAAAAAGUUCAAAUAUCAAAUUUCAAAUUUCAACUUUCAAAUUUCAAAUUUCAAAUUUUAAAUUUUAAAUUUUAAAUUUCAAAAAGUUCAAAUAUCAAAUUUCAAAUUUCAACUUUCAAAUUUCAACUUUCAAAUUUUAAAUUUCAAAUUUCAAAAAGUUUAAAUUUCAAACUUCAAACUUCAAACUUCAAACUUCAAAUUUCAAAUUUCAAAUUUCAAAUUUCAAAUUUCAAAUUUCAAAAAGUUCAAACUUCAAAUUUCAUCUUUCAAAUUUCAACUUUCAAAUUUCAAAUUUCAAAAAGUUCAAAUUUCAACUUUCAAAUUUCAAAUUUCAAAAAGUUCAAAUUUCAUAUUUCAUAUUUCAAAUUUCAAAUUUCAAANNNNNNNNNNNNNNNNNNNNNNNNNUUUCAUUUUAAAUUUCAAAUUUCAAAUUUUUAAUUUAUUUUUAGAUUUUUAAUAUUCAAUUUUAAAAAUUUUAAUUUAACUUUAAAUUUUAAUUUAAUUUUUUAUUUAAUUAUUGUAAUUAUAAAUUUUAUGAAAAUAUUUAAAAUUUAAAAUUUUAUUAUAUAUUUUUUAAAAUUUCAAAUUCAAAUUUCAAUUACAAAUUUUAAAACUAAAUUUUAAUUUAAUUUUUUAAAAUUUUUAAAAUUUAAUUUAUAUAUUUUUGAAUUUUGAAUUUUAAUUUUUAAAAUUUUAUUUUUAAAUUUUGAAUUUUGAAUUUUGAAUUUUAAAUUUUAAAAUUUUAGAAAUUUAAUUGUUAUAAAUACUAUGGAAUUAUAUUAUCUGUAUCAAAACAGCUUAAAAAUGAAGCUGUGGAAUUUUUUUGUAGUUACAGAAUUCCGUAUUUUAUUUAGACCAAAACCGAAUAAAAAUUCUAUGGAGUUUUUUAACUAUGCAUCCAAACAGAGCCUUAGUCUCAAAGUUGCCGACAAAUAUUUUUAAUCAAAUUAUUGGAAGCGUGGUCACAAGCUUCCUUGUGCCCCGAAUGGGGAUGUAGUUGUUUGCACGACCUGCGCCUGUAAAUUAUUUUGGACUCUUGGCCACGUGUAGGAGCAUCCCUGUGAAUUAAUCACUUGCAACCGUGUCCGUGUAACCUUGAAAAUUGCUCCGGAAAUUGUGCUAAGUCACUGCCUAUUUCUCUUUUUUUUCAACACUAUUCAAUUAUUAGUAAUAGUUCCUAUUUUUUUUAAAAAAAAAAUAGAUAGCAUGCUAUUCGUUUUGUUUAUUUUAUUUAAAAAUAAAUUUAACUGUAAAUGUGAAUCAACUAGAAUUCGAAUUUGGUAUCUCGGAUACCAACCACCAAGUCUUUUGUUGACGAUCGGUAAUGGUUCCAGUAUUAGUUGGUCUCCUCAGUUUAAAGGAGUGCUCAUAUUUUAAUUUUUAGAUUUUUAAUUUGUUAUAAUAUUUUGGUUUGAAUUUUAAAAUUAUUGUAAUUAAAAUUUAAUUAAUUAUUAAAUUAUAUUAUUUAAUUUAUUUUACUAAAUAUUAGUAUAUCACCAAAAAAAAAUGAUGUGAUAGGAUUGUCAAUUGUGAUUGAUAAUACAUUAACAAUUAAAAUAUAAAUUAUUUUUAUAUUAGCAACACGUUAAUAGUUAAUCAAUUAAAUUUAUUUAUGUUACUUAAUUGAAUAAUUUUAAAAGUUCAAACAAAGAAUUAUAAUAAAUUAAAAUUUAAGCGUGGUUCUGAUUUUCUUCGAAAACAAAAUGGAUCUUGCACCAUUAACCGAAGUCAAAUUGAAUAUAACAGAGUAUUCAUUUUGGAUUAUUUUGUAUCUAAUUCCACAAAUGCAGGCGUUUUUUUUUUUUUUUUUUUUCGAAAUUUGAGUAUACAUAAAGAUUUUAGUCUAAUCUUUUUAUGUCAAUAAAGCCACAAAAUGUCUUUAUUUCUCCAGGAGAUUGGACUUCAUAGUUUUGUCCUGUAAUGAAUUGGUCACAGGAUUACUCAUUUAUUCACCAUUUUUUUUCUUUCAUGAUCAAAUAUUGGAGCUUCUCUCUCUCUCUCUCUUUUUCUUUGUAGAAACUUAAAUCAUUGACAUGCACCUAAGAUCUCCACCAAACUGUGGACCCAUCACUUUAAUUAAGACCUGAAUCAAAUUCUUUCGUAUCAUUACUCUAAUUAAUCCCAUUUGAUGCCAAAACUCUAGAAUAUAAUAAUUACAGGUGCACCCAAUUGAGAAUUCUACUAUAUAAUAAUUACAGGUGCACCCAAUUUAUAGCAAGAGCACAAGAAACCCUGAAUUUGGCUAGUUCACUAGAAUAUAUUAGUAGCUUCUACCAAGGCCUGGUGAGAGAUCACUUUUCAUAUUGAGUUUGGUUGAAUCCUACAAUUAAUUACCUUCACAUCAUUUGCCAUGUAGGAUAAAGCAUAAUCUAUUAAUUAGCAUGCAUCCUCCAAGUAGUCCUUCCUAGUUGAGCAAACAAAAGAUGGAGAGCAAGCACACAUCAGAGUCCUCUAAUAUUGGAACAUCUUUUCUCUCUGCUGUGUCAUCAUCUCACAUGAAUACCACACAGUCCAAGAACAUGGUAGCUUCACAAUCUCUAUACUAUUCUCUUGAGUGGAAUGCGAUCCAAAAGAAAAUCGGAUCCUUCCUGUUUUUGUUGCUUCUACUCUCCACCAUCUUCCUUUUGUUCAUCUUGUAUUCUUCAAACACUUACAAUAUCACAACCAAAUAUGCCCUUAAAGAGAUCUCCAUUUCAGAGAAUUUGUCUCCUCCUGCAACCAAGGAAGCACCCAUCAAUGAGUCUUCACUCGCCACUACUCAAAGAUCACCCGCAACUGGUAAAAAGCAUUAAUUAUCUUUGUUGUUAAUUUACAUUAAGCAUUUUUAGUCUGUUUGGCUCCACUUCUGCUUCCACUUCCUACAGCAACAACAAAUUCUUGUUGAGUUUUUGAUAAGAAAUAUUUGGUGCAUUCGUUGUUACCGGAAGUAAAAUAAAUUAAAUUUCAAGCCUCAAAAGUAUAGUAUAAAUUAUGAAAGAAUCAAUUUUAGGCACUUUGUUGUACUAGUUCAGUUCUAUUAACAACACUAUUAAGACACCACCUAUAUCUUAGAGCAGCGCCAAAUAGACUCUUUAUAUUAAUGUUUUUUGAGUAAUAAACAUAUUGCAUUUGAAUUUAUGCAUGGCGCGGAAGAUGUGUGUGAUUUGUCCGUGGGAAAGUGGGUAAAGGAACCAAGAGGGCCUCUAUACAACAACGCGACGUGCCGAACCCUGCCAGAUUUGAAGGACUGCAUGAAGUACGGGAAGGAGCCGAGCUACUUGUACUGGAGAUGGAAGCCCGAGGGGUGCGAGCUCCCGAGGUUCGAUCCCGAAACGUUCCUCGCCGUCGUCCGGGGCAAGAAGAUGGGCUUCAUCGGAGACUCACUCGCCCGGAACCAAAUGGAGUCCCUGCUGUGCCUUUUAUCUCAGGUUACCACUCACAACAUCCUAGUAAUGUGCUAACAAAUUUAAGGAAGAUCAUUGAUUCUGUACUUGUCUAAAAGAUUGCAUAGCUAACUCAAAAUGAUUUAUAGUUCAGAUAAGUUACAUACGCGUUUUCCUGAAAAUAUUGUAAUAUGCAAAUGAAUUGUGUUUUCUCUCUACAGUUCAGUGAGCUUGUAGCUAAUUCUUGUAUUUUUCUUCAACGAAAUCUACUUGUUACAUAGGCAGAGACUCCAAUCGACGUAUACAAGGACGACGGCGACAAAUUCCGAACAUGGCACUUCCCCUCCCACAACUUCACGCUCAUGGUCAUGUGGACCGAAUUCUUCGUCGAAGGAAUACAAAGGAUAGUAAACGGAACGGCUACUGCGUCAUAUGACAUACACUUAGACAAGAUCAACACAAACUGGACCUCGCGACUUCCGGGUCUAGACUUCGCGGUCAUCUCCGGCGGUAACUGGUUCUUCCGAACCCACUACUUGUACGAAGGCGGAAAAACCGUCGGCUGCCUCAACUGCGGAGAGGACAACGUAAGAGACCUCGGCGUCGAGUUCGCCGUCCGAAGUGUAGUUCGAAAGGCGCUCGAGUUCGUUAGUACGUGCGCGGAGUGCGACGGGCUUGUAACAUUCCUGAGGACAUACACACCAUCACACUUUGAGAAUGGCUCAUGGUUCACUGGGGGGUACUGCAACAGAACUCAACCCUUGAGUGAGGAUGAGUUAGGAUUGCGCGGUUUUGAUUUGAAAUUGAGGAAGAUUCAAUUUGAAGAGAUGGAGAGAGCUAGGAGGACUAAGGUUAAUGGGCCGGGCCGAGAAUUCGGGCUUUUGGAUGUGACGAAGGCGAUGAUGCUUCGGGCCGACGGGCAUCCGGGGGCCCAUUAUGAUAAAAGGUGGGUUAGGAAUGCUAAUGAUUGCUUGCAUUGGUGCUUGCCCGGGCCUGUUGAUAUGUGGAACGAGGUGCUAUUGGAAACUCUAAAAAAGCAUUCGCCACUCUAGUGGUACAAUUUUAGUUAUUUGUUUGGAUUAAACAUAUAAGGUGCAUUUGGUUCAGAUUAUCCCGACAGGUAAUUCUGUUAGAAUUAUUGUAUUUGGUUCAUCCGGUAUGUAAUCUGCUCGGUAUUACAGGAUUACAAAAGGUAUAAGAUUAUACUUAAAAUAUUACUGAGAGGAUGGGUGUGUAUCUUGGAUUACUAAAGAUGGCUAAUCUUGCAUGUUAUAUAAAAUUAUAAAUUUACCCUUCCAAUUUCUGAAAGCCAUUUAAUACGUCAUUUUAAAAAUUUUACUUUAAAAUUUUGAAUUGUCAAAUCUUAAAUUUUAAAUUUUGAAUUUGAAUUUUAAGUUUUAAAUUUUAAAUUUUAAAAUUUGAAUUUAAAUUUAAAUUUUUAAUUUUUAAAUUUUGAAUUUUAAAACUAAAAUUAAAAUUUUCAUUUUUAAAAUUUUAAAUUUAAAUAUAAAAUUUUUAAUUUUACAUUUUACAUUUUAAAUUUUAAAAUUCAAAUUUGUAUUUUAAAUUCUAAAUUUUAUAUUUAGAUUUUAAAUUUAAAUUUAAAUUUAAAUUUAGAUUUUAGAUUUUAAAUUUAUAAAUUUAAUAUUUAUAUUUUAAAUUAAAAUAUUAAAAGAUAUAUUUUUGUUCCAAUUUAAAGUUUAAAAUUUAGAAUUUAAAAUUUAAAAUAGUUAUAAUAAAAUUUAGCCAAAAAAUAUUAUUUGUAAAUAAUAAAAAAAAUUGUCAAAUAUGGCUAAUAAGGGCAGUUUUGAAAUAGGCUAUAUUUUAUUGUUAAAAUUAUUGAAUUUUAUAGACUAAACCAAAUAGAGUAAUGCUAUAAACACUGUAAUACAGCAUUAUAUUACUGCAUUAAACCAAACGCGCUAAUACACCAUUAGUAGUAAUCUCAUUUAGAAAUUCAAGAAAUCUAGAUAUAUCGAACUACUCUGUAAUAUUACGCAACUUGAACCAAACACGCCCUAGAAAUAUUUGCACAAAUGAAUAGCUUUUGUACGUGAUUUUCCUUUUCUUUUUUCCUUUUAAACUACCAUAACAUGGUAACAUCCAAAAGCUCAAUCAUAAACUAAGAAUAAUUAAAAGAAAAAGCCUUUACAAAAUAUGUAUAUCCAGGACUUCGCCUGAUCACUAUUCACUAAUGCACACAAUCAUUAGCAACCUGAAAAACAAACCUGAAACUGGUCUUUAAAAUUAAUUCCCAGUCCUAACCAGCAACCUGGAAAAACAACCUGAAAAAGAGCACCAAAACCCCGAAUCCGAGAAGAAAGAGACACCCAAUUCCCAAGACUGACAGGUAGUCUUCUAUGUCGGCCAAUCGGCGGCGACGGCGGGAUUCGUUGGUACGGUUACUGCGAGGGACGUAAGGGACGAAAGGAUCCUUCACGAUGACGAUCUCCAGGAGCUGCGGCUGUCGCUGUGGCUGCAGCUGUGGUGGCCGCGGCGGCUUCUCUGUCCUCCUCAGAGGCCUCACAGUCGACGGCACGCGGUCGGAGGAGACUAAAACCACCCUGUCCAUCUUGCAGAGAGCUUCUUGAUUGCAACGAGACAAAGUUUGAACGUUGAUGGAAGAACCAUGGGGCAUGCAUGCAUAUAUAUAUAUAUACACACACACAUAGAGAGAGCAAUCUUUAGCUAUUCAAGUUACUUAGCGACACGGAUUAGGAAAUAGGAAAAGCUUGUUUCCACUAGGAGUAGGAAUAAGAAGAGAGGGAGAAAAUCAAAAAAAAAAAAAAAAAAGUCGUUUAUGCAAAUCAUAUUUAAAUGCCUAACUAUAAAUUAAUAUACCUUUAUCUUUUUUAAAUAAAAAAAAGAAAAAACAAAGAUUUAAAAUAUUUAAGAGAUAUAGGAUAAACAAAGCCGUUACCUACUUGGAGUAUUAUUCUAUACAGACACGUAACUAUUAAUUCGAAUAGUAGGGAAAAAAAAUAAAAGAAAAAUCGAGAUUGAACAAAUUAACAAGCGAGAUCAGACCCAUCAAACUAGUAAAAUGAUAAAAUUAAAUGCAUGCAACACACUAGCAUAAGGGAUGAACACGUAAACUUCAAUUUGAAGAGAGAAAUAAAACCCUCUACUUUGUGUUGUUAAUGAAACCAAGCACAAUAGCAUUCCUGAGUUAACUUGGACUGUAGCAAAUAAACACCAAAUUAGCUCAAACUAUGGCAAUUAAAAUAGCACGAACAUAGAUUUGCACUGACCGGAAUGUAUUAUUUUGAUGUCAAAUAAAUCUAUCUAUUUUACAGUUACGACAGGAUAAUCUUGUCACCCUUUUGAAUAUCAGGAGAUGAACAUGACCCCCAGCAAACUAAGAUGCGAGUAUGAUACAACGUGAAAUAUGAAAGUUAUGCGACGGAUUGAUCGCUAAAAUAUGUUGCAUUACAUUGACUAUCACAAGGUGAUUCUGGUAGUUGUUUGCGCAUUAAGUACUUGCGCCGCUGAACACUCAGCCAAACUAAGAUACUGUCAGUUCGGACAACCUCGUAACCAGCUUUUUUAUACAUCUUAAAUGGAACUUUGUCGACCAUUCUGCAGUGGAGAUAUACAGUUCUUUUAGCUCCCAUUCGGAUUAUCAGCUCCUCACACGCUUUCAGGAGUUGCUUUCCAAUUCCCCUCCUAGAAUACAAAAAGAAUAUCAGCAUAUAAACCAUAAUGCGGGAAAUCCCUAGUUGAAUGUCGGAUGAGCUAAUAUGCAGCACGUGUGGCCUUUGGAUCUGCGUCGAGUAAUACAUCUCUAAUUUUACAACAAUGAUGAAGAGAACAGUUGUCUGUACAAUGAACACAAUACGAGUUUAUAAUCAUCAGGGACAUGUUUCAGAACUAAAGAGGGGAAGGGGGAGCAGGGGAAAGGAAAGGUCUUCCUCUGUGAACGAGUCGAUACAAAAAAUUUACGGCGAAUUGCAAAUGCCACAGUUCGGUUCAACACAAAGGAUAAUGUGGGUGUUAAUACUGGGGGUCCUGUUUCUAAUUUUCUAUGCCUCUUUUGAUUUGACUAAUUUUGGCUAAAAGCUGCUACAUUACCUGAAUGGGUCUAAUGGUUGCAACUAUCUACCUAUUAAUCAUCAGGGCAAAUUUCAAAUCUUAUUUGAUGCGCAAAUUUUUUGGCCAAGCCCCCUUAUUCAUGUCAUAUUCAAGUUAUCUUGCAACACAAAACAAAUCUUAAGAUACGACUUCACGGCCUCCGCCAUUCCUGUAGAAUAUUAUCAUUUCAAGCUAUUCCUUUCUUAGCUCGGCGUUGUCAUGUUUCUAUUUUCUGCAAGAAUACAAUCCCGGCAAUAGUUUUCUAGUAGCUUGUGAAUUGUGACCGGGAGAUUCCAAGUGAUGGAGAACAAAUUCAAAAUUCAAUUAGCAACAAUAAUAUCAGCGAAUUCAAAUGAUCACUAAAUUAACAUCUUCCUCCUAAAGACACAAUUUAAAUAGCACGACAAGCAUACAUUGGGCGAUUCCGAUAAGGAUACCUUCUAAGCGACUUUUUCACAGUCAUGUUGCAGAUGUAGGGGCAAUCGGGCGGGGGCGGCGGCGUCGGGGGAGCCGCGAUGGCGCCGACGGCGUCGAAGGAGACCUCGGCGGUGCACGCGAGCUCCGCCUCCUCCGCGCCCUUCUUGCUCGUGUACAGGCCCACGAGCACCACCGCGUGGGGGACGAGGCGGCGCCGCUCCACCACGUACUGCUUCACCAGGAAGGCGAGGAGCUGCGUGUAGCGCGGCGGCGCCCACAUGGACUCGCUGAACGACUCGGCGAGGAGUUCGACGGCGGCGUCGAGCUCGGACUCGUUCAUGGCCCGGAUCAGCAGCGACCCGUGCUCGAACUCGUGCUCGUAGCGGAACUCUUCGAGCACGCGGAGCCGCUCCGGGGCGUCGAGGUCGAGGAAGCAUCCCCCGCCGCCGCCGCCGCCGAGGGAGGAGUCGGCGGCGACGGGAGGGGCGGGGAGAGAGGAGCGGCGGCGGCGGAGGAGAGAGCGAGCGAAAGCGUAGGGUUUGGAGAGGGAGAAGGGGCGAUGAGAAUGGCGAGGGUUGUGAUGGCGAGAGAGGAUGGGGUGGAGGGUGGAGUCCAACGAGAGGGAGAGGGAGGUGGGGGAGGACGCCAUGGAAGGGUUAUAGAGGGAGGAGUGGGACGGGAGGAAGAGGAGGAGGAGUGGGGGUCCAUUUUGAAUGGGAGGAGGAUAAUGAAGGGUUGGGUUAUUUACUAUUUAGUUUUCUUUUUUAAAAAGAAAAUUAGGUGAAUUCAAAUGUUCACUACGGCUGCUUUAAGUUAUUCUCUUUCUGAUGAGUUCUUCUUAUGGUUCAAGGAAAGAGAGGAAUCAGUUAUUAGAGUAACCAAAGGGAGAUGCUAUUUUUCACUGGGUAUCGAUUCUCCGCAAACGUUGGUGCGUAAGAAUUUUCUGUAUAUUUGGAGUUUCGAGUUUCUACCAUCUAUCACAAGAGGGCCGUGGUUGAUCUCUAUCAUGCAAACCCCGCUUUUUGGCUACUAUUAUAGAGUGUAGUUUUUCAUGGAGACCAAGUUUGUUUUUCAGAUAGAUCAUUAGACUUCUAACUUGCAGAAAAUUUUAUUCAUCAAAGUUGCUGAGAAUUUAUGGCCUUACUGUAUCCAUCUUAUCUUUAAUUUCGAUUCCCAGCGGACGCAUCGGCAGUUAGCCAUUAAUAUCAAUUUGUAGUGAUGUAUAAUGUUCAGCCUCCAUAGUAGUUAUUAUUCAUUUGGACAUUUGUUGAUUACUGCAACCUCUUGCGGUAGAGAUUUCAUUUUGCUGGAACGAGAGAAUCUUAAUGAAAAUACAAGAAAAACCAAUGUUUACUUACGUAUUUGUCAUUUUGUAUAUGUAAUUACAUUCAUCUUCCUACAUAAACCAUCUGGUUUAUUAAAUGCUUUACAUAAUUAAUACCAACAGUAGUGACCAAAUAUCUAUUAUCUAUUCAACUGGAAUUAGCCAUCUUCACAGUGCCGAGGCUUGAUCUACAUUGAGGCCCAUGUCUAUAUAAGCAUUUACAUUACAGAACAUAUAUGACCAGCUCUUUCUUUCUUUUAUUGUGCUCCUUCCAUACAUUUCUUUUCUAUUCUAAUUUUGAACUGUAAGUCUGUAACUAAUAUUCACUUAACAUGGACAAGCAUUGGAGACAUUACCACGUGCGGGUCAUUGAAUCUUGUUCAGUACAGCAUGAGGAAUCCUGAUCUAAAUAAAGUAAUUAUAAUAUUGUCUACUUCAAUCUUCCUCUACAUUGAAGUUUCAGUUUCCAUGAUCCUCUUCAAUUGCAGAAUUUUGAUUUCAAAAAAAUUGAACCACUCUUGAAAUGCUGCAGUUUGAGACAGCGCGCAUUGAGGUGUAUAAAUUGACUUUAUAGUUUAUUUACAGUACAGCUCAAGCAGCAAAAUACAAAAGUUUGAAGCAAAAAAUUAUAAUUGAACAACAGUUUCCAAAAACCAAAGAUCGCAUAACCUGAGCACUCUGCUUUUAAACUUUCAUAUUGGCAUAGAUAAUGAGUUGAAGUUCCUUCACACAUUCCGUCAUCGAUGGUCUCCCGCUACUCUCAAAACAGACACAGCGAGACGCGAGAUUUGCAAACAUUGUAAUAGACUCCAUGGUGUACGAGUUUUUAGACAUCUCAGCGUCAACCACCUUACGCAGCUUUUUUCGGUCAUUGAGUAUUUGAUGAACCUGAGAUCGAUGAAACAGUUUCCUUAUUACUGUACAGAAACUGGCAUCUACUCUCUAGAAAAUUUCAUUACCGUACCUUUAAUAUGAGAUUUUGAUCUGUAGGACCCUGGCUUAACUCUAUCGCUCUACGGCCAGUUAACAAUUCCAGCAAAACCACGCCAAAUGCAUAGACGUCACUUUGUAGUGUUAGUUUCCCUGUCUGUAACACAACAGUAAAGAAUGUAAAGAAACCGAUAUUAGAUAAUUACAAGUAACAAUGAGCUGUCGGAAACUUUAGAAAUAAAGAAACUAAGAAAAGCUAGACAUUAAUUGUAGCUCCAGUUUGAAGGAUUUUACGCAGGUAAAAUCAUGGCAUUAAAAUGCUUCGUCUAUUGGCAGAAUUUAUAGAAAAAUCAAGAUUAGGUGGCUAAUCAAAGAAUAUAACUGCUUUGAUGGUGGUAUGGAAUUGUUUGGCACUAGCCAGGAUAGUUUAGUAUCGGAAAGGAAUGAGAAGCGUACCAAUGCAUACUCAGGAUCAAAGUAGCCGAAAGUACCUAAAACUCUCGUUGUUGAGUAUAAGUCGGCACCCUCCGGCAUUAACUUGGCGAGGCCAAAAUCAGAUAUCUGAGGGGUUUUGAUUCCAUUACUAGUACACCAAGCAAUUUAUAGAAUAUAUUUGAUAAUAUUCGUUACCGGUAGAAACUCUACUCUACAUUACCUUGGCCUCAAAGAACUCACUGAGGAGAAUAUUGCUGGAUUUGAAAUCCCUAUGGACAAUGGGGACACCAACAGCCGGACUCAAAUGGAGAUAAGCAAGACCCCUUGCGGCUCCAAGUGCUAUUUUUAAUCUCAAUGGCCAAUCCAUCCUCACUUCACUGAUUCCUGAAAUGCCAAUCAAGGUUGGGGGGGAAGAAGUUAAAAAAAAAAAGAUAAAGAAAAAAGGGUAUGAGACGAAGAAAUGAUGUUCAUACACCUUGAAUUAAAUAGACAAUAGGUUACCAUGCGAAACUAACCAUUUAGAAGAUCUUGCAGGUUUCCCUUCGGCAUAAACUCAUAUACUAAAAACCUAUGCUUCCCAUCGGCACAGUAUCCAAUUAGUGUGACCAGAUUUGGAUGGUCUAAUCUGCUCAGAAUGUCCACUUCAACUCGGAACUCGCGUUCGCCGUCAGCUUGUUUAGAAGGUGAUAGAUCCAUUUUCUUGAUUGCAACAACCUUAAAAUCGCCAAAGAAAAAUAAUAAUAAGUUUCUGAAAAAAAAUGGAAUAAAACUAGUUCAGAAGUCAACAUAUCUUUAUGGUAGGCAUAUCUGAGAUUACACCUAAUUGCUGGCCACUUGAUUAGUAAUGUAUUUGCUGAAAAUAUGACAGUAGAACCGAAUUUCUUCGAAAUUUAAAGCCAGGUUAGAGAAUUUAUGCACAGUUUAUUGCCGUAUUCAUAUUCCAUCUAAUUAACAAUUCAUUUUCAGAUUGUUGUGCCAUUUACUUACUGUCGAUCAGAUUCCAAAUUCGGUAAAUAACACAGUGCAUCAAACACGACAUAGUUACGGUUCGAUACGACAUCCAUUAUAAUUUACUUACAGACCUCACCAUUCCUUAAAACUCCCUUGUACACCCGACCGAACCCUCCUUUCCCGAUCAGGUUCGCGUCGCUAAAAGCACUAGUCGCCUCCUCCAUUUCCUUGAGAGUGAACACCGACGAGCAAUUACGCUUCUUCGGAGCGGGGCACUGAUCUUUCAGCUGCCAAAGCUCCGCCGGCUUAUAGAUCCCUGCCGCAAUGGUUAACUAAAAGCCUCAAAUUUGACCACUCCAACCAAUAAAUUCCCCACAAAUUCAGUGUUAUACCACUUACAUGGAUUGAUAUGAUCGAGUGACUUGCUUCUCCUCCUCUUGUUCCAUGAUGUAACAAUAUUGAAAGGCAUGUUGGGCCUUCAAUUACGCCAGUGUGAAAUGCAACUGCACAUUUACAAACACAUAAUAUAACCAUAGAACACAACAGGGCAUCAAUAAACAUGGGCAAUUGAAGAACUAAAACAUGGCCCAAGAAUCAUCUAAAAAAAUUAAGAAACCGACCUGAUAUUAGAACGAAACAAACGGAGGAGUAAUUGAUUUUCAGCAGGUCAUGGAACACACGGUUUCUUUUAAGAGCUGCAGCAGAGGAAGAGAACCCAUUAGAACGAAAAGCAAAUAAUAGAAGUAGAGGGAGCAUGAAAGAGACGGGGUAAUACUAGGAAAGGGGGUCUCUUCGGAGCUACGAAUGAAGCUAUGGUGCAAUUUUUUAGAGAUUACCCACCAAACUCGUGUCCCAACCACCUACUAUUUUGCAAAAGAGUAAAGGAGGGAGAAGGAGAGGAGGAAGGAAAGCAUAAUGUAAAAGGAAAGCAGAGUACUUGAAGACCAAGAAAAGCAGAGAGAUUGAGAGAGAGGGAGAGGAGAAGGGGUUUGGGGUUGUAGAGAGAGAGAGAGAGAGAGAGAGAAGUUGAAGGCGAUGGGCGCGAGAGAACCGUUGUGAGGAAGCUUUCGUUCCCUUCUUUUUCGCAAAUCGCAACCUCCGCAUUUGUAUUUUCUUUUUCUUUAUUUUAAUUAAUAAAAAAAUUAUAACGUGUUUGAUGUUGUUACUUUAAAAAUCCCUCUAAAGCACAACCUUUUGUUUGUUGGCCUCUCUGAUUUUUUCAAAUUAAAUAAGGUCUUUAGAAUCUUUGGCUGAAUAAAGCAGUACAUUGAAUCAAGUUUGCUAAAGAUCGGUAGAUCAUAUGGCGGGACAUUUAUAACGGUUUGCUUGAAAGUCUCUUUUGGGCCAUCUUGUGAUCCUGUUUUUAAGUUCUUGUUAACAGUGAUCAGGGAGCAGAUAUUAGCAGAUCUGUGGAUGACUGAGAUAAAGCAAAGCACACCGAUUCUCUUAUGUCAUGGCACUUUUGUCACCCAUAAACCAAUAUAAAUUUCAGUUUCAGGAAGAGAAAUAAUUUUGAAUCUUAUGCCAUAUGGCAUCAGUUAGGAAUCUAAGCUAGCCAAUUUAAAAAUAUUUUAGACAUCUUUAGUAGAUGUCUAAUACUAUAUUGGAAUUCUGGGUAGUUCUCCCACUGCUGAAUUUCGUAUUCCACAUAUUAGUUGAGACGUUAAACAAUAUUGUUACAUUAACUCUUUACCGAACACCGAAGAAAAAAAUAUAUCAAAUGAGAAGCUUUCAAAGAGAAGUUAACUAGUCUAUUUUCGAUGUGUGUUCUGUUUCAAACCACCUAGUUUUUUAAGCCUGAGGUUCAAUUCUCAGCUUAUCCACUUACAGCUAGGACCUAGCUCACUUGUUUGUAAUUGCACAAAACUUAGGCACUAACCGUGAUUAAUAUAUUUGAAAACACGCUCUCCUCUAUUUCCUAUUUAUUUCAAGCGUCGAUUAGUUCAUGCAUAGAAUCCAAAAUAUUGUAAAUUUGUCACCACAUCAAUAACAUGUAAGGAACCCGGCCUACGCUCCAAUUUAUUUUAUUUUAUUAUCGAAAAUAUAGGAGACUUUUCAAUCGGGGAACCAGAGCAUUUAAACUUGAGUUAGGAAAUAUAAAAGUUAAAAUUCCCUUUAAUAGAAAAUCAGCAACCUCCAUUCAUUUUUCCUGAUCUCUGUUCGAAUGUGCAUAUCUUCUCUAAUCUCAAAUGUCGGUGUUCUAUAGGUACUCGUUGCAAAUAAUGUUAAUCUAAGUCAAUUACAAUGUUAAUACUUAUGAUCCAAAUCACAUUCAACUCAGUCUGCAUGUAACAUACAUAAGCAAUCAUACUAGUACAUCAGUAACUUUUUCAUAAAAUUUUUAGUAAUCUCUAUAGACGUACAAAAAGAUAGAAGUUUAAAUGUGCAUCCAUGAAGAGGACAUGUUCAUUCAACGAUCUGGGAAAUUUAACAUAUUCUACUGGAGCUAUUUCAAAAACUUUCAGUUCAUUUUUCAAAGUUCCCUUCUCCCAUACACUUUAAAGAGAAAAAAAGUCUCUCUCUCAAAAACAAAUCGAGUCCCCUACUCUGGUGCAGUAGUACCAACUACCAAUUCGACUCCAUAAAUAUCCAUCUUAAUUUUCCUGCAAUGGAUGUUGAUUAAAAGAAUGAGACGAAAAAGAUAGAUGAGCAGUGCACUGUAACUACGCCAAUAAUUAGCUUAAUCAAGGUCGACAUCUCAUGUGCGUUUAGAAGCAUAUUAUAGCAAUUCAUUUGCUACCAUAUACAUUUCUCAAAAGCAUCUACUCAAAUGUUCAUGCUGUGGACCCAGUGGUGUACUCUUACAUGCAAAUAUUUUAGAUUACCGUUGCACCGACGUGAUAAUAAUGGUGAGAGGUCGCAGUAGGUGGUAGUAGAUGAAACUUUUAAUGAGAAAUGCAGAGGAUUGAAGCCCACAUCUCUGAACAAGCACUAUAUAUUCUGAGCUCUCCUUUGCUGAUUCAUAUCACAUUGUAUAAAAGAUGGCUUCUAAGGUUGAUGUGCAAGUUGAGGUGAAAUCCCCUGCAGAUAAGUUCUGGGGAGCCAUAAGGGACUCCACUGAUCUCUUCCCCAAGGUAUUCCCCAGUCAAUACAAGAGCAUCGAGAUUGCCGAGGGCGACGGAAAGAGUCCCGGCACGAUCCGGAUCGUCAAGUAUGCCGAAGGUAAAAUGCUUCGAUAACAUUAAUCUUUUUUAUUCGAAGUAUAUAACUUCUUCUGUAGUAAGUACUGUCCGAAUAGAACUGCUUGAAAUUAGACUUUCUACUUUUCGAGUAGUAAUGUAAAUAAACUGUGCUUCAUAAUGCAGGAGUUCCGUUAGUUACAUUCUCGAAGGAAAAGGUCGAGGUGGCCGACGACGCGAAUAAGCUGGUUUCGUACAGUGUGAUAGACGGAGAGAUGGUGAACCUGUACAAGACCUUCAAGCCCACUCUCCAGGUUAUUCCGAACGGGGACGGCAGCUUGGUGAAUUGGUCCCUCGAGUUCGAGAAGGUGAAUGCGGAGGUCCCCGAGCCCGAUCUCAUCCUUGAGACUGCGGCGGAGACCUUCAAGGAUCUGGACGAGUACCUUCUUAAGAAUUAGGGCUAUCAGAAGAAGAACCACCAGUACGGGAGAAUAACGCCGGUUGUCGCAAUGAUUGCUUUAUGAAUGUUAUUGUACUUCAUGCAUGGAUCAUGUCCUUAUGUUAUUAAUGAUCAUCCUUCUUUACUAGCUAUGUGCAUGGCUAAGGUAUAAAUAAAUCACUGAUAAAGUAACUGAUGAUAUUAGUAAAAGGACUUAGAUUCAAUAGAUAAAACCAUAUUGACUAAUUAAAAUUUACAACAUUAUAUAUAACUUUUUUUUUAAAAAAAUAGCAUACUGUCCACUUCAUUUAUUGAAAAGAAUCAACUUAGACACAAAACUGAGACGGCUGAGACCUCUAUAAGAGCAACCAAAAGAUGUUUAUAAAAAAACAUAAAGAAAAUUAAAGAAAAAAAAAAUCAAACACAAAAACAAUCCACAACAGAAGAGUCCUUAAUGACGGCAAAAUUACUUCUGUAUCGGACUAAACUAGAGACUUCUCAAAGAAUAGUCUCUAGCUCAGAAUAGCGAUUUUUAAAUAUCACAUUAUUUCUUUCCAAUCAAAACUCCAACCAAGCAAAUGCAGUUUUGUUUUAGCCAAAAAGAUAAAAAGUUGAUAAUAAAAUAAAAACACCGAGAGCUUUGAAAACUCUUAAUUAUAUUAUCCAAAUAAUUGAUCCAUUAGAAAACAGUUUUGAAAAUAUAGUUAAUAAUCUCCAUUCAUUUUUUUUUGGGUGGACAACUCCAUCCAUUUAUUACAAAUUUUAAGUCAAACCAGCCAACUGUUUUCCUUCAACGGGCAAUAAAUUUGGCUUUAUAAAAAGCUUCAAAAUGUAAGAAGUAAAUUGACUGGUCAACGGAUGACGUGACGAACCAUGAUGACGUGGCGGACCAGGUUUAGGCAGUAACUUCCACGCUGGGUCCAAAAUUCGGAUUCUUGAAACCGACCACCUCCGUAAUACCCUGCACUCUUCUCCCGCCUUUUGGUUUCUCAGCAUAAUCCCAUUCCAAACUCUCUCUCUCUCUCUCUCUCUCUCUCUCUGUUUCUCUCUCUUCCCGAAUACCUCCAUUAAUGGAGGGCGCUCAUGUCCUCUCGCUCUCCGACCUCCUCCGCGCCUCUCGUCCUCUCACCGGCGCCUCCUCCCUCGUCUCUGUUCCCACCUCGCCACGCCCACCCCCUACGAAAAGAUCCAGAGUCGAAACCCUAAACCUCGAUCACACUACAAACCCUCUCCUGUUCUCCGAUCUAAGCCCUAAUCCUAACCCUAACCCUAACGCCUUCUUACCGAUCAAGCGCCCCGUGCUACUCAUCGGCACCGUGGAUUUGCUUCCUCCCGACUCCGAUAGGUGCAGAGGGUGCGAGAACCAUUGUCUCUCGUUCUCCGGUGGGUCCUCUAGGGUUUGCUGCUACGUUCUUGACUUUGAUCCCGAGAUCCUCCGCAGGGAGAUCGCCGUACUCGCUUGGAAUUUUCUCCCUUUCGAUCGAGAAACGGGCGUAGGCGGUGGCGGCGGAGUAUUGGAAGUGAUUAGGUGGCGCUUUACGGGGCCGGCAACGGCCUUUGAUGGAGGCUUCUUGCUCUCGGCUCUGUCGAUCGGUUCGCAUCAAGAAACCAACUCGGUUGUUCGGUCUCGUAAGAUUGGUGUUGUAAGAUCGAUCAGCCUUGUCUUUAAGGUCCCUUAUGCGACACAACAUGACGGAGGGGACUCUGUUGGAUUUCUUGCUGAGAUUUUAUCAUGUGAAUGUGAUUCUUGUAGCAGUGCUUUAAUGAGACAAGGUACUGAUAACUGUUUUGUAGGAGGAAACGAUGUACAUAAAUUUACCAAGCCAGUAUUUGUAUAUUUCCUCAAUCCGUUGUAUACCUGGCGCCCUGUUCUUUCUAAGAUGAUUGGGAAAUUAGUAGUGCUCUCAGGAUUGAAAAAAAAGUUGGUUUUUGUUGGAGAGGAAUCGUACACAAUGUUUGUCUCAACAGGGAGAACCACAUUGUCUUUGCGUGGGUUGUCUACAGGAACUCUACCUUCAGGUGGAAUGACGGCAAAAGACGGAGAGUGUAAUAACAGUGUGUAUAGCGGGACCAUUACUGGGAUUUACAUGCAGGGUAUGGUGGUGGAGUUGGAUCAGAAGGUGUUUCUUUUAAUUAAUGAUCCGCAGCUUGCACCGCAUCAUUCUUUUAGAUCUGGUGCUAUUGUAUGUGAUCUCUUCUUCUUAAACUCAAUGAAUAGUUCUUUUAACUUUUUGUACAUUUACCUACCUUCGGAUUGUUUCUUUGCAGGUUUCUGUCAGGAAUUUUCAUUUAGUUCGACCAAAUUUUGCUUCGAUCAAGAUGGUUUUACUUUGUACAUGUGUUAAAACCAAUAUUGAUGUCGAGUCCUUUUCACUUAUUGAGACCAAGUAAAAAACUAUUAUUUUAAAUUCUUGUUAUUUCAAAAUUUGUUGGGACCUGCUUGUAUUAGGAUUUUUUUUUUUUUUUGAUAUGGCUUCUAUCACUGUUGCAGAUGCCAUUUAAAGAUUCAGAGUAAGAGCCUACUGGGGAAGUUUAUUAAUUCGUUGACAUUUUCUGCUAGAUUUUGGUACGGACAAUUUGCACAGAUUUUGUCAAGUAAUUUCUUUAUUAUUACAUGAAACUAAAUGUUUUAUUAGUAUAUGGUGAUUGAAUUACUAUUAAUUAUUGAAUGCCAGGGUAUUACUUCUGGUCUCUUCCUUUAAGCAGAAAUUUCAAAGUGUUUGCUCAGAAAUGGAAAUCCUGGGCUCAAAUAAUGUAAGUUGCUAUUUUACAUAGGGGCAUGGAAUAUUCUUUUCCUGUUACCAAGCAGCUGCUAUUUUAUUAUGUUAUCCUGGAGUAUUAGCUUAUUGAGUUAACUUGCCCUCUAUCAAGCUUUUAUAGCUGACAAUCUAUGUUUGCAAGGUGCCAACAGAAGGAAGGACUGGUUCAAACCUAUGCUAGUAGAUGGUUGUCUCCAAAUGACUACCAACCUAAGGUGAAUUAUUUACUUUUAAUAAGGAUAUGGCUUUUCUUUGAUUCCUUUUGAUAUAUACAUAUACUAGCCACAGUGGAGGUGAGAUCUAGUUUAUACAACAUGACAUGAAGGCCUGAAUCAGGGAUUUCAUCUCUAUUAAUUGCUUUUCCUGUGGUACUGCGAUUUUCGAAGUAAUUUUGUUAGUUAACUAGCCUCUUGUGUUGCUUGCGUUUUUUAAUAUUCUUCUGAUCUCCUAAAAUGUUUCUUGUAAUUGUGUGCUUGCUCCUGGGGUUCUCAUUCUGAAUUUUUUGGUAACAGCAUGGGAUUUUUAUGGAAUUCUGCAAACAUGAUUCAUGUAUGUAUAAUUCAGAAUCGGAUUUGAAGUCGCUUAAAUUGGUAAGAUCUCAUCUUGAGAACGGCCUUUAAGUGAAUUAAGGAAUCUUGAACUUCUUUUUUUAAAGUCAGAAUCUUUUUUUUUUUUGAUCAGGUAAUACCCCUCUCUAAUCUUAUCAGCAAAUGUGAAGAAAUAUGGGUGUCAUUUAUAUUAAAGAGACAGAAAGAUGCUGAAAAGGGUGGGCUGAGGCACAAUUUGAGCCAUUUCAUUCAUGAAGGAACAUCAUGUCGUCGGUUUAUUAGAAGAAUAAUACCAAGUGAAGACCUGGGCUUUAUUUUACUGGGAAGUAUCAAGGUUAGCUUGAUGCAUGAGUUAGCUAUUAUAAGCUUUUACUUUCUAGAUUUGUGGAUUUUUCUUGUUUAGUACUGUGUCUGGUCGUCAUGCAUAUGUAACUUCCACAUUCUUCUGCACAAGUUAGGUGGACCUGAAAAGUGCUUUUACUUUUGAUUAGUUUUUUAGCAGUUAUUUCAUCUGUCACAUGCUUAUUGAUAGCAGAUAUAAUAAAACUAGAAUCUUGACAGAUAUUAGGUGUUUUCUUUCUCUUUCUUAUAAAUUUCUUUGCUACCCUAUUGGGUUUGUGUUAUACAUAUAGCUAAUUAAGUUAGAGAUUGUAGUUCUAUGAGCCACACAGGUACAUAGAAGAUCGUAAAUGGUGGAGAAUAUGUUAUACCUAUUGAAUGAGCUCAUUCUGGUGGGGCAUGUACUCCAUUUUUGUUAGAAAUGUGCUAUCAAAGUUGAUAACCGAAAUAGUUCCAGCAUAAACACGCAUAGGCUUUUGUUUUUGGUUACAAGUAACAUUGCUCUUGCAAAAUGGAGCCACCAUAGUUCUUUUACACCAUUUCAAAAGCUUCUUUCUGAUAAAUUAGUUUGUAGUGUCAUUUUGCACAAAUAUGUUAUAAUCUUAUUGGUUCCUUUUAUAAUUUCAAAUUUAAGAUCAUUGCUCCAGCAUAUGUAAGGUUCACCUGAGUACAGUUUCUGGCUUGACUUUUUACACUUAAUAUGCCUAUAUGCGCUAAACUAUGAAAUUUGAUAAUUUCAAUUUUGUGCAUUCAGACUUCUUCACCUUCAGGAAGGUUACAAUUGGUUGAUGCUACGGGAAAUAUAGACGUUGUUAUACCAGACCUGGUAUCAAAUGUCAAUUGCCAUAACAUUUAUGAGGUGAUGUAUGGUUGCUGAUAUUGCAUGUUUCCUUUCCAUAUUUGAAGAUUUUGCUGUUUGGCCAACUGCCACUUUAUAUAGUUAAAUUAGUCCAUCAAGUUACUGCCUUUUUCAUGUCCAUAGUCAUCCUCCUUGUCAUACAUAGGUUUUUUUUGAAGUUUUGAUCGUAGAUAUAUUGUAGUUUAACUAUUUUGUGAUAUAUUAUAUGCAUUAAUCAAGAGUGAAGGGCACUUUAGCAUAAACUUAUCCAAUAUCCAUUCACUUUACGGUAGCCGAAUACCUUUUUUGGAAGGUUCCACAGCUGCACAGAAACUCUCCAAAGUGUUAUUUGCCUGCUUGCUAGGUGUUCCUUUCAGCUAGUUGUUGCUUAUCCACAUUUCUGCCUGCUCUUGCUUUAAGUGACUAAUUUCCUGGCAUACUUAAUUAUAUGCACUAUAAAAUUUAUCACACCCUAUUGACUUUCUUAUGAGGCAACUGGCGAUAGGACAUUGUAUGUUUGAGAUGUUGAAUUUGAUUAACUGGUUAGCUAAUUACCCAGUCUGUAUGAGUUUCUACAAUUUUUUUUUGAAUCAAACAAGUGAGAAACUUCAUUUUUGCAGUGCUAAAAAUAAUCAAGUAUUGUAGUGUAGAAAAAAAACUGGUCUUGUUGCGUUAGUCACUAGUCUCUACUAUUGGAUAUUAGAAUGUUAAAGAACAAAAACAACCUAUUGAUAUUGCUGAUUCAUAUGCUCGCCGUGUAGAUUUCAAAAGAUGCAUAACAAUUUCAAUAAGAUUAUAUGCAGCAACAGUGUCCAUAUUUUGAAAUGAAUAUCUCUUUUCGUUUAGAUGAGGAAUUGUCUCCCUACUUCCAGAUAUAGGUGCCUUUUGUGAAAUUUUUUUAAUUAAAGAAUUAUCAAGUUCUUAGUUCUUACCAUACUUGCUUGUGUUGAUUGGCAAAUUUUUUUUUUCUGUUCAGAUUAGAGAAUACAAGCUUGUUCUUGAAGGUUCACCAACUCAACUAGAUAAUCAGCAAUAUGAUUUUGGCCCGCUGCUUACCUGCAGGGCUAUAUUCCAACAGUUCUCUUGCAGAAAAAGAUUAAAUAACAUUACGAUGUACGUCCACUUCAAUCUCAGGGACUCAAAUUGUCUCCAUGUUUCCUCCUGUGCCCCUUCUCAUGAGGUUGCUUGUGUUGGAUUGUUUCAUCUGCUGCUCGUAAAACAUAAAUUUCCUUCAACCGAUAAUGUAUGGUUCCUAAAAUUUUCUUAAUCUUCACAUUGCCUUGACAUUUUAUACGUUUCUUUGUUUUUCUUUUCCUUCUUUUUUGCUUUGAUUGUUUACCUUUCAUGUUGUGUAGUUUCCAGAUGAUCCAAAAAUGUGGAACUGCUCUAGUUUGUUUGCUGAGGCUUUGGUCUUGCCUUAUAAUCUCAAUUUUCCAGAGAAAAGUGGAAAUAUCCAACCAACAGAGAUUGUUCAAGAUAUGCUAGAUGCACAGAAAUUUGUCCAUGUAUUGAGUAGAAUUACAACUACUGGCUCAGCCAGUAACCUUAGGGCAUCUGAAAGGAAAUUUUGUCAUAAUCCUUGUUCUUUUUCCUUCAGAAGUGCCAGUCUUCAUGGGACACUGAUGCCUGCCCGUGUACAUAGAUCAGAUGGCAAUUGUUUUAAGGAUUCAGUUGAUGGCCAACAUAAUAUGAGGAUUCUGCUAGAAUUUAAGGCUGAUAGCUUUAUCUACUACCAGGUGGGCUUAGGUGCACUAUAUUGUCAACUUUAUUGCUAUUACGUAGUGAUGUAACCUUUCUUUACAUUGCCCAAAUUCUUUGAUGUUUCUAUGUUUCUCUUAGUUUGUCUUUAUUUAUCUUGUUCUCCUUGCCAGUUGCUGCGGAUAGGUGGAUAUUAUCUUCUAAAAUGUUCGAGCGAUGGCCUUACAUGUAAUCUGAAAGGCUGUGAAUGUUUUGCGUGUGGUAAAACUUGUAUUGACUCUCAAAAUACUCUUCGGAGUGUUUCAAUCAUAUUUAAUGGUUGUAACAAUCAUAAAGGGUCUCGUGAAGAACACACUUCUGAAGUUUCUUCAGGGAGAGCUGGUGAACCAAGGAGCCACUAUGCAACUGAGCUACUACUAUCGAGCCCUUUGGAACAUUUUCAUGAAACUUCAGAUUUUCAUCUGGAUUUAUUGAAUGAAGAGCAUCUGUUAGGGAUUCUUCCUCGUCCAAGUGAGGUGUUAAGUGUAUCGUCAUGCAUUCGUAUGAUGACCGCUGAGUUUAGGACUACUGGGAUUAGUGAUUUGCAAGGCCACUGGUUGCCCCAAGGAGAUCUAGUCUCUUUAAAUGGAAAUAUAGAAGAUGUUCAUUUAAAUGAUUGCAAAUCUACAUCUUUUGUGAGCUUUAGAUUUCUGACUGGUAGUGACCAAAGAAGAAUCUCUAGUGUCUGCAUUCAUGUGGCAGAUGAUACUUGCGUGGUAACUCUUUUUUAGUGUUUAUUUCUUGUGGUCUAUCGUUACUAUUGAGAAACUAUUCCUCACUACAUAAUAUUUGUCUUACAGGUGCAAAUUUCUGGUCAUUUGAGCAUGCGUGCCUGUCCUGUUGGAUUUAGACCAGGAGUAAAAGCAACAUUCCACCGGGUAUUGAUGAUGUGGUAUGGCUCAUUUCUUUUCUAUGAUGUAUAUCAACUUAGCUUCUUUAUAACUUAUACUGUACUCAAAAACUGAAAAUUUUCAAUUGUGUUGCAUCCAAAAAUAUGUAUGGUUAUCAUGUCGGUAGAAUAGGACCUUGGUUCAUAGUAUAGGAUCUUUUUUCUGUUGUUAUUUUGUUUCAUACUUUCAUAUCAUAAUAUUGUUUUCAUGUGCUUCACUGGUUUGCUUGACAUGUUGCUAAUAUAUAGGGCAUAAAGAUUUGCGAGUACAUUGUUAUGGUUAAACUUCUGAGCACAAUUAACUGUUGACUUCUUACACUAUUAGUAUUGUCGUCAUUGUCAUUUGCACCAUUAGUUUGUAAUUCUUGUUUCAUUAUGAGGUUUGGAUUUUCCAUUUGAUGAAGUUCUUGUUUCAGUUGGAGGUUGGAUUUUGCAUUUGAUGAAGUUUUCUCUUUCCCAACUGGCAAUCCGCUUGCAUUAGAGGUUGGGUUUUUGAUACCUUACUUAGUUAAUUCGCGAUUAACAUGCGAAUUAUUCGCGAAUUUUUGAAGAUACGAAUUAAACGGCCGUUUCCGUAUUUUUUUGAAAAAUUCAAAAAAAAAACACCUUUUUUUCGUCAAAAAUAAUUAUUCGCGAAUUAUUCGCAAUUUGCGAAUGAUUCGCCCGAAAAAAACGGCGCUCGCGGUUGCAGACUCGCGGCUGAGGGUCGCAUCGUCGCCGAACUCGUUCGUGUCGUCGUCGUCGUCCUUCUCCGCCGCCUUGGCUGGCGCUGGGAGCAAGAAGGCUGUAGCAGCGGAUCCCGUCUCGCCCGAGGCCGUCCGCGGAAACCAUGUGGAAGUGGAACAGUGAAAAAGGCGCAGCUUUGGGAGGCAUGGAUCGCGCGCGGUCGACGAGGCCACUUCAGCCUUGUGGACCGCUUGAGAGGGAGGUCCACGGUGGACCUCCCUCUCAUUAUAUAUAUAUAUAUAUUCGUAUAUUAGUAGAGAGAGAGAAGAUAGAGAGAGGAGAGAGAGGAGAAGGACGAGGAUGAGGAGACGAGGAGAGAGAGUAGGCUACUAUACUCUUAUAAGUAUGGCCUUUUACUCGUAGUUUUUCGAUGAUGGCUUCUGUCGAACGAUCCACUCCGUUAAAUAUGAUCUACAGUAUUUGAAACUUCUAGAAAAUAAAAUUCGGAAUUUCAAAAUCAAUAAUAAUUCAUCAAGCGGGUAAUAAAAUGAACGGUCAAAUCGAACGACGUCCUAAAAAUGGAUGAUCAGAUCCUUCAAUUUAUAGAUCGAGUUAUUGAUCUUAUCCUAGGUAAGUGAAUAAUAAUUUUCUAUCAAAAAGUUCAACCUAUUCGAUUCUUUUACAACCGUAACUACAGCGUACUCAUAUCGGCCGUUAAAAAGUUUCAUUUGUGAGCUUUUGAUCGUUAGUAAAUAUAUCGAAAAAUUAUAAAUUUUGAUUUCUCUAGAAUUUUAAUGCUCAAUAAUAUGUUUAACGUAUGGAUCGUCGAUUCGGAAGCUCUAUCAUCGAAAAAUAACUUUAUGAUACGAAGGCGAUCGUACUCAUAAGAGUAUAGUAGCCGGACUCUAUAUAUAUAAUAUAUAUAUAUAUAUAAAUAAUUAUAUAUAUAUAAAAUUUUAUUUAUAAAUAUAUAUUCAUUUAUUAUAUAUAGUAUUUUAUUUUUAUAUAGAAAUAUUAUUAUAUAGCCGAAUUUUUUAUUCCGAAUUUUUAAUUGGUGAACGUAUAAUAUCUGUAUAAAUCACGUGUCCGAAUAAUUACCGAAUCCGUUUUUUAGCCGUAUUUUUCAAUGAAUUUUAAAAUUAAAAGACGAAUUUUAUCCGAAUUAUAUCCGUACCGAAUUUUUGCUGAAUCCGAAUUAACUAACUAUGUUUGACGCUGGCACAUUGGCUUAUUGAAGCAGGACAAUCUAAGUGAUAUUUCUUUUCUUAGAUUUUUGUUAAUCCAAAGUAAUUGACCUCUGCAAUAUACAAUCUAGAUGGUUGUCUGCAAGCAGAAAUUCGCUGUAUGAUGGUGUGCUUUAAUAAAAUAAAAUGAAUUAUUGCAAGCUUCAAGUUUUUCGUGAGAAUAUACAUCUUAAUGAGCUGUUGUAUUAAAGUGCUGUUUAUCUCAAUUUGCCGAAAGCAAGAGAAGACUUUACAGAUAAUUUACCGCAAACUAUCAAACAAUUAUAAUGUCAGUUAACAGAUAAUCAAGUGCUGAUUAUUCUUGGCAUCCUAAAUUUGUGGAAAAUUUUCGGUGAGUUGUUAAAUGGCGCUAUAAGCUUUGGUGUUGGUAUACUUGUAGCAUCUGUCCUCAUGUCUUUGAAUAUUUCUCUGUUGUUUUGCUGUGGACGUUAAGCUUUUUCAACUCUCACAACAUGCCUUCUUUUCCAUUUUACUAAUGUUUCCUGAUUUAAAUAACAUGAUUUGCAAUGCUCUAAUUUAACUUAAUUGCAGCUCUUCUAGUGGAAGACAUGCAUUGUUAUUUACCCCGGUAACUUUUAUUGAAAUUAACUCCAUCAGAGAAGUUGUUGACGAGCAGAGUGAAGAACGGAUGGUACUGCCUACCAGGUUAACUUUUCCAACUGAGCAUUUAUCUGACACAAUUCCGUUAGGUCUCUUCUUGCAGCUAGUGAGAUCAAUGGACAGCAAGCUUACUAAGGUCCGCUGCAGGGUAAGAAGUUCUCUAAUGUUGCCUUUUUUAAGUUAAUUUAUUUGAAUUACCUUCUACUGUUGUGAUUCUUGCUCAUGUGCAUCAAGUCAUGGUUUCUUGGAAAAUAACUUCAUCUACUUUUCGUUCUUAUUCUUUUUGAACCUCUGCUACAGGUUGUGACUACCCAAUUUUUGGUGCUUGAACAUUGUGGUCAUGAUUCCAUGAAUUCAGAACAAUGCAGAUUGUGUAGUAUUCCAAAAGUUAAUAUUCCAAUAGCUGGAUUUGUUAUGGGUAAGAUACAAAUUUAAUUUCUGAAGUUUACAUUUGACUGGAAAGGGUAGGCAUGUAGGCGUGCUUAUACAUUGGGUAGUUUGUGGGUCAUAGAAUUGUUGCAGUUACUUGCUUCUUGGAUGGUACACGUUUUAUAUGAUUAAAGUUCUUAGAGAAGGCUUUUCAAUUUUCUCAUUCUCCUUUUUUUCUUUCUUCUCUGCUUAAUUAUGCCGUACACCACUGUAUACCGCUUUUGUCCAAUCACUACACUAUUCUAUUUUGGUCUCCAGUUACUGUAGUUAUUAAGAUGCGACAAAGGACUGCUAUGUUUACAUCCGUUAACUUGCCAUGGAUGGAAGGCAAAACACCUCUUGUGACCAUUUCAUUGAGCAUUUUACAGGAAUCUCGGCUUUGUCUUCCCCCAGCCAGCUCCAUUUGGUCUGUCUACCUUCCUCUCCUCUAUUGCCAGAUUGUUGCUGUUGGUGGUGCUCCCAGCCCUUUGACCCAAUUACUUUCGGAAUGUUUCAAGAUUUUUGUAGUUGAUGGUUCUUGUAUUUUGUUUGAGUUGGGUCAAGUUUAUGUUAUCACAAUCAAUUUGUUCAUGUUGAAUCCUCCCUCUAUGUGAACAACUUGCAUCAACCUAAGUUUUAGAAGACAAUCUCUCUAGACCUGAGCCAUUCCUGUUAUCAUUUUGUUUUUAUUUUGUCAACAAAUUGGUAUUCUUACGGCUUUUGUGGUAGCUGAACUUAGCUAUAGAAUUCUGAAAUCAACUUACGAAAGUCUAGAGUGGCACAAUUAUUUAAUAUUUUUUUGUUUCGUUUGCAGAAUUUAAUAAGUUAGCAGCAUUUCAACAUCCAACGCAUAAACAUGUCUAUGCUUAGUUUCCUUUUGGAAGGCUGUGUCAAAACAUAGAAAGUUGAACUGUUGUAAUUUGUUAUUUUAUUUGCCUCAUAAAACUGAUGGUCUAUAAAGGUUUCACAAGAUUUGAUUUGAAAGCUUAAAUGGUAAUUGUCUAAGAAGGUUGAAUGUCGACUGUUAGUUAUCAAUCCCUGGUGCUAUUGGUUAGAAGAUGUACUACAAUUGAUUUUUCUUUUUUCAAUUGCAUAGAUGAUGGAUUGUCGUUGUGUUGUUGCUGGGCUGAUAGAGAUCGUGCUGGAAUGCUACUUAGGCUGCAGGAAAAUGCAAAGUAUGUGUUUAGUGAUGCCAAGGUCUUCAAAGGAGGAGGCAAUACUGGAAACUUACAACAUACAGUCGGUUAUCACUUGCAAAAGAUGCUAAAAAAGCAUGGCAGGGUCAUCGUCAAAAACCAUGGAAUAGCAGCCGAGUUAUCAUGUCAAGAUUUGACAUUUUCUUGUGAUUCAGAUAAACAUUUCAGUAGCUCAGAAGAAAGGCUCCUUAAGUUUAUUAUUCUUAAUGCCUGUCAAGGAUCUGUUUUGGUUAGUUUUCCCCUUCAAUAUCUAUCCCUUUUAUUAUGCAGAUAAAAACUUGAAUUUUGUCUCUACUGCUUGAUAUUUGUUUUGGAUCAGCUUGCUUUAUGUGUCUAGUGCUAGUUUACUAUCUUGAGGACUUUUGGCUGAUUUUGGCCAUUUUUUCUCAGUGAUUGUACUAUUAGUUUAUAGUCCUAUUUUGAGUAAAACUGGAUUGCUGGUUGAAUAUUACUUAGAAUAUAAAUAUAUAUGAGAUUGAGAUUGCUAUUAAGCCACUGGGUUCUUUGAGAAGAUGUGGUUGUCUUUGAGAGAAAGAGAGACUACAACAAGGAACCAGGUAUUUGGCCUACAAUGUUGAUGCUCAUGGAAAUUUGCUAACCAUGAAAAAAAAUUUCUUACAUCUUGGGGCCUUUUUUUUUCCUUCAAAGUUUGUCAUCUAUCAUCCCUUCCUCUACUGUAUUGUUCCUCAUCUUUCUCUGAUUCAAUGUUUGUCUGUUUUUUUUUUUGUGUGUAAUUUUUGUAGUCAGAUAUAGAGAUCUUGCUGCUAUAUUUUCUUAUAUAUCAAUUUUCUAUUUACUCUUCUUAUGCUUCAAGUGCAGAACAUUGUUGGUUCGGCACUGGAUGCUAAUACCUUAAGGUGGUUAGACAAAGAGCUUCUGGAGCUCAGUACUGGCGUGCAGUCUAUGCAUAAUGCAUGGGUUAGUGAAGUUGAAUAUGUGGAUCCUUUGAAAGAAGCUUGGACCAUGCUUCAUAAUCUUGGAAUCAAGUAGCAUCAUCUUUUCCAUAUUUGAGCUGAAAUUCAUCACGGCGAUAAUUAAAUUGAGCAUGUGGUGUACUAAUACAUAGAAGCAGCACACAAAAAAGAAGUUUCAAGAGGUGGCGACAGCUACAACUCUUCAUUUGAACACACUAUCAACUCUUGGCUGGGCCUUAUUUAAAUAUGGGGUAAAAAAAGAUAAUUAGUGUUUUUGGUUGUUUUUCUGAAUCAGCAGUUUUUUUUAUGUUAGUUUACUAAGCAAAUAUGUGAAUUUAGUUUGUAUGUUAAUUAGUUCAUUAUUCUCAUUUUGAUAUGGUAGCAUAAAGUCAAAUCUGAGUACGACCAAAAACAUGCCAAGCUCACCAUAUUCAUGCCGAAGCUCACCAUAUUCAGCAAGGGAAAAAUCUUGAUGUCCACAGUGACGACUCUGAUGUUUGCUUUGCUGAUCAAUGAGCUUUUCUUUUCUUCAUGAUGAAGACUUCGUGAAUAGCAGGUAAAUCAGGUAUGCUUGCGUAUUCUCUUCUUCUUUUUCACUCUCUUUUAUGAAAUAUACCCAUUAUACCAUCGUUUUUCAAAAUGUUGUUUUGAAUCUGCAGUAUGUAGCAUAGAAUAACAUACUCAGGUAACUGGGAAUCUAUUAAUUUUAUAGGAAAAUACGCUGGACCUCCCUGAACUUGUCUAGUUACACUUAGCCGCUCGAUCUUUGGCCUGACAACUGUUGCAUAGGUAAAAAGCAUCAAAAACCCAUGAAUGGUGGUUUCUACUAACUUUUUUUUUUUUGAAAGGAAUGUAUAGGGUAUUGCCUAUACAUUUCAUUGAAUGUAAUAGGAGUUAAAUGUAAAACAAGCAUAAAUUAUAGUUGCUGGGGUUGAGUAGGCCCACAACAAUAAUUGAUCUCCCAAAUUGAACCCCCCAGUUACAAAAAUUUGAACCACAUUAAUGCAUCAUUGUGAGAUUCUCGAGCUAGUUCUUCAGAUAAUCUACACAACCCAUUGAAAAUUCUAUUGAUUAUAAAUACUAUUGAUUUUUUCUGACGGCAAGGGUCAUGGAUUCAAGUACUUUAGAAUCAAUUUUGAGAAAGGGCCCAAAUCCAGUGUAGCCUAGCCUUACUCGGAAAAAAGGGUAUAGAAUAUACCACAUUGAGCUGACAUUUUCUGUAUCCAUAUUUUGCUUUCUGAGAUGGGGUAAAAAAAAUUUCUUACAUGGAAACAAUAUGAAUGUACUCUAAUUAUUCGACUCAUUAAUGCUGAAGAUUCUGGAAUCAGCUUCUUAAAUGUUUCUUUCUUACAUUGCAACAGCAACUUUAUUAUAAUGAUUUGGAACCUUCAGUUCAUUAUAAGAGAUAAGUGUUCAUAAGCCAUCUUAUUUGAGAAUUGAGCAGUUGAGUUGAUUGCAGUAACUUUCAUAACUUUUCGCAUGCCAGUACCCUCUGGUACAUUUCUUGAACAGAAUUUGCUUGGCAAGGACAAAAUUCUUUGCAAUUGCUCUAAAAAAAGUUUCUUAGGUAAAUAUAUUCUGAUGUUAAUUUUUUAUUAAAUUGACAUCACCUUCAGCCAACUGCUUAAUCGGUCUUUGACUGGUGGGAAUAUGUUAAGAUUUGCACUUGCGUAGCUGGCUUCAUCCAUGUGGCGUGAAUAGAAAGUUGCAGUUGAAUUUGUACAUUCAUGUCGUGCAUAUUAAGAUUGUAUCCUUUUUAGAAACUCUCUCUACACUGAUGACUAUUGUACUGAUUCUCAUCAUAAAAGCUAUCAUAAAUUAUAAUUUACAUCGCAGCAUUUAAGAAAAUGGAAAUGCUUUAUUUGUUGGCAGAUAGUGAGAAGCGGACAACUAAUAUGGCUUCCAUAUUUUGUCUGGAAAGCUUAAAGUUUGUGAUCAGAGUAAGCAACACACAUAUUGUGAUUGUUUUGUUUUUAGAGAUAGGUAUCAUGCUACUCGCUUUGUUAUUUUAUUUAGAAAUAAACUUAGCUGGAAAUGUGAAUCAACUAGGAUUCGACCUUGAAUUUCGGGUACCAACCACCGACUUUUUUGCCACUUGCUCUAGAAACGGUCGGUCACAUAUUGUGAUUGUUAGUUACAUAUUUUACUAUCUCUGAUGAAUAUGUAGAAUUGUUGUUUUCUCACUACUGGCCAAUUAUAGUAUCUUGGUUGUACCAAAAAGUCAAAUCUAUAUGCAUCUGCAUAACAAUCAGUACUUCAUUUAAUAAACCCAACCAUUCUAAAAUUAGCGGUCCUACGAAAUUGUCAUGUGUUUAACUGCAGGCCCGUAUAUGAGCUCCUUUUGUUUGAAAAUCUCAUAAACUUUUAUUGAGGGAAAGUUGAUUGCAUUAUGGGACACGUGAAAAAGUACGUAACAAAUAAAGUUUCUUGCAUUUUGCACGCAGCUAUCGACGCUGUUCGUACUGAGCAUCGAGGUCUUUCAAAUCUUGUGCAGUAUCACAGAGGUGGUUGGUCAUAUACUUGAUUUGUAAAGGCACAAUCAUAGCUUUUGUCUUAUGUACAUAAAGAGGAGUCAGGUACAAUUUUCCUUCCUGUGAUAAAACUAUGCAAUAAGAUAGGCAUUUGGUCAACUUUCUCAGCCUUGCACAGGGAUAUCUUUUACUGUAUAAAUUGUAGGAAUUUGAGGGGAACCACAUAACCACUGAUGCUCUCGCGUAGUUCCUGUACCAUCUCAACUUAAUGCUCUUAGUUACUCUUGCUGGUAGUUCUCUUGUUGGUUUUCACAGAAAAACUCAGGAUUUGAGUGCAUAGAAAGAUCGGCAUCAGAAAAUCUUUUACUAAUGGAACUUGCUAUUUAUAGUGAGCGGACUUGAAAUUGCAGUCCAUGUGUUGCCAUUUUUUUUUUGUGAUGAAGUUGUGUCCAAAACUGUCACAGAAAAAACAGACAAAAAAAAAAUAAAAUAUCGAGAGGUGGAGGGCUGAACUGAACAAUGAGAUGUAGGUUGUACUUCAGAAGUACGUGAUGAAGCCUUGAUGGUUUCUGAUUGUGCAAGGUUUUGGUAAUAAAUGAGCAACAUACAGCCUAUAUUUUAUGGUACUACAAAAGUGAGGAUCUGGUCAUGAAGGGACCAUUCACAUUAAGAAAGAUAAUAACGGCCGUCAUCGUCUUAGUUAAUUUAAUUGACAGUUUUGCUUUUGUUUUUUUUGUUUUGAGGGGAAAAAAGACUAUUAGAGAUAGAGUUUGAUUGCAACAGGAUUGGAUGCGGAGGAGAUUUCCAGCACAAUUGUUUGUAACAGUUACAAAGGGCUUCAGUGAAACUCCAGACCUAGUAGUGAAAAAAAAAAAAGAAAAAAAGGUCUUUACACCUAAACAAUUGGGUAGAAGGGAAAGAUAUAAGAAAGCUACGCAUUUAUAGUAACAAAAUAAUCAAGCUCAUAAACAUUAAGCUUAAAAGAAGAAAAACAUGUAAAAAAAAUAUUUAUAGAGAAAAAAAAAAUAUAUAUAUAUAUAUAUAGAGUCCGGCUACUAUGCUAUCGGUAGCACGGAGCGCUCUGUACUACCAAGUUGUUUUCGAUGAUGCGGUUUCCAAAUCGACGAUCGGCUCCGUUAGACUUGAUCUAUACUAUUGAAAGUAUUUAGAAAUUAAAUUUCAAAUUUUUUCGACAUCAUUUGACUAGUGAUCAAAAGAUCUCAAAAUUGACAAUUUUAAUGGCCGAUGUAAGUGUGUUUGUGAGUUUAACGGUGUAAAACAAUCCAAAUGCGAUGAAAAUUUUAUAGAAAAUUCUUUUCACUAUUUAGAGUAAGAUCAGUAUAUCUGAUCUUAAAUUNCGAAAAAUUAUGAAAUUUAGUUUCUAAAUACUUUCAAUAGUGUAGAUUAACUCUAACGGAGCCGAUCAUCGAUUUGGAAGCCACAUCAUCGAAAACAACUUGGAAGCACGGAGCGCUCCGUGCUACCGAUAGUAUAGUAGCCUAGCUCUCUCUCUCUCUCUCUCUCUCUCUCUCUCUCUCUCUCUCUCUCUAUAUAUAUAUAUAUAUAUAUAUAUAUAUAUAGUCCAGUUAUGGUACUUGUAAAAGCACCAAACACUUGGUGCUUGUAAGUUUUUUACCGUUAUAUAUUUCUAGGAUCAUUUUCAACCAUUAGAUUAUACUAUUCAACCAACCACCCACUCAACCCUAGGGGGCCGACAUUAUCCUAACCGCAUAUCUCUUAAUCCAAUGGCUAAAAAUCUACAAGCACCAAUAACUUGGUACUUUUAAAAGCAUAGGAGCUUAAUUAUAUAUAUAUAUAUAGUGGGCUGGUAUGCUUCUAGAAGCACGGAGCCAUCAUGAUUUCAAGUUGUUUUCGAUGUUCGGACUUUCGAAUUGACGAUUGGCUCCGUUAGAGUUGAUCUAGAGUGUUUGAAUUAUCUAGAAAAUAAAUUUUGUGAUUUUUUAAUAUCAUUUGCCUAGUGAUCGAAGUGGCUCAAAAUCAAUAAUUUUAAUGGCUGUGGUGAGCCAUUUGCAAGAUUAACGGUGUAGAAAUAUCCAAAUCACAUAAAAUUUUGAUAGAAAAUUUUUUAUACCGUAUAAAAUUAGAUCAAUAACUUGUUCUAAAAUUUUAAUGUCAUAUCAUUAUAUUUUGUAUGAUUUUUAUUUUUAGCCGUUGAUUUGAGCCACUUCGAUCACUAGACAAAUAAUAUCGAAAAAUUACAAAAUUUAUUUUCUAAAUACUUCAAAUAUUCUAAAUCAUUCUAACGGAGCCGAUCGUCGAUUCGAAAGUCCGAACAUCGAAAAUAACUUGGAAGCACGGAGUGCUCCGUGCUUCCAGAAACAUACCAGACGCACUCUAUAUAUAUAUAAUAUAUAUAUAUCAUGCAGUGGAGAUUUUUAUUUUGGCAGUCUAUUUUUUAUGCUAGUAUUAUGAGAUCAAUUAGUAUUUCGGAAGGUGUGGUGAACACUUCGACACUAGAAAAGAUUUUGAGACAUCAUUGCUUGUUUAUUUGCUUUAAAUAUUUUUUCCAGCUUGCAUGCUCAGCGAGCCUUGGAAGGGAGCAUGGGUCAGCGUAAAUCGGUUUGAAAAGCCUGAUGCUCACUAGAGGUCAGCUUCUGCAAGCGCUCCUAACUAUUUUUAAUAAUAUUUCUAAAUUUUAAUUUUAAAUCGACAUGUUGCUACUUCUGUGUUUGAUCCUUGAGGGCCCAGUUUGACCGAUGGACUCAACUUCACCAGUUCGUUCAAAAAGGCCCAAUCUCACCGGGCUCGAACCAAAUGUACGGCACACCUCUUGGGCCCGAACCUUGUCCUCCCAUGCUUCGUGCCCCAUGGAAGCAAUCACCUAGCCCAGGUGACAAAGAACUUAACGGAACCUUAAAUUGAAAUGCUAAUUAUUUCUAUAUUUCUAGCAAAGUAGAUAUCAUAUUAUAUUUCUCUUUUUCCGGAACAAACAAAAGAUACGGUGAUUAAUUAUAUAUAUAUAUAAUAUAUAUAUAUUUAUGCCUAUGGUAAACAUAGAAGAAUGGGGCAUGCGACACAGAUACGUACGUCCUAUCCCGAUCUCCCGUGCUUGCUCAGAAUCUAAUUUUACUAUUUGAUUGGAAUCUCACCAUUGCGGAAACACACGAGAGAGGGGAUUGAUGAGGGGGACUCAAAUUAACAGAGGGAAAAUUGAUAUCAGUACAAGGACCAUAUAUAAAUCCUCCUUCCCAGAUUGGAGAAUGGAGAAACGAACUACGAUGAGCUAGCUCUAUUCACGACUCUUCACUUAGAUCACUCCCCCCGAAAAUGUGAAAAACCUGCCACGAACUAAAACCCAGACUCACUGGGUCGACUGUUACCAACAUUGACAUAGUAGUGCAUGGAGCCGCUGCUCUCGCCGCCCAACUCCAUGCUCCUCUCGUGCCCGUACCCCUCCUCCUCAUCCUCCUCCUCCUCCUCGAUCUCCUCCUCCUUAGCCGCCACCACCCUCUCCAUCCCCAUCAUCAACCCCGGCGCCGCCACGCCCGGCGCGGCGAGCUCGGGCAUCUCGUAGCAAGACGGGGACGCCGGCCCCGACGGCCCGGGGCUGACGGAGGGGAGCUUCGAGAGGAGCGCCUCGAGGCUGCUCAUCGAGGGCAGGAUCCGGACCUGCUGGUUGAGGUGGCCGUCGUAGAACUGGUCCAUCGGCGGCGGCGGGGCCGACCAAUUGUCCGGCGCGGCGCUCACCGGGAAGGCGGAGGACGACGGGUGCGGUAGGAGCACGCCGGGGAUGCUCUCCAGGUAGCUGAACUUCUUGCGGAGGAGGACUACGUAGCUCAGAUCCUCCAACACCUUCAAUAUUGUAAUUUAGAUUCCCAUCGGAACAACCCAACAAAAACGAAAAUAGCCAAGUCAUGAAUGAGGAUUGAGAGUACGUAGCUCUUAGUAAUAAGAAUUAAUUAAAAGCAACUAAUUAAGUAAUACGUAUUGCUUAAAAGAUAUCUAAUUAAUGUUACUAGAAAUAUUAGUUCAUGAAUAAUCUUACAAGAAUUGAGGAACAGGUCUNUAAUAUAAAUUUAUAUUUGAGAGUAAAAUUAGUAUUAUAGUAUCUUAUAAUUUUUUUAGUUUAUACGAACCAAAUAAUGAAAUGUGAAUAACUAUUCCAAUUCCCAAUCCACAAAUAAACCAAACGUCUUGGGGGAGUGGGCCAUUCCAAUUACCAUUCCAAUUCAUUCCCAUUCCAUUAUUCAUUCCAAUUCCACCCUUGAACCAAACAAGCCCUAAAUGUUAGCUGUUCCAUUCUUCUUUUAUUAAAAUUUUAAUUUUUAGCAGAGUUCUGAAUUUUUUUGGUGAUAUAUUUUUAUCUGUGAAUGAAAGUUAUUAGCUUCAACGUCGUAUAGUUACCCUGAGCUUGCGUACUCAUGUAUACCAUGCCUUUUCUAAUCAUUCAUGUUUUAUAGUAUUUUGAAUCUGCAAUAUUCUCUUGCAGCUUAUGUGCUUGGCAGACCUAGAGUUUGACUAUAUCAACCCGUAUGAUUCAGCUUCGCGAAUAAAUAAAGUGGUUCUUCCAGAAUUCGCUUUGCAAGGAGUCUUAUGCUUGCUCUUUCUUUUGUCCGGGCAUUGGUUGAUGUUCUUGCUUUCUACCCCGCUUGUCUACUACAAUGUGAAACUGUAAGUGCUUCUUCUGUAACUUGCAUCAGCAUCAAUGUUUCAAAAGGCAGUCUAUAUAGCGGUAUAUGCAGUUCGGACCAUAAAUCACAUCGCAUAUUUAGUACAUGGUACAAUAUGUAGUCGAACCGCAUAUGCGGCCCAUAUGUGGUUGCAUAUGUGGCAUGCGACUGCAUAUACAUUAAAAGUUGUUUUUUUUAAGGUGGGAUUGGAAUGUAAUGUUGAAUGGGAUUAGCACACACAUACAUACAUGUGCAUAUGUAUGUGUAUAUGUAUAUACAUAUACAUGUGUAUAUAGAGUGUACGACUUGUGUGCAAAUUAAGUCAAAUAAAGUCGAAAAAUUAUAAAAUUUAGUUUCUAGAUAGUUCUAAUAUAGUAGAUCAUUUCUAGUGGAUCCGAUGGCUGCAUCGGAUGUCCUAUUAUUGAAAACAACUUGAAAGCACGGAGGCCUCUGUGCUUUCAAAAGCAUCGUGAACUAACUCUCUCUCUCUCUCUCUCUCUCUCUCUUUAUAUAUAUAUAUAUAUAUAUAUAUAUAUAUAAGAAUAAAUAGAAUUUUUCUUAAAGCUUAACUAAAGCAGUUUACCCUGUGGCGGAUGUCAGCGGUUCGAGUCCGCUUAUCUCCGGCCCGUGAACUUAGCUGAUACUAUGAUAGCACCGAAUUUUUCCAAUUCGGCAGAAUAAUAAUACUAGUAUAGUAUGGUUCGAGAGGAAGUAGUCGGAUACACUCGAACACAUCUUGCACGGCUCCUAAGUGAUAAAAGAAAGAAGAACUCAUCUUCUUUCUUUUUUGAUUACCUUCCUCGCGUAUGUAUAAGACCGAAUCCAUUAAAUUUCUCAAAAGGAUUACUAAUCCUUAACUUUUAUAUAUAUAUACAUAUAUAUAUAUAUAUAUGUAUAUAUAUAUAUAUAUAUAUACAUAUAUAUAUAUAUAUAUAUAUAUAUAUAUAUAUAUAUAUAAGCCAAGUGGAAAAUAUUAAAUAUCCCUACCUAGUACGUAGUAGCUAGCUAGCUAGGUUAUGUUUGCCAACCAUUUAGAUGUUCUUCACCUACCAUGCAUGAAAUGCUGGUUCUCCUCACCAAAAUUUUGCUGCUAAGUUGUUAGGGUUAAUGGAAAGGGACCUACCACAAUUGCAGUUUAGAAUUUGUUAGAUAUUUCGUAUGCGAAGAAAUUGGAAUCUAGCCAUUCUUCCACUGAUGACCGUCGACUAUUUUAAUUGAUCGGCUACCGCCACUGCCAGUCAGCUAUAUAUGAAACAAAAUUCAUUAGUAGGAUACGUCCCAUAUGACAAUAUAUAUAGAUACGAAGCAUUAGAUAUUUUGAAUUAAAAUUAGAAUUGAGUGUGUUAUGUGACUGUUCAUCCAAUUGCCCUAUAUAUAUAUAACGCAUGCCCUAAUACGACAUGUACCCGCUAUGGUAGUCCUCGUCGAUUGAUAACAUUAAUUUCUCUAAAACUCCUUAACAAAUUGACUAUACUUGGCAUAGCAUUGUAUUUAUUUUUUUAAGAUACUAAUUAUUAUUAAUUAUUGGUGAAUUAUUAUGGAAAAUCUCUACCCUAGGGAAAAAGCUUAUCAUAAAACCGACACUUUCCACUACAAAAUGUUAUAUGAGUGCUAGGACUUAAAACCCUAACCAUGACCUAGCCUCUUAGAAGCUAUAUAUAUUUAUGUUUGCCAUGCAUCUCGCAUGCCGAGCUCUCCAAAAAUAUUAUUCUUAUAAGCUGCUAAUAUAUAUAUAUAUAUAUAUAUAUAUAUUAAUUACUCUCCUAUUUUACUGUAAGAAGAUAAUUAGAUGAGUACACAAGUGAUCUUCUUGUAUAUGUAGAUAUCACUAACCCUUCUCCGUAGUUGUAGAUCUCAUGAGACAUCUUGAAGAAGAGCUCAGGUUGAAGGCCUCUCGUUUGCUGCGGUUGUUUGUAGUCGCCGUAGGCCGACGAGCCCGCCGCGCAGCCGAGCAUCGCUUGUUCGCACGUUGAAGCUGCGAAAUUGCAGAACCCAUCUUCCCACACCAGAAUCCUACGAAAAUUAAAGAAGAGACAAAUUAAGAGUAAUAUGAGAGAACGAGGUAGGUAGGUAAAAUUUUGAUGUACAUAAGGCUCUAUCUAAUCAAUUAAGUUCAAAAGUCCUACCAGUUCCUCCUGUUUCCUCUAGUCCUAUCAAAAGCCCCUCCUUGAAGAUCCCAUCUAUCAUCAAAAGAUACCCAAAAAAAAAAGGGGGAGAAAAAAAGGAAAAAAAAAAAAAGAAGAAGAAACUUGUAGGAUUAGAACGCUAGCUAGCUAGAUGAUCCAAGAGUUGGGUUUGUAGUUUCAGGAAGAAAUUAAGUUGCACUCUUCCUCUCCUUUUCUUUUCUAAUCUUAGACUCACUUGGGUGGUGGGUAGUUUCUGGGUAAGAUCCUCCAAAACACUGCAUACACCCACUGGGAAUUCUCAUGGAUGCAUAAGCUUCUAAGGGUGUGUUGGAGGAGAUGGGUAACAGCUAAUGGGUUGAGCUGUUCCUCCAUAAAUAUGGCUUCCUCUUCUUCUUCUUCUUCUUCCUCCUCCUCCUCUUCUUCUUCUUCUUCUUCUUCUUCAAAUGGGUAUUCUUAUUUUCCUACACACUCCAAUAAAACCCCUUCCUCUCUAUUUCUCCUUGUAAGGAGAAGUAUCACACACCAUUUGCUCUAUUCACCUAUUUGUAAGGCUACCACCAAGGAAACCAUACUUUCCCAAAUAUAUACCCCUCUACAUACUCUCUCUCUCUCUCUCUCUCUCUCUCUCUCUUCAGUGGGUUCUGCCAAAGUGUUUUAAUCAUGAGGGAAAUUUUACCAAUGUAAUCUCCCACUGGCCCCCACUUUCUUUUCUGGGUUCCCAAAGGUUUACUUUUCUCUCCCCACCAAACCCCAUAUCAAAAUCAUCCACCAUUGUUACCAUGGUAAAGGCUAAGAACUCCUCAAUAAGUGAUAUUCAAACCUUUCAAAUUUAAAAUUUAAUCAUCUUAUAUUUUUAACUAAAUUUAUUUUUUUUAAAAUAAACAAAAUGGAUAGUAUAGUAUGUUACUCUUCUCUCCUCUUUAAAAAAUAAAAAUCAUGUUGAUCAUUAGAAAAUCUUUUAUUGAUUUUUUAUGGAUUGUACCUUGUCACCAACUUAUAUGAUAUGAUUGUAGCUGAGCAGGAUCAACCUAUCACUAGUACACUACGGUGGGCGCCGUUGGUCUAUGCAUCCAAUGCUGCACUUUGAAGGAUGCAAUUUCUCUGUAGUUUCAUCACAUGCAGGGAGCAUAUUGUAUCUGAACUGCAUGCCUGAUACGUACAUGAAUGGUCUACAUGUAUUUUGCCGCAUGUAUAUAAGUAAAACUUGAAUUGCUUAUACAAAGGUCUUUUAAAUAAGCACAGAUUGUCGUUGUCUAAAUGAAAAUAAUGUAUUUAUAUUUCAUAUGAUAUUAAAUAAUUGAUUAUUAUACAACUUUAAGCUGCUAAAAAUAAUAUAUGAAUAUUGUAUAUACAAUAGUAGCUUACUUAUUUCCACUGAAAAAUAUUUUAUGCGCGAAUUAAUGUUCAUGAAUAUAAUAUGUUUAUGUGCAUAAAAAUGAACCAUUGCAGUAAACCACAAGUCAUGCGAAUAUAUACAAAGUAAUGAGUAGGGACCAAAAACCCAAAUUUUCCUCCUUAUGAACAUUUUUUUUUUUAAGAAGAAAAUAGCCUGCUAUCCGUAUUAUUUAUUUUUUAAAAAAGUAAAUUUAGUUGAAAAUAUGAAUCGACUAAAAUUUAAACUUAUAAUUUUAACUAUCAACUAUUAAAUUUUUUACCAUUUGCGUUAGGGGCGGUUGGUUCUUACCAACUUUUUUGCUAGGCAGGUUAGCAGGAGAAAGGGUGAAAGAAAGAUACCCCUGAGCCAUCGGAAAUGGAGCAGUGUACCCUGUGCCCUGAGAUUGUAUGAUGACCAAGGGACUGAUUCACAGAGAUAUCAUUCAUAUCCUAAACUUUUAUCUCUCCCUCUCUCCUACAUUUCCUCUCUCUCUCUCUCUCUCUCUCUCUCUCCUUCUCUUAAAGCAAGAACCUAUAGCCAGGUUCUUCUUGACCUGUUUGACCCACAUCAUCAUCACUCAUAAUCCCCCUCCAAGUCUAAUCCACAUCAUGCUAUGGCCUUGACUCUUCAUGAAACUUGGUAAGGAAUACAUGGUACAGUCCCAAAGAACUAAUGAAUGAGUGCCCAUCUACCCAAAAUUACCAUCCACCCAAAAGCAAACCCAGCUUUGGCCAUUGACAGGGACAUGCACAUACACCCAUCCCAAUAAUUUUCCUCUCUCCUCUCUUGUGGAACAACACACAGAGAGAGAGAGAGAGAGAGAGAGAGAGAGAGAGAGAGAGAGAGAGGGGAGGGUGUUUCAAAGGGGUAAAUGUGCAUACCUUCUUUCCAUAUAUGCAAUUGCAUGUAUGUGCAUGGCUAAGGCCUCUGUGAGAGUGACAUAAGCAGAAGCAGGCAUGUUGGGGAGCAUGGGGUAGGAAUUUAAUGUUGGUUCUUUUUGGGGUUGGGAGGUUGUGGUGGGAUCACAUGGAUUUUAAUUUUUGUUUCUUGCUACCCAUGUCCAUUUAUUAUUGUUUUUUUCUUUUUUUGUGUAUGUAUGAAUGCGGGAAAAAUAAUUAAAGAAUUAAUGUUUGGUGCAUUAAUUCUUAUACUAGCAAGAUUUUUAAAUGUGGGGGUUUGAAACUCGGACGUGUAUAUUUAUGAGAUUUUGAUCCUCGCACCUUGCAUCUUUUUUUUAUUUCAAUAACACACAUGGAAACUGUGAAUCAUCCCACACCCCCCCUCCAAGCUCAAUAAAUGAUAGAGCUGUUUAGAAACAUUUUAUUUUAUAUAAUAAUUAUCAAUAAGAUCAUGCAAUGUGGCUUCACACAUUAGAUAGCUUUGUAUAGAAAAUUGUGGAGACAAAGGGAACACAUCAAGCUAUGGAUUACACCCCCAAAGCAGGCAAAACCCCUUCCCUCUUACAUUCCUGCUUAAAUAUAUUUAUGUUCAAUUUAGCUACGUACAUUCCUAUGAAUUUGCUAGAUAUGCAAGAUGCAUGAGCCCAAGGGACAUUUAGCUCAGGUAGAUGAGCUCGUCCCAAGAGGGAAGUGGAAGAUUGGUUUCGUUGAUGGCCAAAAGCCCUUAAUUUCAGUGCCGCCUAUGUUAAAAACUUAAAUAUGUCUCUCUUUUUGAGAAAAAGAUAGUACACUACCCACUUCAUUUAUUGAAAGUAUGAACUAUGCUACAUGGGUGGGCAACCUGGACCUCGAGAGAGCGAAAAAAAGAAAAAGAAAAGAUCGUCAAGGGGUCUGCUAUGCUGGACUUAGAUAAUCCCACUCUGACUGUAGUUGUUUAAGCUUGUGUACUACUAACAUAGGAUUCGGCGGAAUAUUUCUAAAGAUCGUAUCAUUUCUUGUUUUCCAAAUAGACCACCAGCAUCCUACCAAUUCGAUAUAAGCUGCUUCUCGUCUUAUGGCAUCCCUUUCUAUCCAUCCACGAGACCCAAACUAGGAUUACAUUGUUUCCCAGGUCCCUCGCCUGUACGCCGGUCACUCCCGUCGCGAUGAUAAACUUGCUGAACACACACCGUGUGAAUAGAUGGUCCACUGAUUCCUCUUCCGCUCUGUGAAACACGCAAUCUAUGUUUUCCACCCACCCACGCUUCACGAGUAAAUAGUAUAUCUCUUAUUGGAAAUUAAAUAGUAUAUCUCAUCUCCUCUGUUUUUUUUUGACAUCACCCCUUAACUUUUACUGUCUCAGUGUACUAUAAAUUAAAAACAUUUCAGGUCUCUACAUUUCCCAACAAGGAUUGAUUUCCUUGUUUCCACUUUCCUCCCCCUAAAAACAUGCAUUUGUGUUAUGUAAUGCUUCAGCAAGAAUGAAGUACAAAAUGAAGUGGGUUGCUGCGACUCUUCUGACUUGCAUCGCAUGCAUUGUAAUCUAUAUUUCUAGUCUUACAAAUACAAUACAGCAUACUAUUUCAGUAUACAUUUAUGGUCAUCGAAGAUCGAAAUAUAUUUUUUGAUGGAAAGAUAGUAAGCUAUCUGCUUUGUCCAUGUUUUUAGAAACGAACUCAGUUUUAGAAAUGUGAAGCGACUAAAUAUCGAAUUUGGGAUUUCAAACACCAACUAUCAAGUUCUUAGCCAAUUGCGCUAAUUAACUACGGUUGGUAACUAACAUUGAAAUGUGGCAAUUGAUGCACCUAGAAGAAGACUUAGAGAAACCAUCAAAAGUCAUGUGAUGGGGCUUUAUAGAUCAUUUCCCAAAGAGAGAUGGGUCCUUUGUAUUUUAGCUCCAUGUGGGUCUUAUCUUAUAUGUAUAUAUACACCACACUUCAUCUCUCUAGUUCCUAGUCGAGCUUUAUGAGUGGUCGCAUUGCCACGAAUCCCCCCACUUGCUGAUGUUGGCUAAGGAUGAUGAAGAGAAAUAAAUAGGUUUCAGGGGGGGAGGGAUCGGAAUUAUUUGAACCUGGUGUGUCACAAUCGUCCACGUGCCCAAAAAAGGCUCAUAGAUUAUUAACAUGACCGAUGUGAAAUAAAGGCAGAGAAUGGGGUGGAUAAAGAUGAAUUAAGGAAAGGGAAAAUUAAAAUUGCGGAGAGUUUGGUUUGGUCAAUGAUGCUUCAAAGCGUUGCUGCAAAAUCCAACUUCUCCACUGAGAAAAAUUCCAAACUGAUCACGUGAAGGCUUUUGGUAGUCACAAUCUUGGCCUCUAAAAGCCUUUUUAUGUACUCCCUCCAUUGAAAAGAUGGUGGCAACCUUUCCCUGUCUUGCUGCAGUAAAACAGGGCUCCCUUUUAGGAGCUCCAUGGCAACACCUCCUCUCUCUCUCUCUCUCUCUCUCUCUCUCUCUCUCUCUCUCUCCCCCUCCCAACACCUUUUCGAAACUGUAUAAAUACUCCUACAAAGUUGGUAACGCAAUAAUUGGAACACAUUUUACGUGUUAGCAAAUCCUUCUAAAGCUCAAGGUAAUAAUCCAAAGUAGGUUUUCUCGCAAAGGGACUGUAAUGAGGCUCGCUCAGUGAUCAUAAAAUUAGAAACACAUUGCAAAAGAGUGAGAGAAAUGGUUCUUAAUUGUAAAGCAGGCCAAAGAGUAAUGCAGUGGUGUCACAGGUUAGAGCAGUGGAAGGGGCAUCAGAAGAGAGAAUAAUUGGCCUAGGUAGUUUGGUCUGGCCUAUUUGGCCUGCUUAUCAGCUCAUGUACUUGGCUUGUGGGCCUUCAUAACUCUCUUAUGGACCCCCUUUUGUUGUAUUCAGAGAGAAUUAAAAGUAAAAAAAUAUAUAUAUAUAUAUACAGAUACUCCCAAAUAAAUACCAGUGCCUCACUGUAAAUAUAUUAUAGCCAGUGUAGUAGAAGAAAACCAAUCUCAUAUAUCAAAGAACACAAUAUGAAAAAGUAUAGGCAUACAUUCUACUGCUGAAUUACUGAGGUAAAAAUUUUCAUUCCAAAAUUGGUGCAAUUCACAAUUUAGUGAAAGAGUACGUACGGUAGGUUAAUGCAUCAUUAAGAAUACUCCAGGCACCUUGUGGAAUGUUAUAGGAAUAUUCCGAGUGGGUAAAUACAUUCAUUCUCUGUUUGUAUUGAAGAUCUUCUCCAUUACUUGAUGAUGCAUUGCGAUUGUUCCUGCAUGCUAGGGUCUACAGAAAAUACAGAACCAUAGAUCGUCUGAUGGGUCUAAAGAAACUGAAGAAUUCAAAUCGAUUUACACAUCAGCAAUAUUCUGGAUAGAUUCGAAGGCGAAGAUAAGACUCUCUAAUUCUCACACCAAAGUCCAAGAUGCAUGCAAUCAAAAUGAACAAGGUAAAAGCAGAAUACAACCAAGGAAAAAACACAAAGGUUUCCUGUAGAUGACCAAAAUGUAGGCUGCAAAAAACGGUGCUGUAGGGAUAGGUCUAUAACAGUAGAUCAUAUACAGGCCCCCUCCAAAGUCCUAUGCGUGAUCCAUUGGCAGAUCUGGAAUCUAAUAGUACUGGGGGUGCUAAUGACCUGAUAUAUUAAUAGCAUCAUGGAGACAGCUUCUCCUUUGUCAUCUAAUUGCCCAGGACUUUUUUAUAAAACAACGCUCUAAAAUUUUAAAAUUUGCGAAACAAUCCUCUCAAAAUUUUAUUUGUAAAACUAAUCCUCUUUUCGCCAAGUCAGCAGCACGUUAGAAUUUCUUUUAAAGGCGGUAAAUCAUUUACCGCGUUCUCCAAUUUUUUUUAAAGACGGUAAAUCGUUCACCGCUUUCUCCGAUUUCUUUUAAAAAUGGUAAAUCAUUCACCGCCUUUCACUUAUUUACUGUUACUUUCUAUAUCUCAUAUAUAAUCCUAACAACAAUAUAAAAAUUCUAACAAAUCACAUAUAAUCUUAACAACCUUUAAAUCCCAAUAAUUUAUCCAUGUAAUUUGCUUUUAUAUGAAAUUAUAUGGAUAAAUUAUUAGAAUUUAAAAGUUGUUAAGAUUAUAUGGAAUAUAGAAAGAAACAGUAAAUAAGUGAAAGGCGGUGAAUGAUUUACCGUCUUUAAAAGAAAUAGGAGAAAGCGGUGAACGAUUCACCGCCUUUAAAAAAAAUAGGUAAAAGCGGAAAACGAUGCACCGCCUUUAAAAGAAAUAAGAGAAAACGGCGAACGAUUCACCGUCUUUAUAAGAAAACCCUGACGUGGCGCCCACGUGGCGAAAGGAGGGUUAGUUUUACAAAUAAAAUUUUUACAUGAUCAUUUUGCCGAUUAUAAUUUUUUAGAGGGUCAUUUUAUAAAAAAAAACCCAAUUGCCCACUCUCUGAAGCGUGAUGUGGACAUUUUUUUUUGGUUUUGUGUUGUUUUAUUAGAGUGAUAAAGAUAACAUGCUAUUUGUUUUGUUCAUUCGAUGAAUAUUUAUUCUAUUAUUUUAUUCCAUCUAUUUAAUGCGAUGAGAUAAAAAGAAGUGCGACAUAGGUGAUAUGCUAGAAGUGAAUUGAAUUGAAUUAACCUUUCGAGGAGAAAUUGGCCAAGGAAUGAACAGCAAUUCGGGUGUCACAAAUUCCAUCCAAUAGUUAUGUCAUGAUUAAAAUUUGAAACUACAGCCAAUCAAUCACUCAGCUACUGUGUCGACAGAACUAAUCCAUUAACAACAGCAACAGGACUAUUGAUAAAUAUCUUAUUUUUCCAUCAACUAACAUAAGAUCGGUUCUCUCAAAAGCAUCACUCUUUCUUCUUCUUCUUCUUCUUCUUCUCUUUCUUUUAAGAGUACCAAGUGUUUUGGGUGGAUAAAAUUGAUUGUGUAGUUAGGCAGCAGUAAGGGCAUAAACUCUUUCUGUCACAAUGCCUUCUUUUUCCUGGACAUUGAAAGGGACUUCCAUCAUUAGGAGAAUUGAAUAGGCAUCCCAAGCAUCGGCGGUGGGACAUGUGAUCAUCACCAUUGUACCAAAUUUCAGCUAAGUCUACGUGACAACAGUCUCUUCUUCAUCGCCACCCCUGAAUCUGAUUGGUUUAUCAAAGUGUCAUGAGACACGAUUGCCGAAGUUUAAUAAACCUCAAGAUUGGACAAAAUAGGAAUGAUUAUAUUGAAAAGGACUCGAUUAGGAUAGGAUUAGGCACAUUUCAACUGCGUUCAAUAUUCCGUAUCAUCAUUAAAUCGCAUCGCAUCGCAUCGCUACUGCCAACUAGUCAAAUAGUUUUGAUUGAGUCACAGUCACAGUUCUAUGAGAACUAAUGCCACAUCUAGUUUUAUUGGGAAAAACAAUUCCAAAUCUAGCAUUCUUUUUAAAAAAAUUUCUAAUCUAGCCUUCUUUUGAUAGAUUAGAAAAUAAAAAUGACUUAAGCAUUUAUAUGUUAAUUAGGAGAGAGAAAAUUUUUCUCUCUCUUUCCUCUCAAUUAAUUCUUAUAAUAAUAACAAUAAUUAAAAAUUAAUAUUUAAUAAUAAUGAUAUUAUUAUUAUUGAAUGAUAAUUUUAUUAUUAUUAUUAUUAUUAUUAUUAUUAUUAUUACUAGCAUUUAGUACAAGUGGUAAAUCACUUGGUGGUUGGUACUUGAAGUUCUGAGUUUGAAUUAUUAUUAUUCUAGCUAAGUUUAUUUGUAAAAAAAAUAAAUGAAGAGGAUAGCACCAUGCUAUCUUUCUGAAAAAAAAAUUUCAAUAAUAAUAAUAUUUAUUAUUAUUAUUAAAUAUUAAUUUUUAAUAAAUAUUAUUAUAACAAAAAUUAAUUAUUUUUAAAUAUUAGCAGGGUGGGAGGAGAGAGAGAAAAAAAAUUUCUCUCUCCAAGUUAGCAUAUAAAUACUAUUAAAAUUAUCUUUUAUUUUCUAAUUAUCAAAAGAAGGCUAGUUUAGAAAUUUUUUUUAAAAGGAGGCUACGUUGGGAAUUUUUUUUUCUAAUAAGGCUAUACAUGGCAUUAGUUCGUUCUAUGAACCACAUGAAUUUGCUACAACACAUCAGCACAAGAAAUACGGCAAUUUGCUGUCUCAAUUAUAAGUUUGAUGCUGCAGGAGAUUAAACCCAAGUUAUGGAAUUACAGUCAAACAGAGUGAAGCCUAGAACCAACACCAGCUGUCAAAAUAGGAAAAGACAACCAACAAGAGAAAGAAAACGAAAACAACCAAUUUAUAUUCUAUCAAUGUAUAUGUAGUUUCCAAUGUUACAGCUUCCAUUAUUAUUACAAUUAUUACAAUUACAUAGAUAUUUAGCACAAAACAAUCACCUUAUGCAGAUAUGUUUAACACACCGUAGCGGUCAAUAAACAGGGAAGGUAUGCACAUAAGCAUGCGGAUGCAGUUAGGACACUUGGGCCCCGUUUAGUUCGAAAAUAAUGAUAAUUUUUUUUAUUCUCGAAAAUAGUUUAUUAUUUCAGAAUAGUUAAGAAUAAAAGUAAAAUCUUAUUUGAUUUGUAAUACUGCUAUUCUAAGAAAUAAUUGAAAUUGUGUUGGUUAAUUUUAUGGAAUAGUAUAGAAUAAUAGAAAAAAAAUAAUGAUUGAAUUUGAUAUAAAUUAUAAUUUAAUAAAUAUAACUUGUUAUAAAAAUAAUUUAUAAAAAUAAAUUAUUUAUUAUAAAAAUAUAUAUAUUUUUUUAAAAAAUCUACUUAAACUUAAAUUAAUAAAAAUAAUUUAUUAUAAUAUUUAAGUAUAUAAAUAAUAUAUCUUAAUUUAGAACAAUUAAUAAUUUUAUAAUAAAAAUAAUUUAUUAUUAUAUAUAACGUAUUAUGAUUUAUGACUACAUAAUUUAGUUUUAAUUCAAUUUAUAAUCUUAAUAAAGUUUGGAGUUAAAUAUUUAAAUCGUACUAUUCUACCAAAAGAUGAAAUUAUUUAUCUAAGCUAUUCCGGAAUAACUAAUUAAGAAUAGAAAGGUUUCACCGAGAUAAAUUAUUCCAGCCAGGAAAAAAUCUAUUUGGCGAAAUAACGGGAAUAACUUUCGUUAUCUCCGGCUUUAUUCCCAAACCAAAUGGAACUUUUUAGGGGUUAUUUGGUUACAUUAAUAUUGUAUUUCGAAUAUAUUUUAAUUUACUUAAGAAAUUAUAGUUUUGGUAGAUGCGAAAUAUGGUCAGACAUUUAAAAUUAAAUAAUGUAUUUUUAUUUUUGUAAUUAAUUUUUUAAAAUAAAAUAAAUCACUUUAUAGAUAAAAUAUGUUAAUCCACGACGAAAUCAUGAAUGGCAAGACCUUUUCAAGAGCAGAAAUUAACUUUUUACAUCUAAUCGAAAAGAGAAAAUUCAUGCUGAAUAAAUUAUUUAAAGAUAACUUAUCCAAUAUCCAAACAAAACCUUAAUAAGAGAUAGAGAGAAUUAAAUCGAAACAAAUCAGAGGUUCCGCAAGGAAAUCAAAAUUACGUCCAAAAACCUACAUGGAUCAUGCAAGUGGGACUGAAAAUCCACAAAAGCAAAAGAUGAGAUAUGAAGGUACCCUCCCAGUCAAUCACAUCGUCGUGCCUCAUUAAGUUGUGAGGAUCUAACUAGUGGCAAUAUUAAAACUUCCAACUUGGAAAGAUGCCACUUUAGAAAUUUAUUCUUGUGCUUAAAAGGCAAGCUGAUAGUGUAUGAUUAGAUGUUAUUAUUACUCGAUAGAAUAGAAUGAGUGUGAUAGAACAAAUACAUGGUGUCCCGGCUUAGUGCAGUGGUUGAACUAUGAUUGGAGACAAUCCACAGACCAGCUAACUUGUGAUCUAAGAUGAUUAGGAAAUAUACACCCACCAAUCAAAAGCAGAGUAGCAAAUCAAUCAAAGUGGUGGCCCAUAACACGGUCUCUUCACCCAACUACUGCAAUUGCAGCGGACAUCAUCCAUCUAGUCACCUCCCAUAUUUUCUCCCCUACUAAUUUUUAUGCUUAGGCCACAAAUGUCAACUCAUGCCACCAUAGUCCACAGAUGCUAUUAGGUUUCCAGCCUCUUUACAGAAGGGAUGGCACAUGGAGAGGAGGAGAUUAUCAUGGCAUCAGGGAUGGACUUGGGUGGGCUACAAAGCUCCUUUUCUUAGGGGGACAGUUUUGAUUGAUGGAUUCCACACCAAGGAACAAAGGGGUGGAGUACAUCAGUACACGGUUUGGUAUAUAUGCAUGAGAGUGGGGAAUGUAAAAAAAAAUGAUAGAAUCAUACUUUUGGCUACUCGGAAUUGGUGAUCACUUAAUAAAGUACUGAUUCGAUUCCUACGCUGAGAAUCGAAUGCAAAAGGCUAAAUCAAUCACUAAUCAGCGAAACUAAUGCAUUAAUUACUCAAAGGGGUGUUCAUACGUGCAACCCCAAUAUCCAUCGCGAUACUAGUUUUAGCAAUCACCUGCGGAACGGAACGCCUACUAAUUGGUUCGGUUCACAGUUCACACCCGCACACACUAAAAGAUAGUAAGAUCACUGUUGGUACACUACUAGCGCCGCUUUGAGCUGCAUAAGGGAUAUCUCCAAAGCAUUACUCUGCUCGAGAAUGAAACCCAAAGAUGUGAACAACGGCCAUCAAAUCAGCAAGUUGGAGGGGGAAGAUGGAUCAAUCAACCUGCGCAGCUUGUCGGUCGAAAAUAUGCAGCCUGCAGAGGGUGGUGGAAUCUGAGGAGUUAGCAGUGACGACUUCCCAAUUAUUGGGCACACUAACAACUCCAAAUGCUUGUCAGAUGGACCACCCAACCGAGGAGGAUAAACCUCCCACCUAAUUCACCAGGAUGAUUCCAGUGAAGCUGACUAGUCAAAUAGGAAAAGUAAAAAAUAAUUGAGCUUUUGUUUUUCUUCAUUUAUUUCCUCUUUGCUUACUCGAAAGGUGUAAUUUAUAACUCACCACGUCCUGCCUAAUGUCGAAACAGAGAAGCUACAGCAACUCCUGGAAAAGAUGACCUGAGAUAUAUAGGAUGAAGGGUCAUGGAAUGGUACAAACUAUAGCUCAUUGGAUUCUCAGAAGAUCAACAAGACAAUUUUUUUCCACUAUUUCCGGAUCAGAUCACAGCGACGAAAGAGGAGUCACUGUAGGAUUCCAGUGGGUGGUCACACACCCACAUACUAAUUAAGGUCCCCAUGUAUGAAAACGAAAACAGAUUCCUUCAUGUGAACAACGUUUUCUUCUUUUACAAAAGAAUCCACAGCUGGGCAUGCCAAGAACAUUAAUAUUGAAGCCCCCAAACAUGAUAAACCUAACCAUGACCAUGUGCGUGAACCGAAAUAGAAGAAAAGGACUGCCUAGUAAGAGAAGCGGCUGCUAACAAGUUUGAACAAGAAGAGGCAAACAAAGCCAAUUGCAAAUAGUCUAUGAGAGCGAGAGAAAAAGGACACUGAUGCAGUCACCUAUCACUAUAAUUCACAGCUCAUACGGGUGUGGGUUUGCUACCCUAGAAGAAUGUUGGCCUACGGCAACCCUACCGCCGCUUGUUGCCAUUCACACCGCAUUGUCCUCGGCUCAUACUUUCUCAGCUUUAUGAAGGUAUUUUUUUAUUACCGUGAAAAAAAUCCAAAAUUGGGAGGACAUCGUGGAAGGUUAGAGUUGGCAUGGAAAUGCUAUCUGAAAGUGUUCAGCAAACAUCUGUGAACGUUUGGCCCAGCAUGUGCUUCUGCUUUCAACUACAGUCAUAUAUAGUAUAAUAUUUGGCAACUGUAAACGCCGCUAUAAAAAUUAAAUUUAGAUUCUAAGUUCUAGAUGCAGAAGACUCAGUUUUUAGCUCCUAAUUUUGCCACAGAGAAGCUGUCGAAAACAUCUUAAUAGAGUACUCCAUAUAAUAGCUUUACUCAAAAUUACUUCGUCAAACAACAGAGCACUCUAUGGCAGGCCCAAACAGGAAUGGUCUGUUUGGUAUGCUUGGCACUUUACCAACCCCAUUUUAGAGAGAGUUAGAGCUGUUUGCGAUCAAUUUGAUAUCAAUUACAGAAAAUAGAGGUUUCAGUAAAGCCCAUCAAGUUUACUUGAGGAACAGAAGAGAUAGGGUAGAGCAGAGCACACAGUAGAGGACAAGCCGGUUGGAAAAGCAGAAGCACAUGGAGGUAGAACAGGAAAUAUGAUAAAAAUGAAAAGAGAAAAUUUUCUGCAGUUACUAGGGAAACGUUUUUUAAUUGUAUAAUUUACUGCUUUCCGAAAAAGAAAGCAGUUCGAGAAGCAACGCAUAAAAAGCACAUGCAAGUCGAAACCUUCAAACAUUUUAGCCCAAUGAGUAUAUCUGGUUACAAGUAUUCAGUCCCUGAAAGUGAAUGCUCGAAUAGAACAGAAACCUGCAUAUUCCCUACAUCAAACCACUCAACAAUUACAGACUAAUACGAUCUUAAAAGGUGUUAAAAUAUAAGUCGAAAAUAAAAGAAAAUUAGUACCACACAGAGUAAAUUUAGAACCUUAUUCUCUCAGAUUGUGGUCAAAUAUUUGCAGCUGAACUUUCAACCAGCAGAUUACUUGCAGGGGGGAAAGAAAUCACCUAGAGGCACAACAGUACCGACACCAAAAAAAUCUUUCAAAAAGACAUCACGUACAUAUGACAAAGCAUGAUAAGCAUGAUGAAGAAUAUGAUUAGACAACAUUAUUUAGGAAUUUUUAUUUCUUUGAUCCCCUAAAGUGUUCCCCGUAGUAGUAAGCACUCCCAACCAUUAAAGCAACUGUUGCACCCUGAACUACGACACGAGCCCUCAUCAGCUUCUGACCUAAGUGAGAAUUCCCUUGCCUAAAGCUGAUUAGACCGGCUGUGAGGACACCAGCAGUUAAAAGUGCACCUGAGAAACUUUAAUGUUAGAUACGAGAACAAGAAAAAGUUCACCACACUAUUCAUGAUCAGUUUCCUAAUGUAAAAUUCAUCAAAGAGAAAAUUGUUUUGUCAACUGGGGAUAUCAUCUAGAGAAAGGAAACCUAAUUAGAAAUGUUAUCUAUUUCAAUUAGCUUCAAACAUUAUACUGUUACUGGUACAAGUGGUGCUCAAGUGUAACCUAUAAAAACAACUGAAAUUCAUUAGAUUGUUAAUCUUACAAUGUUCCAGAGAUCUUUAGUUUCAUAAAUCAUGUCUUAGAAGUCAAUUAAUUCAAAUCAUCAAAAUGUCCGCUCAAUCAUAACAUCUACUCAUGACUUAUACUCAUUCCUCACAGAGGUUCUGAUAUUCAAAAGCAUAGGAUAGUUGUGCUUGAAAAUUAGGUAUGCCUCUAGUUAUUUCAAUGUUAAAAUUUGCAACUCUGAAUAUAACAAAAGAUGUCAACCUGAAAAAAGUUGAAUCUGAAUAUAACAAGCAAUAUACAGACCGGGAAAGGACAACAAAACCAUAAUCAGUUAAUCACACAUAAAUUAUACUUUUCGACCAAGCUAAAUUUGACAACUCAAAAGGACAUAAUCUCCGCAUCAAAACAACUCAUAUCGCUUUAGAAUAUAGUCAUUUGUUGACAUGAGAUCCGAUAAACCCAUACCAAAGAAACAACAUUAAGCACAUCCAAGAAACCAAGAGUAUCAUGAUAUUUCUAAACAUAAUCAUGUCCUCUCUUACUGGAAAAAGGUGACUAAUUGCAUUACAUUGAGCUAAUGAUUUCCCAAAACAAAUAAUCAUAACAAAUAUGAACAAGGUCUAAACUCCAUGUGUUUAAUAUAGAGCAAAUGAAAGUGUAGCCAAUUGUUCUUAACAUAGUCAAGUGCACACGAAAUCUGAGAUAUCAGAUGUCUUUUUUCUUGCCUCAAGUUUGUAUUACAAAUGCCACAAGAGAUAUGAAGAUAUCAAACAGAUAUUUUGUUGCCUCAAGGAGUCAUGAAGCUUCAUCCUCUUACACACACACACACACACACACACACACACACAGAGAGAGAGAGAGAGAGAGAGAGAGAGAGAGAGAGAGAGGGUGAAGGAAAGGAGGAAAGGUGAAGCAGUCACUGUGCGAAACAAAGUGCAAGUAGUCAAGAAAUUUAAAGUUGUUGCACAAUAAAUUCUGGCUGUAGGAAAUAGGCAGAGAUUAGCUUAAGCCUUUAAGCUACUUCAGGAGGUGAACAUAGGAACACUCCUCAAAGAGAUAAGUUUUUCAAGCAUCAUAAAUACAUGGUGAGUUCAUGGGUUGUCACUUGGGAUUUCUUUUAUUUGACUAGCCACCAAAUAAUUUCAAACUUUCAACUUUUAACAUUACCUUAGAGCCCUCUAAGAACCUUUAGAAAAAAAAAAACCUAGUAAUUCUCUUCUUUAAUGACAUGUAAAUAAGAAAUACACUAGGAGAUGAGGAAGCAGCUCAGGCAAUUAUUUGAUCACUACCAAGGGAACUAGUUAAAUGCAAAGGUCAGUUUUUGUCUUGCUCCCAUGAUCAUUCCUUAAGAUUCCACUCAUGCAGGAUUCAGAAUAAGAAAGUGGCAGUCCUCUAAGGUACACAGCCGACGUAGCAGAUUAAGUUAUUAUAGAAAGUAAUACUAGCAAGUUACUUCAAAAAGGGUUGUUGAAGGAGUCCUAGAACUUUUGCAAGUGCGGGAAGAUCACACGAAUAUAAAGAACAAGUAUCACCAAAUCUAUAGGGCUCUUUUGAACAUUCAGCUGCUAAGGUAAUCCUGACAAGCUACUAGAACAAGUUAAAGAUAUAUGAAACCAUUAAAUGUCUCCCUAAUAUGUUUCCAUCAUUAUUGUUUUGACAAGGCCUGUUGAACGACCUUCUAAGGUAGCUUCAUUUCCACGACAUUUUCAUUUAAAGAGCACAUUACAGCGAAAUUCUAGAUUGCAUCACCAACUUUACUCGUAUAAAAAGUAAAUAUAUGAACCCAUUAAGAACCAAAGAUUUGAAAAGUGCAAAAAUUUAAUUUAAUAUGACAUGGUGAUGGAAGAGACUAAUCCUAAUCAAUUUUGUUCGUAAAUAAAAUACUACUAGCAGACAACGUUCUCGAGCGAAAUGGUGAAUAAACGGAAGUAAUACCUUAAAUCUUUGCAGUGUUUAGAGUCUUUAGACCCUAAGCAACUGACAAAAUUUCCCAAAUAUAACAGAAUCAAUUUUACGGCACCGCUCUGGUAGAGCCAAUAAUAUAGGUUCUCUGUGACAUAAGAAUUAUCACAAGCUGUUACUAGUUUUUCAAGAAUCAUAACCGCGACGCAUCAGAAUAACCUUCACUAGAAUUCCUGCAUAUUCUCCAUAAACUAACUGACACAAGCGACCCCUCCUUAUUACAAGUAGCUCAAAUAACAGGUUUCUAUUAUGUGCACAGCAAUGGGAGAAAAGUAGCUAAGAGUAAAUCAUACUUAAAUCAUAUCAUAUCAAUAUACUUAUUUGCCAAAAAACUAAUGAUGCAAUUACCAAAAACACAACGAAAUCGUAAUCAAAAUUAAGGGAAAAAACUUCUAAACUUUAGAUUUUACCAAUUAGGGCAAAGUAACAACAACCGGGACAAGCCCUAACACCCGAUUAUACGAUCGUAUGAAUCAAAAAUCUACGAAAACGAGAUGAGAAAAAUAGGUUUGGAUCAAGGAAUUUGAGGAGAGGGGGGGAGAUACCGAUGGGGACGAGAGGGUUCUUGACGCGCUUCUUCUGAGCGAGGAGAUCUUCGAUUUGGGAGUCGGCGGCCCCCAUCUUCUCCAUUCGCUUCGAUCCGAGUCGAUCUCGCAGGGGGAGGAAAAAUUGGGCGAAUCGGAGUUGGACCACUUUGGCUCUCGUGGCUCCGCGGCCGUAGACGUGCACCUCGGAGGAAGUGGACCAGUGUCGCCGCUCUAGCGGUACCUUUCACCUGGACCCGGCCCACCACGUCACUUUGGCUCUCGUGGCUCCGCGGCCGUAGACGUGCACCUCGGAGGAAGUGGACCGGUGUCGCCGCUCUAGCGGGACUUAUCGCCUGGACCCGGUCCACCACGUCACCCCAAAACCCUUCCAUAUUUUGAAGGUAAAUAUGCACGGAGGACCCCUCCGCUGUAUCCCUUUUGAAAUCGACCCUCGGCUUUUUGAAGGAUUUUAGCAUAAAAUUAAGAACUUUUUUAAAUCAUUGGUGAUUUUAUGGAUAAUUUAAAUUAUUUUUCGGUAAAAUAAAAAUUAAAUCUAUUAAUCAUCAAUAAUGCUAAAAUGUUAUGAAAAUUUUAAGUUAGUGAGUGUAAAAUGCAAAUAAAAGAUAAAAAAAUAUGGAGAUUUUAAUCAAAAUAAUUAAGAAAUCUAUGGCCUACAGAUGAAUCCUAGACAAAAUAAACGUUAACCGGUGCUCAUUUUAUUUAACAACAUACUGCAUGUAAAUUUUAUACCAUCGCUUACCCUGUAAUUUAUAAACAUCUUAUAGAUUUUUAGUAUUUUAAAAAUAAAUAUAUAUAUAUGAAUGAAUAUCCUUAUGAAAAGUUAUAGUUUCAUCGGCACUCCUCCAAAAUUUAAAACAUUGUUAACCUCUUAAUAACUAUCAAAAACAUUUUUGAAUGUCUUCAUUCAAAUUUGAUGGUUUAUAUCUGAAGUUUCGUUUUUACCCUCCAGUAAACUAAUGACCUAGCAAGCUUGCCACCAAAAGAGUAAUUUUCAUGAUUUUAAAAGAAAGUUUAAAAUAAAUAAUUUAAUAAAAUGAAAGUGAUAGAUUUACACACAUUACGUAAUAAUUUAAAAAAUUCAUACUAUAAGCUACAAAAUUGAAAAUUAUAUUCUAAAUAAAAAUUUUAAAAAAUAAUAUGUAUGAACAUAUCGCCCUGCCAACUACCAAGGAUAUUUAAGGGUAAAAUAGUUAAUUCAUUAAUGUGAUUAGUAUAAGUAAAGGGUAUUUGUGAUAAAUUUAUAUAUUAAUGUUCUAAAUUUUGAAAGAAUAUUUAUAAAAUUUUAAAACUUAAAAGGACAUGUUUGAAAUUUCUUCUUUAAAUUUUUUUUAAAAAAUUAUUUAUACGCCUCAAAAUGAGUAUAGAUUUUACACCUCCCAACCUAAGAUCCACGAAAAUCUAAAAAAAAAAUUAGUAAAAUAAAUGAUAUGACAAAUAAAAAGAAAAUGUAAUAACUCUACACAUAAUAAAAUGGAUAAAAGGUUAAGUCUUUAUAAAUGAAUAUAGCUAUGAAUAAAAGGGCAAAAAUUGUACGGACAUAGCGUCCAAAUUAGUAUUUUUGGGGACAUUCUAGAUGGACGCCGUGUGCUCGCAGGCGUCCAUCCCAACGUCCUUUUUUCUACUUUUAUUUUUUGUCUCUCUCUAAAAAAAUUAUAUUUUUUAAAACAAAAAUAGAACAGUGGGAUAGAUGCAUACGAGCCAUGUGGCACCUAUCCGGAUCGACCCAAAAAUAUUAAUGUGGACACUGUGUCCACACUAUUUUUGCCCUGAAUAAGAUUGAUACUUUAUGAAUAAAUGCUCUUUUAAAAAACAACGGGCCUGAUUUAGACGACUUUAGAAAAAUAAUAUCAACAACAACGUGUUAAAUUUAAUCAAAAUAAUUUAACUUGGAUAUGAUGUCAUUAACAAGGGUUUUAUAUUUUUUUUUAGAAAUAGUUAGUACGCUAUCCGUUUCGUUUAUUUCAUUUAGAAAUAAAUUUAGCUAAAAAUAUGAAUCAACUAAAAUUUAAAUUUAAGUCUCGAGUACCAAUCAAUAAAUGUUUUGUCACUUGCUCUAGAAGCGGUCCAUAACAAGAGUUUUAUGUUAAGAUUGUUAAGUUAGAUAGUUUCAUUAUUUUCGGUGAUAACUCAGAUUCAAUGAAUCUGAUUUUAGCUUCUAAUUUCUCGUGUUUUGUACCGAUCCGGCCUGAUGAUUGGACGGCACGGCGGCGCGCAAUCGGACGGACUAGAUCUUCGGGAAAAGCACAUCUACGCUAAUCACAGCCCUUCAAUUAUAAUAUAUUAAAAAUUCGAGGAAAUCAAAAUAAGACGACGCACUCUCCUCGCUCGCUGUGCUUUGCGUCAACUGCUACACAAAUUCUCUUCCCCCGAUUCUCUUUAUUUCCCUUCUUAAAAAAAAAAAAAAAAAAAACUCUUACUCGAAGAACUAGGGAUUGGGGAAGCGUUCCAUCGCCCCUGGGGCCGUUGAUGCCCUAAGGGACGUAUUAUUUCGGAUCGGGGAUUGGAAUUUGAGGAAGUGUUCUUGGUAAGAUCCUUUUAUUAGAAUGGGAAUUUCAGAGAUUGUUGAAUUCUAGGAUUUUUCUUUAUUUUGUCCUUAAUCCCUUUCCAUGGAGAACUGUUCUUGGUUUUAACUAGGGUUUUGGAGCCUUUUAUUAUGGCUACUCCUUUUUCUAUCUAAAGAGCAUAGGAAGAAGAUUUUUUGUUGGUUUUUUGGGCGGAAGAGUUGAAAUUUUGGUUAGAAUAUUCCCGGGGAUCUUGAGAAGGAAGUUUAGUCUAAAAGGGAGAAUUUUGCCCUUUUUUUUGUGAAAAAAGGUGGUUUUGUUUGGAAAAAUGGUCGGUUAUUGUAUUUUUUGGGGGGGGGGGGAAUUGAUUGUUUAAUUCCGCAAUUUGUCGAAGAGGAACUUUUCUGAUCAAUUUGUUUCUGACAAAGAUAGGAUUUAUCGUUUAAAAAGCUUUUUUUUUUUUUUGGAGAAAACUAGGUUUGAUUAAAUUUGAUCUUUUCUGUGGCAAAAAUAUCUAGGAUUAAAGCGGGUUUCUCGAUUUAAAAUGUCAGUAGCUUUCACCCGCCUCUCUCAUUUCCUAUGGGGAAAAAAAGAUCAUGAGAAAACCACCAAUACCUCUCUUCCCGAUUUCCCAUCCGGAUACAGGGAGCCGGAUUCCGUCAAAUUCUCAUCAGUUAAUGGCCCGAGGGCGCAGUCGUCUUCUAGAAGGAUCAAGAAAAACUGGCAGAGGCAGGAGGAGCAGAUCGAUAGGGAAUUUGAUGUAGUUAUUGUACCCUCGGACGGUGGAUGCAUGUCGGGGUGGGAAUCGGAUGAUUCAGAUGGUUCUGAUUGGUCGGUCGGGUGGUUGGAGCCUCAUGCACACGAAUUCCAGUGCGAGACAGAAUCCGAUAGCAGCUUUGCUGUCUUGGUCCCUUGCUAUCGGCGCGGGAUCGGCAAGCCGGAGAAGAGUGUAAAAAUUCGUUCUUUGGGCGCGAGUAAUCUCUCUGGUUAGUGAACUUUAACCGGUAUCGACUUUAUAUCUGCUGAUAAUUUGCUUUGCAUUGUUUAUAUUUCCAGCAUUCUAGUACUUGUUGGAAUAUCAAAUUCCUGCAGUAAUUCUCCACAUAUGUGCUUAAUAACCUGACCAUGUACUAUAGGAGAAAUUAUUGGAUACACCUUGGCAUUUAGACGACAAGAAUAUUUAUGAGCAAACAGUUCUUGCUAAUACCAUUUUGGCCGGGACUAAAAUUCCCUGGCGCAUGACCUGGCAGAUGUGGAAUUUCAGUACUGAUUGACAUCCAUCACAUAUUUUCCUAUUAAAGGUUAAAAUUUUGAAAUGCUCAAUACAUUUAGGCUCCAUUUGGAUGUUGGAACAAUUUAUUUGGUGAUAACGCUAGCAGUGUGAGGUUUUCGUUUUGCGAUUGCAACAUAGGGGUUUGAUUUAUGUUCACUGUAAAGCCCUCAUAGUCAUGAUUUUUGAGAGUAGUCUGUUCGACCUACAAGGUGAUUUAUCAUAAUGAUGGGAAGAAAUAAGCAAUUUAGAGAUUUUAUGUGUUUAUUGACAUCUUUUCUCAUACUCCCAUUGACCAAUAACUAUCACAAGCCUCUUUAAGUCUGCAAAAGAUAUAUGUGAAACAACAUAUGCAUGCAUCCAAAGAGGUCCUUUAAGCAAUGUGGUCAAACUGUUGGGAUAUUUUAAGAUUACCGAUCACUCGCACGGUGCAACUCUUUUAUCUCCGUUGCUGGUGUAUCAGAUAUUAUGAGCUGAUCCUUGAAGUUGGCCUAACACAGAGGAAAUAAGGUUUUCCGAUUUGUAAAGAUUAAUUGUUGACGUAAGCACCUAAAUAGUGACUUCAGGUAUUCUCUGUUGCUGUUUGGAUACAUGGAUUCACAAUUUUCUCCUAUCACAGUAAAUAUAAUAGCCUUUUAAACUUGGUGCUGGUUUUGGAGGAUAGUCAAACAAUUUACUCUACAAACUUGUAAGUUGAUACUUCAUUUUUCACCUUAACUGGUCCAAGCUAGCACAUUUUGUUCUUUGCCUUUUGCUGAUCUUAUCGGAAAUAUGUUUGUCCCUCUUAACCACAUGAGCUAACAUGUUAACAUAUGUUCGUAAAAAAGAUGAGAGUUUGGCAUAAAUAGGUGAUGUUUUUAAGAUUGAAGCUUAUGAGCUUCUGAUAGUCUACCUUCUCUACCUUCUUAGAUUAUUUCAUGGAUUUAAAAUAGCAAGCUAUUGAGAAAUUCUCAAAUCCUUGAAAUGGCAUGAGCUAGUUUAUUAGGCAUGGAAUACAUUCUAAGAUAGGCACUUUAUUGGUUUUGUGAAUGGUUCUUGCUUAUUUUAUAGUUGAUUUCGUGGUAAUUGAAUCUUUUUUAUUUUGAAGAAGAAAUAAAUCCUUUUUUUUUUUUGUUUUACAUGAACUGAACUCAUGGACGUGUAUGCCGUCUUCAUUGCCUAUAUCUAUUGGGUUCUGGAUAUAACUGUUUGAUGGAUUGAACAAUAUUCUGGCAAGCACCUUUAUACAGGGGCAUGUUGCCUUAGGAGACAGAAAAGUUUAUUUACAUUCAUUUAGCACUUGAUGCAGUUUGUGCUAAGUAACUUGGAAGCUCCUCCAGUUUCCCUUUUUAGGUGUUUGUGUUGCUUGCUUAAAUUCUGCAGCUUUUGUACCUCCUUUUUGUUUUCUUUUUUCUUUUUUACUUUUUGCCUGUGUUCUGAGAUUGUUCUAGCAAAGAUUGUGCGCUGGUUCACUGUGGCAUCUCCAAUAUGAGGAUAUUUGUUGGUGACUCCUCUUCUUGGGAGAUGCUUGCACUUGUUUUUAUUGCUUCUUUGUUGCACUGACACGUUGUAGCUAGGCAUAAUUACAAUCUGCUGAUACCUGCAUUUGAAACUUACUGCAUUUUAUUGCUUCAAAUUCCUUCCGAACUUGUGAUAAUGCUUAAUCUAAUUAUAUUAAACAGCUACACUUCUCACAAUCUUGUAUAUUCUUUUUAUGCAGAGGGCAAGAGUUUCAUAGAACAGUGGCUUUCUUCUCUUCAGAACUCCUAAUGCCGCGAAAUACUGCCCAUCUGGUCUAGUCCAUUCAUUCUUUUCCAUUACCAAUUAUACCAGGUCGCGGAAAGAUUACGACAAAAGCAAAGGGAGCAGCAGGGGUAAUUUUAGGAUCUUUAGAUGGAUAUGCAUCUCUCCCGGCAAGGCUUAAGCAAAGCUCCAAGAGGCUUGCUUUCUCAUCAUAGGUCGAGAUUCUUUUAGAGGAUUAUUAAAGUGGUGAUUGUUUUACAUAGUGCAUUUGCUUUUUGCCUCCAUUCGGGGAUUUACUCUGCUAUUGGUACUGUAAUAUGAUUGUAAAUACAUUCUUAGUAAAUAUCACCAUAGUUAUGGAGCUCAUAUUUUCGCAAUUUCUCAUUGUUUGAUUUGGUUAUAGCUGAAAGUGAAACACCUGGUAGCCUGGUUGGUGAACCCCUGUACUUGGUGAAUCUAUUUUUGCUCUUCUGCCAUUACUUCUCCAAUGAUUUUAGUUUAUAUAUAUAUAUAUAUAUAUAUAGAACUAGGCUACUAUGCUAUUAAUAGCACCAAGUCAUUGGUGCUAUCAAGUUUUGCCAGUUAUGAUUACCUUCUUUUAAAUUUCAAUCCCGUCGAAUUAUACGAUUCACCAGCCACCCACAUCAAAGCCCUAGGCCCAAGUCAUUUCUAACCAACACCACACAUUUUUUUAUCCAAGGAUAUAAAUUUAAUCAGCACCAAUUAUGUGCUAUUAAAUAUAUCGCAGCCUAGUUCUAUAAUAUAUAUAUUAAUAUAUAUAUAUAUAUAUAUAAUAGAGGAGAGAGAGAGAGAGAAAGAGAUGAGAGAGCAGAGAGAAGUAGAGAGAGAAGGAGGAGAGAGAAGGAGAGAGAUGGACUGUGGCUCUCCAGGAGGCACAGAGCCUCGUGCCCUGAGCCAUUUCGAUGAUGGAGUCCGAUCGACGAUUCGGUUCCGUUAAAACUGAUCUACUAUUGAAAAGUUGCUAGAAAAAUAAUUUUCGUGCUGAUUUUCGCAUACUCAUUUACCGAAAAAAAAAAAAAAAACUAGCAAUCGAAAAGGAUCAAAAUCAAUAAAUUUUUAACUGGUUGUAAAAUAAAUCCUAUAAAGUGAUAUAUCACUGAACUAAAAUUUUGAAUCAGAAAUAUUGAUCUUCUUUGUAGAUAGAUAAAAAAUUUGAUAUCAAAAAUUUUAAUCUGAUUUGAAUACUUCUACACUGUUAAACUUGAAAAACUGGCAGAUAAUCAACAAUUAAAAUUAUGAGAUUUGAAUCUUUCUCGAUCACUAGGUAAAUUAUACAAAAAUCGCAAAAUUAUUUAAUUAAAACUCUAAAUGCGCUAGACAAGUUCUAACGAAGCCGAUCGUUUCGAUUUGAAAGCUUGCUAUCAUCGAAAAAACCGGCUCAGGAGCACGGAGCCUCUGGGUCUCCUGAGACAGCAGGUCAGGCUCCUUGCUUUAUAUAUAUAUAUAUAAUAUAUAUAUAAUAGAUUAUGAGUGAGGCUAGAAUGCUAAUCGGAACACUAAGCGAGGCCUCCGUGCUCCAGCUCGUUUUCGGAUGUUCGACUUCGAAUCGUCGAUCAAGCUCCGUUUAAAAUCUGAUCUAGAGUAUUGAAAGAUACCUAGAAAUAAAAUUUUUUAUGAUUUAGCAUAUCAUUGCCUAGUGAAGCAGAAGGGGCUCAAAUCAACAGCUGAAAUAAAAAUCUUACAAAAUGAAUAAUAUGACAUUAAAAUUUAAAUCAAAAUAUUGAUCUGUUAUAUAGAUAAAGAAUUUCUAUCAAAAUUUCACGUAUUGAUAUUUCCUACACACCACGUUAAACUUCAAACGGCUCACUAUCGUGCCCAUGAAAUUUGUUGAUUUUGAGCCCAUUCGAUCACUAGCAAAUGAUACGUAAAACUCAUAAUAAAAUUUAUUUUCUAAGUACGUCAAAUAACUCUAGAUCAAGUUUAACGAGCAUCGAUCGACGAUUACGAAAGUCGCAACAUCGAAAACGAGCUGGCAAGCACGGAAGAUCCGGCUUCCAGAUAGCAUAAGUACUCACGUCUAUAUAUAAUAAUAUAUAUAGUAGAUAUAGUAAUAUAUAUAUAUAUAUAAUAUUAUUUAAGAAUUCAUCAAAUCGCCAAAAUCAAGUCUAACAGCCGAUCGUCGCUUUUGAAAAUUCUACUCAUCGAAAACGCUCAAGGUGCCCUGAGAGCAUAGCGCAUACAUUUUAAAAAAAUAUAUACGUAUUUUUAAUUUGCUUUUUUUAUGCAUAUCUAUACUACUUAUAAAAGAGGAAGUUUUAAAAUUUUUUUCUUUCCUAAAAUGUCGGUCCCUAUUAAUAUAAUUCCAAUCACAUACUAGCAAUAUCAUUCAUUCAACUUUAAUGGAAUAAAUCACAGCCGUACAAUUUUUAUUUUAUUUUUAAAUUAUCAUAAAAUAUAUUAAUUCUUAGUCAUUAGAUCUAAUCCAAUGGCUGACAAAUUAAGUAUCUGUCACUUUUUUUACCUAAAUUGCCCUCAAAUAGUGCGUAUCAAAUUUCACUUUUUAUAUGCGUACCAUAUCUCCUAAUAACCAUCACCUACAUAAUACCAUAUUUUAUCACAAAUAAUAUUCGCAAUCUACGCGUUUUUUAAAUAUUUCCUUUCUUACACGUAAUAUCUACCACCUACAUAAUAUCCAAUCACGUAAUACCUUCCGCAUAUAUAAUAUUUAAUCAUAUAUUUUUAAAAGUGAAUUUACAAUUUAAAAAUUUAAAUUUGUAGAUAAAUGUGAUUCACAAAUUUAUAUUGAUUUGAAAUAAUUAUUAAAUAAAAUAGUUGUUGACUAGGAAAAAAUAUUGCAUUCCAUUUGCAAUAAUAAAAAAAAAUCAUACUUAUCCAAAUUUUUGUCAUCCGAAGAAUAUCUACUACAGAAUAUUUUUCACAAGUACCUCAUAAAAGAAUAUCCAUAUUCAAAAAAAAAACGAAAAUCUCUACGCAAACAUUGAAAAUAUUUAGUAUCCACUAUCUCUCAAUUAACAAACUAAAAAAAAAAUUUAGGUUUAAAAAAUAGAAUGAUUUAAAUAAGCUUAUCAAAUCAACUUUAAAUUUUAAAUUGGUUCAUAAUUUCAAAUGUGAAUUAAUAUUUUAAUUCAAAAUUUGAAAUUAAUUAAAAUUUCAAUAUUUGGGUGUGUAAACAAUAUUUCAAAUUGAAAAUAAUUAAUUAACUUGAAAAUAUAUCAAAUUUGAAAAAUAGAUGGAAUGAUAAAUAAAUCAAUGUCUCUAAUAAUUAUUUACAUUCAAAUUACGGAUUCAAAAUUAACUUCAAAUUUUGAGUUUUGUUCAUAAAUUUAAAUCUGAAUUCUUAAAUUUAAAAUUUAGAAUUACUUCAAAUUUUUAAAAUUUGGAUACACAUUAAAAAAAAUUAAAGUUAAAAAAAUUAAUUGAUAAAAAGAUUUAUACCACCAAUAAUUAUUUAAAUUUAAAAUAUAAAUAUAAAUUUAAUUUAAUUAAAUAUGACGUGCAUCGCACGUGCACUAUAACUAGUAUAUAUAUAUAUAUAUAUUAUAUAUAUACUAUAUAGACUUGAGCUCCCGAAACCUGUUUUUUUUUUUUUUUUUUUUUUUUUUUAAACACAUUCAAUUAGUGCAACCACCCACCUCUGGCAAAAUUUACGUAUGCUUCCCCUGUAUCUGGUUCGGCCAUGACUCCUAAUUCACUUUGUUACUAAAUUCAGAACACAUCGUAAUAAAUUUUCUGCGAAAAGGGUUUUGGGAUUAUAACCAUUAUUUGUAAAAUUCUGUGAGAAAUUUGAGUAUUCCAAUCCUACUUGGAUAUAUGAACACCGGAGGUAUGUUAAUUUUUUUAGCAUUUGACAACCCAAAAUGUAGUUAAAUUGAAGACAAGCAAGGUAUUAAUCCUUUUAUAUUAAUUCUUCCAUAAAAAAAUAUUUAAAAAGAUCAGGCUGGGAUCCAUGUCCUUGAGAACUCGAUAUUUCCCUUUCUUGUUGAUUCGAUGAACAACAUACUUUUCGGAAGUACCGCAGUAAGCAAAGCAAACAUAUCCCAGCGAAGAGCAUUUGAAAUAUAUAUUUUUUAAGUAGCUAAAACGACAGCACAUGUUUCCUGUACUUUGAUAAACGUUCUCACCCUUAACUACAGUGGAAGCUCUUUGACCGCUUUUCAAACAAAAUUCAAUAUAUGCGAGAAAAAGUCUUUAAUUUACCAUCAAAUAUGGAAAUAACAGAAUGGUACUUUCCAAGUUUGAAUCUAAGUACUUCAUUUAAGUUCCUAAGGCCUGAUGGGAAUUACUUUUUUCAAAAAAGGCAAGGCAAAUAGUUUAACAUCUCUCUUAAUCAAAAAAAGGAACGACACUUCCCAUUUUAUCAACAAAAUACAUAUAUAUAAAAUAUAUGUUGAGUAUCGUUUUUUUAAGGCCAGUUCAAAAUUAAUCAACAUGAAAGUGAUAACCUAACCAGGAUAUCAAUCCUGAAGAGUGAGCUGAUAGUACUCAUAUCUUGCCAACUAAAAUAUUAUCGACAUAUUCUGAGGGCACCAAUGCCUUUGGGGAACUGUUCAUCUCGAAAACCAAUCAAGGAUCAAUCAAACCAAUCAAACCUAACACCUAACAACAAACAAUAAAUAAAAUAACAAUCACCGUAAAACCCACCCUAUUAGGCUAUUCAAACCUAACACUAAACAAAAACAAUCACCAAAACAAAUCCAAUCUACUACAAAUAUCGUACUAUAUGUAUAUACGACAACCUCCGAUAAUUAAUGCAUCGAUCGCUUUAUCACGAAAGCUGCUACGUACGAACAUACGAACCGCAGGUGUAUAUAUAGGUAUAUAUAUACCUAGUACUAUAUUUUUAUACCCUCUAAAUCAACCCAAAUAAUAAGUAUAAUCAAUGGUCAUGGCAAUGCACAAAUUGGCGAGCGCUUUGAGCUAAGCGCACGCGCAACCCUGAGCGGAGUGUAUUCGGCGGUCGAACGUGCAGAGCCCGCUCCGUCCGGCAUGUCGCGGCCCGCCGGGACGAGCCUCCGAAGCUCCCAGUCCCUUGCCUCUGCAGGCGCGACGACCGAAACGACGCGACGACAAACAUCGACUGGCUCACCCGCCGAAAUGGCUGGCGGCAAUAUUUUUCUGUGCAGUCUCCCCGCCGCACGCCGACCGCGGUGCGCGUGGGAACGGCGCGGCGCUCUCCGGCUGCUGAACGUGAAUGGGCAUCUGCGCCAUUCGAGAGGGUUUGUGUAAUGGUUUUUGAUGGAGAGAGAACGUGAGAUGGCAUCGAGGGGAAGGGUGGAUGUUCAUAGGAGAGGGGGGUGUAGUGAAGAAUUAAGGGACUGGGGAUGGGGCGUGGUAGGUUUGUCGUCGUUGGCGCGAUCGGAUGGCGUGGGUGGCGAAGGGGACACACGCGUGGAAGCCACGUCUUGUCCGGCGCACCGUGUCCUGACAGCCUUUCGCACGUGUAUUACAGCAGCGGGUUACGCUCCCGCUCCCAGAUUUCUGGAUUGCUGCUGCCUGGUGCCGUAAAUUCAGCCUUCUGUUUUGUAAAGACAGCUUGUAUUUGGCUUUAAGUCCUAACGUCCUUUGUUUAAUAAAAGGCGAUUACCAAAAGCUGUAAUCAAUUCAUUUGUAUUCCAGCCUUGAUAUAAACUUUUAUAUAUAUAUAAAUAUAGGUAUAUACGCCUGAUACCUAUAUAUAUAGUAUACUAUAACUAGAUACUAUAUUAUAUAUACUAUAACUACUAUACUAAUACCGUCAGGUUUAUUGUGCCAUUAAAAAUACAAUAGUUCUUAUGCUCCUAACUUUUUAAAUAUUGAUCAUUCAUCAAUAUUGAUAGAUGAUUAUAGUGAUAAAGAGAAGAAAAAUUAUGAAGAAAUUAAGUGUCUCAAUUUUUUUUUUCUCUUUAAAGUUUUUCUCAAUUUAUCUUUUCUUUCAUCCGAACUAUCCAUCAAAAUUAAUGAAUGAUUAAGAAGCUAGGAGUAUAAGAAUUAUUGUACUCUUAAUAACACAGUAGUUUUACUCUCUCUCUCUAUAUAUAAUUAUGUUACUAUAUUAUCGAUAGCAUCAAGCGUUUGGUGCUAUCGAGUUUAAAGGAUGUGUGGUUAGAACAAUAGUGGUGUUCGGUUAAAAUAAUAGUGAUCUCCUAUGAUUGAGUAGAUGGUUGAUUGAAUAGUAUAAUCUAAUUGAUAGAAAUGAUCACAGUGUAGAUCUAACGAUCGAAAACUCGAUAGUAUCAGGAACUUAAUAUUAUCGAUAGUAUAAUAGCCAGAUUCUAUAUAUAUAAAGAAAGAGAGAGAGAGAGUCCGGCUGAGAUACUAUCGAUGGCACCAAGGACUUUGUACUAUCGAGUUUUUUACUGUUAGAUUUAACUAUUUGAUUAUUUGUAUCCGUUAAACUAUUCAACCAACCACCCAUUCAACCCUAGGGGACCCACAUCAUCCAAACUGUAUAUUUUUCAAUUCAAGGGCUAAAUAACUAAUAGCACCAAUAAUUUAGUGUUAUUGAUAGUAUUCCAGCCUAGUUUUAUAUAUAUAUAUAUAUAUAUAGAGUUGAGCUAUGAUACUUUUACAAGUAUCACCAUCAUGGUGCUAUUAGGUUUUAAGCCAUUGGAUCUACUUUUUGAUUAUUAAUAGCCCUUGGAUUAAACACUAUUCCACCUACCACCACCUAUCACCACCUACUACCAUCAUCUCAACCUCACAUCUCUCUAUCCAAGGGCUAAAAACACACAAGUAUCACCCCCAUGAUACUUUUACAAGUAUUCUAGCCCUACUCUCUCUCUCUCUCUCUCUCUCUAUAUAUAUAUAUAUAUAAUUUUUAACUAUCAACAAAAUAUCAAUGAUGUACCAUCUUUAUAUCGCUGCGGACCGGAAGCCUUUUUGUUAAAAAACAACAAAAGAAGGUGAUAUAGAUUUUCGGAAUGUUAUUUUUAUAGUUAGUUGAUACGUCGGCAGCUAUGACGUGGAUAAUCUUGUCGAUUAAUUAAUAUAAAUAUUCUAAAAUGGUGCAAGGAUUUAUCAACACGUUAGCUAUUCAAAGAUGUCUUAUUUGUAGGGGAAAUAAUAUUUUAUUAAUUUUGUGAGACGCAUCAAAAGAUCCUUGCUGAGGGNUAGUGCAACCACCACCUCUGCAAAUUUACUAUGCUUUCCCCUGUAAUCUGGUUCGGCCAUAUCUCCUAAUUUCACUUUGUUACCAUUCAGAACAAUCGUAAUAAAUUUCCUGGCGAAAGGGUUUUAGGGAUUAAUACCAUUAUUUGGUAAAAAUUCUGUGAGAAUUUGAGUAUUCAAUCUAUUGGAUAUAUGAACACGGGUAUGUUAAUUUUUUUUAGCAUUUGACAACUCAAAAUGUAGUUAAAUUGAAGACAAGCAAGUAUUAAUUCUUUUAUAUUAAUUCUUCAUAAAAUAUUUAAAAGAUCAGGCUGGGUCAUGUCCUUGAGACCUCGAUUAUUUCCUUUCUUGUUGAUUCGCAUGACAACAUACUUUCGGGAAGUACCAGUAAGCAAAGCAAACAUAUCCAGCGAAGAGGCAUGAAAUAUAUAUUUUUUUAAGUAGCUAAAACGAACAGCACAUGUUAUCCUGUUACUUUGAUAAAGUUCUCACUUACUACAGGGAACUCUUUGACCCUUUUCAAACAAAUUCAAUAUAUGGAGAAAAAUCUUUAAUACAUCAAAUGAAAUAACAAGAAUGGUACUUCCAAGUUUGAAGUACUAAGUACUUCAUAUUAAUUCCUAGCUGAUGGGAUUACUUUUUUUCAAAAAAGGCAAAGCAAAUAGUUAACUAUCUUUCUCUUAAUUAAAAAGGAACGACACUCCCAUUUAUAUCAAAAUACAUAUAUAUAAAAAUAUGUUGAUUAAUCGUUUUUUUAUAGCCAGUUCAAAUUAUCAAACAUGAAAUGUGAUACCUAACAGGAUAUCAAUCCUGAAGAGUGAGCUAUAGUAUCAUAUCUUCCAAACUAAAAUAUUAUCGACAAUAUUCUGAGCACAAUGCCUUUGGGACUGUUCAUCUCAAACCAAUCAAAUCAAUCAAACCAAUCAAACCUAACACUAACAAAAACAAAUAAUAUAAAAACAAUCACCAAAACCCACCCUAUUAGGUAUCAAACCUAACACUAACAAAAACAAUCACCAAAACAAAUCAAUCUACUACAAUAUUGUAUAUAUGUAUAUAGAAACUCCGAUAAUUAAUGCAUCGAUCGCUUUAUCACGAAACUGCUACGUACGAACAUACGACCCAGGUGUAUAUAUAUAUAUAUAUAUAUAUAUAUAUACCCUCUAAACAACAAAUAUAAGUAUAAUCAAUGGUCAUGGCAUGCACAAAUUGGCGAGCGCUUUGAGCAAGCGCACGCGCAACCUGAGCUGGAAGAUGUAGUCGGCGGUGCACGUGAAGAGCCGCUCCGCCGGCAUGUCGCGGCCGCCGGGGACGAGCCGCCGAAGCUCCAGCACCUUCCUCUGCAGCGGCGACGACGACGACGACGACGACAACAUCGACGGCUCACCGCCGAAUGCUGGCCGGCAAUAUUUUCUGUGCAGUCUCCCCGCCGCACGCCGACGGCGGUGCGCGUGGGAACGGCGCCGGCGCUUCUCGGCUGCUGAACGUGAUGGGCAUCUGGCGUCCAUUCGAGAGGGUUUGUGUAAUGGUUUUGAUGGAGAAGAGAACGUGAGAUGGGGAUCGAGGGGGAGGGUGGUGUUUAUAGGAGAGGGGGUGUAGUGAAGGAAUUAAGGGAGCUGGGGAUGGGGGCGUGGGUAGGGUUUGUCGCGUUGCGCGAUCGGGAUGGGGUGGGUGGCGAGGGGGACCCACGCGUGGAAGCCACGUCUUGUCCGGCGCACGUGUCUGACAGCUUUCACACGUGUAUUACAGCGGGUUCGCCCGCUCCAGAUUUCUGGAUUGCUGCUGCCGGUGACGGCAGUAGAUCGCAUCUGCGUCGCCAGCUGCAAAUUACCGCCGGUAUAUUAUUCAUAUAGGACCGGUAAUUCAGCCUUCUGUUUGUAAGACACUUUGUAUUUGGCUUUAAUCUACCCUUUGUUUAAUAAAUGAGCUGAUUACAAGCUGUAAUCAGCUCACUCGUGUUCAGCUUGAUAUAACUUUUAUAUAUAUAUAUAUAUAUAUAUAUAUAUAUAUAUAUAUAUAUAUAUAAGAUUUAUUGUGUCAUUAAAAGUACAAUAAUUCUUAUACUUCUAACUUUUUAAAUAUUGAUCAUUCAUCUAUUUUGAUAGACGGUUAUAGUGAUAGAGAGAAGAAAAAUUAUGAAGAAAUUAGGUGUCUCAAUUUUUUUUUUCUCUUUAAAGUUUUUCUCAAUUUAUCUUUUCUUUCAUUCUAACUAUCCAUCAAAAUUAAUGAAGAUUAAAAGCUAGGUAGUAUAAGAAUUAUUGUAGCUCUUUAAGUAGACACAGUAGUUUACUCAUUCUCUCUAAAUAAUAUAAAUUAUGUUCAACUAUAAUAUCGAAGCAUCAAAAGCGUUUGGUGGCUAUCGAGGUUUAAAGGAUGUGUGGUUAGAACAAUAGUUGUGUUCGGUGUUAGAAUAUAAGUGAUCUCCUAUGAUUGAGGUAGAUGGUUGGACUUGAAUAGCUAUACAUCUAAUGAUAGAAAUGAUCAAGCAGUGUAGAAUCUAACGAUCGACGAAACUCAGAUAGUAUCAGGGACUUAAUAUCCUAUCUGAUAGUAUAAUCAAGCCAGAUUCUAUACUAUAUACGAAAGAGAGAGAGAUGAUGUUCCGGCUGAUGAUACUAAUCGAUUGCACCAAGAGGACUUUUGUACUAUCGACCUUUUUCUACUGUCUAGAUUUAUACUAUUUGAUUAAUUUGUAUCCUUAAAGACUAUCAACCACAACCACCCAUUCAAACCCCCCCUAGGGGAACCCACAUCAUCCACAAACGUAAUUUUUUCAAAAUUCAACGGGCUAAACCUUAACUAAUAGCACCCAAUAAAUUAGUGUUAUGUGAUAGUAUUCCAGCCUAGUUUAAUAUCAAUUUCACCCCCUAUAACCUAUAUAUAAGGAAGUUGAGCUAUGAUACUUUUACAAGUAUCACCAUUAUGGUGCCAUUAGGUUUUAAGCCAUUGGAUCUACUUUUUGAUUAUUAAUAGCCCUUGGAUUAAACACUAUUCCACCUACCACCACCUAUCACCACCUACUACCAUCAUCUCAACCUCACAUCUCUCUAUCCAAGGGCUAAAAACACACAAGUAUCACCCCCAUGAUACUUUUACAAGUAUUCUAGCCCUACUCUCUCUCUCUCUCUCUCUCUCUAUAUAUAUAUAUAUAUAAUUUUUAACUAUCAACAAAAUAUCAAUGAUGUACCAUCUUUAUAUCGCUGCGGACCGGAAGCCUUUUUGUUAAAAAACAACAAAAGAAGGUGAUAUAGAUUUUCGGAAUGUUAUUUUUAUAGUUAGUUGAUACGUCGGCAGCUAUGACGUGGAUAAUCUUGUCGAUUAAUUAAUAUAAAUAUUCUAAAAUGGUGCAAGGAUUUAUCAACACGUUAGCUAUUCAAAGAUGUCUUAUUUGUAGGGGAAAUAAUAUUUUAUUAAUUUUGUGAGACGCAUCAAAAGAUCCUUGCUGAGGGAUGGACUUUUCUAUAUUUUGAUCACCACCUACGUACCAAGUAAUUAAUUUAAUUAACACUGAUUUAUUAUUUAGGAAAAUCUUUUAAAACUAGUUAUCAUUUGGAAAAUACUUUAACUAGGUACCUAAACUACUUUACUGCUUGCAUAAGUUAAUUUGUAUAUAAAUUACCCAUACAUAAUGUGAGCAUAUCGGCAAUUCUACCAUGUACAUAUCACAAGCCACUUACAUAUUAAUUAUUAGAUUAAUACAAAUAUUAAGCUUAGUAUUUUCAGAAAUCAAUUAAUACUAUAUAUAAAUAUUUGAUAACUUCUUGUGUUACAUGAUAGUAUUCUAUCGAUUUGUGAAAAUUAACCUCCAGUUUAAUAGAGUCGAUACUUUUGAGUAAAAAUAUGGAACUGUUGAAAGAGAGACCUAGUCAAAAGAUGCGUUUGUUAAUUAUAUCCAUAUUCAUAAAUAUAAUAUAUAGCUAGGCAAAAUGAACUAGUACUAAAUAACAUAUGUGCUACAACUUCAUCAUAUAAUAUAUUAUAGUAUAUAAUAAAUAUAAUAGAGAGAGAGAGAGAGAGAGAUGAGUAGGGGCACUUAUGAGUAUCAGACCCUUCCAUACUUAUUAAGGUGUUUCGUUGUUGAGCUUUUUCGAAUCAACGACCCCACACCGUAAACUAAUAUGCUGAAGUAUUUUAAAUUUGCAUAGAAAAUAAAUUUCCGUAAUUUUUCAAAUCAUUAUAAAGUCCAUAAAGGGCGAGUGUAUAAAUGAAUGGUUAAACAUCAAAUAACAUCAUAAAAAUGGAUGAUCAGGAUCUUUCAAUUUCAAAAUUGAGUUAUUAAUUUUUUUUAUUAGUGAAUAAGAAUUUUCUAAAGUCAACAAGAUUCAACCGUAUUCCAAUUCUUUUUUCAAUCCGUGUAAAGCACUAGCAAAUAUCUCAUACCACGUUAAAAAUUGUCAUUCUUGUAAACUUUUGAUCGUAAAGUAAUGAUAUCGAAAACAUUAUAUAAAAUUUGAUUCUAGAAGUUUUAAAUCUCUAGAUAAUAUUUAAUGAUAUUGAAUCUUGCAUUCGGAAGCGUCAAUCAAUCGAAACAACUUAUAAAUACGAAAACGCAUAAUAGUAUAGUAGCCGCACUCUAUAUAUAUAUAUAUAUAUAUAUAUAUAUAUAUAUAUAUAUAUAUAUAUAUAUAUAUAUAUAUAUUCAGUUCAAAAUUUCAUAUGUAGAGCUAAUCAUUGCCUGGAAUUACUCCACUUAAUUAUUAAAUCAUCUUCAGCUGAGUAAAAGCUAAUUAAGAUGCAUGAAACGAAUCCAAAGAUACUCGUAUAAUAUUCUCUUUUUGUUAAAUAAUCUCUUUGGGGGGGAGCAAUACUAAACAUUAUCAUAUGAAGAAGAGAAGACAACAAUCUCAUGAAGGAAGGAAUUCGAAUAUUUAGUAAAGUUAACGACGACCUCUACGUACUGUGUUGGUCCCAGGUUUGGCAUUUUUAUAAUUAAUUACUUGUUUUGUAUUUAUCUUUCUUAUAUCACAAGUACUUAUUUUAAAAAGCAUUUCUAAAGUUAUACAUACUAAUUAUUGCUCCCAGAAGUUCCAAACAAUUAAUCGAUAACCUAUUUUCUUUGGUACUAGAUUUUGACUUUUAACUAAGACCUUAAUGAUUAUUUGGUGAUCAUGUCAAUUUCCAGUUACAACUAAUUAGAUUAUGGUGUCGUAGUGUUAGGUAUUGCUUUUACUCCAUCUUAUAGACCUUGAUCCACAUGACGACAAAGUGCACUCUCGCACUCUUGACCUUUAUAGACCUCGCUGUUCCAAUCUGUACGUGCUCUCUAAUAAGCCAAGAAGGUUGCGUCAUGUUAAGACUAUUCAUAUAGAUGUUUUCUAUUAAGUCGAUCUAAGCUGUUUUAGUUUUAUCCAAUUUGACGGUGAUUUUGUUAAACAUAUCGACUUUACCCUCAUUUUGAUCGAUGAAACUACAAACGUACGCCUGUGAAUAGUUAAUUAAUAGUCGAGGUAAUAAGUUCUAAAACUUAAUAAAUGUGUACACAAUUUAGGGACCUAUAUAUAUAUAUAUGCCAAUAUUCGAGGGGAUCUCACGCACUAAGCUAGCUAGCUAUUAGGGUUUGUGUGGUGGUGGUGGUGGGGGGGGGGACCAAUGUAUACGUUUAUAGCAUGGCUAACUAUAGCCUUAGUAUAUAUGAGCUAGCGAUUUUAAAGCGAAAGGAAUGGGAGAGGAGGUGUGGUGCAUGAAAACACCCACGAGGGAGGAUGAUGGUGUUGGCCCGUUUGCUUAGCUGUUAUGGUUGGAACGGGACGGCGCACAUGCAUGCACAUGACAUUAGUACUCUUUCUCUAUCUCUCCUCUCUUCCUAUAAACAUCUCUCUCUAUCUCUCUCUAUAUAUCUCCUAGCUAGCUACUAUAUAUCUACCCCCCAAUAUAUUGAUGUGCACUAUAUAUACCAUCACAAUAUCCCAAUAAUGUUUUAGUGAGAGAAAGCAAAGAAUGUAUCUAUAGGACCCACGUACGACUCUUUAUUUUCCAAUUACAGCAAGCCAUGCAUGCAUGCAUGAUUCUCCUUUCCCUUGCUUCUAUAUAUUUAUCCUUUAACUUAUAUAUAAAGAGAGAAAGGGAGGGAGGCCUAGAUGCUACAAAAGCUAGCCCAGCUCAUGCCAUCAAUGACUUUGGUGAUACAACACGUUCUCUAUCGUGGUCUGGGCUAAUUAAGCACAGUUACAUAUAACAUUGUUGAAGUCUGUAUCUAAACCUUUUAUGGGUGCCAGCACAUCGAUAAUAUAAUAAGUAAAAAGUUAUAUAAUAUGCCUGAGUGAUUGCAAGUGUUUCAUACAGCUGUGCGUGACACUCGCUGAUAUAUAGAAAGAUUGCCACGUGGCAAAAUUGUCGUGGGGUCGAAGCACUGUGGUGGAUGCCACGACGCUCUCAUGGGGUGAGUCGGGGACAUGCGUCAUAAUGGAGGAAGAAGAAGAAGAUGGUAGGCGCGCUUAAAAAGUUAGUUAGCUUGGCCACUUGUGAAGGGCAUGGCCGUGCAUGCAUGAGCUGUAUGUAUUGUUUUUGUAGGAUGUUUAAUAUGUUGGUAAAUUUAUAUAUAUAUUUUUAGAGUGCCUAUAUAUACAAGCUAAUGAUUUUUCUCUUUUUUUUUACAUUACAAAUGUCAGCAUGGGAGCUAAAUGACGAAUUGUCACCAGCUGAAUAAGCUAUAAAAGGUACAGCUAAAAGGUUUGCCACACCUUUAUAUAGUAUUGAAGGGAGAAAAACGUCAAAACAUUAUUUUUUUCACAAAAAAAAAAAGAAGAAGUAUAAGAACAGUGUCUUGGCAACGUAAUCCCAGUUUCAGCCUUACCGUUUAGGCCCAUGUGUAGUGUUAUUUGGGGCCUAAACUUUAACCAAACUUGGCCCAUCACUGUAAUUUACACAAUCAUGGGCCCUCAUCUUGAGGCUAAGCUGGGCCUUCGUGGACCUUGUUCUGUCGGCCGGAAUUGCUCCAUCACCAGUGUGAUAUUGGGUCAGAUUGGAUUGCAAAAGAUGUCAAAUUUCAGAGUGGAUGUUGUCCGGCUCUCCGAUUACCUGCUUAGUCUAACUAGAGCUUCUGUAAAAGCAUUAUUAUUAUUAUCUCAAUAAAACUGUAAGUGAAGAAGUGUAUAUAACCUUUCAUUCAGUCACUUAAAAUCAUUCAUUUUCUUUGUGGCUCAAAAGCUCAUAUCCCUUUACUAUUGUAGUGCAAAAAAAAAAAAAAAAAAAACUAGUCUUUUUUGUUCUCUGAAUAUUUAAUACUAUUUAAAUUAGAGGAUCAAUUUUAAAAGCUAGGUGUAACGGGCACUAAAGGUUUAACGACAGGACUUAUUGGACCAUCAAAGAGUCAAUCAUUAAUAAGAGUACUUUUCCCCUUUUGGCGGUGAAAAGUAACCUAUAAUGGAGUUAAAUUCAUGGAAAUGAUGACUUUUUUUUUUUUUGAGAAAUAGAUAGCACGCUAUCUGGUUCAUUUAUUUCAUUUAAAAAUAAACUUAACUGAAAAUAUGAAUCAAUUAAGAUUCAAAUUUGGGUCUCGAAUACUAACUAUCGAAUUCUUUACCAUUUGCUCUAGUGACGGUUGGUAGCAUCAAUCUCUUACUACAAAACAAUUUAUGGCACUCUUGAUAAUCAUCUGUGUCUCCUGACUUUACGGUCAUUUAUUUUUGCAGUGGACGUUGUACACAGCAGUCAUUUAGUAGAUUCAUAAAUUCACAGAGGACGGCCGUAUAAAUGUGGAAAUAGAUAUAGAUAACACGUGUGCUUUUCUGUGUUAUCGAGGAUUCAGGGGCUAUUAAUUACGGGAAUAUUUCUUCGUCGCCGAUCGAUUAAACUUAUUGAAAAGUUUGAAUAAGAAAUUAAGCUAGCGGCUACGAACUUAAACAUCGACUUUUUUAUUACGAGCCAAUUGGGAAGCGCAAUGACUUACGCCUAACACACAUACACAAAAGUAAUAAAAAUAGGUGUUUAAUACUAAUAAUAAUCAUAUCCAGAUGUAACAUUUAUUAGUUAGAAAAUAUGCGAGUGAAAAGUUCUCCCUCCAUUAGAAUCAAACUACACAACAAGAUGAAGGCGACCAACGACCGAGAUAACUAUUUUUAACUUGUUUCCUACUAAAUCGAUUCUUUAGGUAAAAGAACAUCAGAACUGAUCACAUUCGAUUCUCACAUUCGACAUUUAGUGAUAUUUCUAUUAUCUUUUAAGGCGGCAUACAUUUUACUGUUUACUUGAUCUUCAUUAUAUAUAUGAGCAAAAAUAUUAAAACUAUUUAUAAUUUUAUUUUGGGAGUUAAUAAUCAUUAUAAUUGCUGCUUCAUGCGAUCAAGUUGAAGCCUAAUGUGAUAAGAUGGUGGUUAAAAAUAUUAUUUUUAUAAAUCUAAAAGUGUUCAAUAAUAAGCCGGAGUCCAGCUCAAAACCAAACCCGAUUCGACAGUUGUUCCUAUCUAAUAUUAAUGACUCUUAUUAUUAUUAUUAUUAUUAUUAUUAUUAUUAUUAUUAUUUUGAAAGAAACAUCCUCUUCCACCUAAAAAAUAUAAUAAUCCACAUUACGUCCUGCAUGACGGUUUCAUAAUUACCGCCGGCGUUCGAAUCUUUGGAAUCUGACAUUCCCGAGCUUCAUUUCCUUGUCUCGUGGCCUCCCCCUCACAGCUAGCACCCAAACCCUUCCCCUUGGAACCUCCGCCACGUGGCUUCUCGACACCCCUCUCUCUCUGAACUUUUCUAUUUGUCUCUCUCUCUCUCUCCUACGUGGCCAAGUCAACUCAGAAAGAUUCAUAUGGUAAUUUAAUAAACUUAUGGUAGGUUAGAAACUGGAAAUAUAAAUAAUUUCAACUAAUAGUGCUGGGAACAAACUAAACGAUUAAUCAAAUAAUAUUGGGAUAUAUGGUAUAGGGAGUAGCCAUGUAUGGCCUUUAGGGUGCGUUUGGUUCGCGCUAUUUUUUAAAAAUUUUUAAUAAUCCAAUGAGAAUAAAAAAAUAUGACGGUGUUUGGCUAAACGCACUAAGUAAUUCAGUUGGUAAUAUUGAAUUCACUUGGAAAUAAGAUUCACCUCAAAGUACUAAUCUCAUUCUCUUAAGGGAGGGUGGAUAUCCUCAUAUUAAUGAAUUUAAGUAAUCAUAAUAUAUCUAAUCUCUUUCUUUCUUCCUACCCGCCGGCUAGUUGAUAUUAUUUUUCUUUACAUUCUAACCUUAUAUCUCUCUCUAAACUUUUUUUUUUUUUAAAAAUUCAACUUUUUUUUCUCUCUCUAAACUAAGCUUUCUCUCUCUCUCUUUCUAAAAUUUCAACUCUCUCACUCCCUCUAAUUUCGACUAUAUUUUUCUUUCUAUAUUUUUAAUUAUGCUCUUUUUUUCUAACUUAUACUCUCUUUCCUUUUUUUCUAAAAAGAUGUUGAAAUUUUUGAUAACAUUAUCUAAAAUUAAAUAAAUAAAUAAAUUAAUUAAUUAUUAUUUCUAAAAAAAAUUAAUUAAUUAAUUAUAUAUUUUUUUGUAAUAUUAGAUAACAUGGCUAAUUAAUAUUACCGUGCGAAUCAAAUAUAGGAGUGCCAUAUUCUUAGUAAUAGAAUGAAUAGGAAUAAGAUUCUCAAAUAUCUUUUAUUUCUAAUAAUAUUUUAUAGUGCAAACCAAACGCACCCUUAUAUAUAUCCUCCACCCUCCUAACCUAGACCAUUUCGUUAUUCUACCUAUCCAUGCACCCUCCUCCCAUGGAGAAGCUCUCAACAUGGGUGACCACAAUAUGGCUUCUCCUUCUGCUUUUCCAUGCAGCAGAAGCUGAGCAAGAUGACGUGAAGCGCUCCCUCGUCAACUUCCUCAAGAAGCUCUCGGGCAACGACACCCACAUCGACCGGAAGCUGGGCUGGAACGCGACCUUCGAUCCGUGCGUGCACCAAAAUUGGACCGGAGUUAAUUGCAGCGCGACGACGAACUCGAUAAAAAGUAUCGUGCUCGAAGGUUUGGGACUUACUGGUUCGAUCGAUGCUGGUCUCCUUUGCAAGGCACGAUCUCUCUCCGUCCUCAGCCUCCGCGACAAUGCCCUAAGCGGCGAACUCCCUGCCGACAUAUCAAACUGCAGCCAACUGACCCAUCUGUACGUCGGAGGAAAUCGCUUCUCAGGUUCUCUUCCUUCCUCGCUCGAGCUUCUAAAUAACCUGAAGAGGCUUAACAUAUCCUACAACAGCUUCUCCGGCGAGUUACCGGACUUUUCUAAGAUCUCGGGGCUACUAACCUUUCUAGCACAAAACAACAGCCUUACUGGGACUAUUCCUGCAUUUCAUUUCACCAACCUUGUUAGCUUCAAUGUCUCCUACAAUUCUUUGCGUGGUCCAGUCCCUGAAAAUGGUGGCCUUUUUGGUGUAGAAAGCUUCACUGGUAACCCAGGUUUGUGUGGGAAACCACUUCCUAUUGCAUGUCCACCGUCGCCAUCUCCUUCGCCGUCUCUGUCAACGGAAGAAAAAGGAGAUUCCAAGAAGUCCAUAGGCGAUAAAACUAUCAUGCUCUCCGGGUAUAUAGCUCUUGCCGUGGUCUUCUUACUGUUCCUUUCAUACAAGGUGAUCUUCUUUCUAUACAAAAAGCAGCAGCAGAAGAAGAAGAGUGAAGAAAUGAAGGGGAGUACUGGGGGUGAUGAGAAGGUGGGGAGUGAUGAGAAGGUGGGGAGUGAUGACAACUCCAAGCCUCCGAGCAAGUCGCGGUCGGAGUACUCGCUUCCUCCCUCUGGAGAGCAGAGUGCGCAUACCGCGUCGACUUCGCUGGUAGUUCUUAAGGAUUCCGCGUCGAAGAAGGAGCUGAGGUUCGAGGACUUGUUGAAGGCUCCUGCAGAGUUGAUGGGGAGGGGCAGGUUUGGGAGUUUAUAUAAGGUGAUGCUGCAGGAUGGGAGCGCCUUGGCUGUGAAGAGGAUUAAGGAUUUAUCCAUCUCUGUUGAGGAUUUUAAGAGGAGGAUGGAGAGGAUAAGCAGAGUGAACCACCUCAAUGUUCUUCCUGCUGUGGCUUUCUAUUGCUCCAUGCAGGAGAAGCUGGUGGUCUACGAUUACCAAAAGAAUGGAAGCCUCUUUAAGCUCCUACAAGGUAAGUGAGGCACGAAUCCAUCAUAUUUACAUAUGUAUUCCUCCAAAAUAACCUAAUUACAUGUACAAUUUUGCAAAAAGUAUAAACCUCUUAUAAUCAUGUCCCUCUUUAAAAAACUUGCUUAGUUUUUCUAAUUAAACCAACUUUUUCCUCCAAGUAUUGGAUGAGAAUUUUGCAUGUAUUUUUAUUUAUUAAUAUGAAUUAUAUAAAUUAAUUUAUACGCAACACAUCAGCAUGUCAGCAGAUUAGCGAUCUAUAUACACACACACAAGGAUAAUAUAAUAGUACUCUUUACGUGGAAUCAACAAUGUACAUUUAACUCAGACAACUUUGAAUGUACAUUUACAUAAAACCCCUCGGAAAUCUCAAUGAUGAUUAAACAACCCUUUUUUAAUAUUCAGGAGGUGGUGGGGAACAAAACCACAAUUUCGGCUGGAGCAGUAGGCUAAACAUGGCCACAGCCAUCGCCGAGGGCCUCUCCUUCAUGCACGAAGAGCUCCACGAAGAAGGGAUCGCCCACGGCAACUUCAAAUCCUCGAACAUCCUAUUCACGGCCAACAUGGACCCCUGCAUCAGCGAAUACGGCCUCACAUCCCCGCCCUCCGUCGUCGCCGCAGCAGCCGACCACCUCCUCUUCUCGUCGUCGUCGUCUCGAAGCGCCGGCAACUCCACCUCGGCUGCCGCGCCGUUCAAGUCCGACGUCCGCAGCUUCGGGCUGGUCCUCCUGGAGCUGCUGACGGGGAAGGCGGCGCACAGCGACGGGUCCGACCUGGCGCGGUGGGUGCAGUCGGUGGUUCGGGAGGAGUGGACCGUCGAGGUGUUCGACAAGCGCCUCCUCGCCGACGGCGCGAGCGAGGAGGGCGUGGUGCGCCUCCUGCAGGUUGCGCUCAAGUGCGUCAACUCCGCCGCCGAUGCCUGCCCCACCAUGCGCGAAGUCGCGGGGAUGGUCAACUCCGUUAAGGAGGAGGAAGAGGAGAGGUCCAUAGUCUCCGAGGAGGGAUGAUGCAUGCAUGCAUGCAUGGCCAGUUCUUUGGUAAGGAGUUUUAUUAGCGUUAGACGAGCAUUAGUAUUCUUGUUUGUUGUCGGAGAAAUUAUUAUUGCUGUGGACUUCGUCCACCGCGUCAGCCGUGGACCUCCCAAACUAUUCUUCCUCGUCACUCUACCUUUCAAAAUCACAACCCUUAGAUAAAUAUAUUAAAUAUAUUACCCUUUUCAAUUUAAAAGGAAUUAAAAAUGGAGGGUGGAUUGUAAUUGGAUGGUUCGCGGCUAACAUGGUGGACUAGAUUCAGACGGUAAUUUUACCUGUUGUUGAGGCCUUUUUGUUUUGUUCAUCUAUAAUUUAGAACUAAGAUAUUAUCAUCUUUUUUUUUAAUUGCCAACAGAAUAUAGUCGAACUGAUGAGCUUACCGUCAAUGGUGGCAUUUAUUGUUUUAUUUGUUACUAUUUUGAAGUAAUCCUAAUUAAUUGUUUGAUUGUUUGAUUCUUUCUAGUUAUGUUUGCAUCAUCAUUUGAAUACUCAACAAAUAAUUCCUCAAAUAGAGAUUUCGUACCUAACCUGUAUUCGUUUAUAAUAUCACAUUUAUUAAAUUUUAUAGAACUACCAUUAUCUACGAUAGCUUAAACUAUUGAGAUUUUUAACAUUAAUAUUCAAUAUCUUUUCACACAUUUGGACUUGAGAUUUUUUGAUGGGUUCCAAGAUGUAGGUUUGAGUUAAAUAAAAAAAAAAUUAAUUAAACUAGAAACUAGCUAGACUGGAGCUCGAAAUCUCUUGCUCUGAUAUUAUAUUGGAUUAUAUAUAAAAUACUUAUUUCUAGUAGCUUAAAUUAGCAUAUAAUAAAAUAUUAAUAUUUGUAUUCAACUAUAUAUAUUGAUGAGAAUUGAGAAACAAGCAGCUUAAAACAUGAUUACAAGUAAAGCAUCUUCCAAUUGAAGUGUAUAAGCAAGGAAAGCAAGAGCUUCAAUUUCGACACUAGAUGAUUUCGACACUAGAUGCUCGUAUCGUUUGCUUACUUAUAUGUUAUAUCCAUAUCAGAAUAUAUAUAUAUAUAUAUAUAUAUAGAGUGAGGCUACUAUGCUAUCGGAAGCACGGAGCCUUCCGUGCUUCCAGCUCGUUUUCGAUGUUGCGACUUUCGAAUCGUCGAUCGGCUCCGUUAAACUUGAUCGAGAGUAUUUGGAGUACCUAGAAAAUAAAUUUUAUUAUUUUUCGAUAUCAUUUGCCUANAUUCAAAAUCCAUAAUUUUUAAUGAUUGAUAUCUGUCGUUUUCAAGUUUAACGGUGUAGAAGUAUUUAAAUCAGAUAAAAUUUUGAUACAAAAUUCUUUAUACUAUCUAUAACAAGAUCAAUAUUUCUGAUCGAAAAUUUUAGUGCUAUAUCACAAUUUUUUAUAGAAUUUUUAUUUUCAACCGUUAAAAAUUAUUGAUUUUAAAUCCUUUCGAUUGCUAGGUAAAUGAUAUCGAAAAAUCACAAAAAUUAUUUUCUAGAAACUUCAAAUACGCUAGAUCAAGUUUAACGGAACCGAUCGUUGAUUCGGAAACUCCAUCAUCGAAAACGGCCCAGGAGCACGAAGGCCUCCGUGUUCCUGAGAGCACAGCAGCCCUGCUCUCUCUCUCUCUCUCUAUAUAUAUAUAUAAAAGAGAUAGAUAAAAUGCUACUCACUUCGUUUAUUUUAUUUAGAAAUAAAUUUAGCUAGAAAUAUAAAUCAAUUAGAAUUCGAACUUGAGACCUCGGGUAUCAACGACUAUGACCUUUACCACUUGCUUUAAGGACAAUUGAUUAUUAUAAUAAUAUUAUUAAUGAGUCAGUUUUAUAUUCUUGUUCCUGAAUCACAAUUUGGAGCUAAAAAUUAGCUUGGACCGGAUCACACCAUGCCGAGGCUAUAACUCGAUCCCACCAGACCCUGAACGGGCCCACACCUGAAGAUAUGCUGACGUCAUUGCAGAUCAUGAUUUCGUCAGCUCCUCGGGCAAGAACUUGAGUGAUCGUCCAAAUAAAGAUGGAAAACAAAAAGAAAGAGUCAAAAUGUACGAAGACCCAAAAGGCUAUUUUGAAGUAGAUUCUUAAACUGCAUUCUCUUAAAUUAUUUUUUUUAAAAAAAUUUCAAUUAAUUUAAUUUAAGUUAUAAAGUUAUUUGAAUUACGAAAAUUCCAGAAUUAAUGACUUUGGAAGUUACCAGGUGUUAAAAUGAAUGUUCUGGGACAAUCUCGUAGAUUUUUAUUAGAUAAAAAUCUAAAUUAAAUAGAAUUAUCAGAAAAACUUUAAAUGUCCUCUUAUGGUUUCAUUCUUUCUCACUUUAGUAUUAUGUGGUUUAAAAUAUAUCAAGUUAGUACCCUGUGAUUUCGCACUUUCUCUCUUUAAUAUCCUGUGGUUUAAAGUGUGUCGAGUUAGUACCAUGUGGUUUCACACUUUCUUAUUUUAGUACCCUGUAGUUUAAUAUUUCAUUAAGAAAAAAAUAAAACCACAGAAUACUAACUUGAUAGAAAAAUAAAAUCAUAAAGUACUAACUUGAUACACUUUAAACCACAGGGUACUAAAGUGAGAAAGUGCAAAAUCAUAGGGUACUAACUUGAUGCACUUUAAAUCAUAGGAUACUAAAAUAAAAAAAUACGAAACCACCUGAGGUUUUUUAAAAUUUUUUCCUAAAAUUUAAUAAAAAUUUUAAUAUAUUUAAUGUAGUCAUUUAAUUCAAAAGAAUUGAAACUCAAUGUGCAAAAAAAAUAAAGAAAAAAAUGUUCAGGGGCCAAUUGCGGGAACAGUUACAUUUGAGGGGUUUCGUACCAAUUUUUUUUUUUUACCUAAAAUCACUUUUUUAGUAGUUAAAAAAUAGAGAUUUGGGUCCCUGUAGGGUUUUUGGGCCAUUUGGCUUCUUUUUUGCUUCAACCAAAACCAAAAACCAAAGAGAGAGAAAACACAACCCACCACCUCAAAGAAGCUUGAGAAGAAGAUCCCACUUCUUCUCCAACGGAGGAGGGGCUUGGGCUUCCUAAACUGAAGAGGUAGGCUAUAUUUUUCUUUUUUAUUUCUUUUUAUUUUAUUUUUUAAUCUCCCCUUCCCAUUCUACAUUCUCGUUGUAAUCUAACAAACGUUACAGGGUAAAAACAAGACGUGGCUUUUCCCUCGCCAUGUUCCUGCUUUUGUGAUCUGCGCUUCAACUAAAAGCUGGGAACCAUUUUUGUUCUUGUUCAGUACACAAAGCGCUUUUGUUUUCUUUCACAUUUGUUUCCCAAGUUGCGAAAAAAGAAACAAAAAGAAGAAAAAAAAAAAAAAAAGGUUUUGAUUUUUUUUGAUUUUUUUUUUUGAAUUUUUGGGUCCAUCCUAGCUAUUUUGUCAAAUCAAAUGACUUGGGUUUUGCCCCCAAAUCAAGGAAGGAGAUGGUUGCUCUUCUAGCCCACUCAUCAUCAUCAUCAUCAUCAUCCACUGCAAAUUCAAAUUCCUGGGUUUUGUCCCACACCAAGAGGAGAGAUCAUGUUACAAAUUCCCAAAUAAGAGACUCACUGCCCUAUUCAUCAGCCCAACCCCCACCACCAACACCCCAACAAUCUCCCAGCAAUAGAAUAAGCCCUGCAAUCCUCUUCAUCAUAGUGAUCCUCGCCGUCGUCUUCUUCGUCUCCGGCCUCCUCCACCUCCUUGUGAGGUUCUUCGCGAAGAAAACCCCACCACCCGGUAGCACUUCACCCCAUUCCGGUAGUAGGCAGCAGCCGGCAGAGGCCUCGGGCUCCGACGCCCUCCAGCGGCAGCUCCAGCAGCUCUUCCACCUCCACGAUUCGGGCCUUGAUCAAGCGUUCAUUGAUUCGCUGCCGGUCUUCCUUUACAAGGAGAUCGUCGGCCCGAAGGAGCCGUUCGACUGCGCGGUCUGUCUGUGCGAAUUCGCCCUCGAGGACAAGCUCCGGCUUUUGCCCGUCUGCGGCCAUGCUUUCCACCUCAGCUGCAUUGACACAUGGCUGCUCUCCAAUUCCACGUGCCCGCUUUGUCGGCAGCCGCUGUUUGUCCAAGGCCUUGCGAUCGAGAACCCCAUCUUUGAAUUCGACGAUUCGAUCGAGGAAGAUAGUUUUGCCGAGGACCGGGAAGCGGAGUCGGGGAAUGAGAAGAGAGUUUUUCCUGUUAGGCUCGGCAAAUUCAGGAGCUUGAGCAGAAGAGACGGAGGUGUCGAAAAUGAUAACGGCGGUGCCGUUAUAAGUGCGGGAGAAGAGGUAGGGGAGGCCAGUAGUAGUAAUUUGGACGCGAGGAGGUGCUAUUCCAUGGGCACGUAUCGGUAUGUGCUCGGUGAUGUAAAUCUUCGAGUUUCUCUGAGAAGUUCUCAUAAAAGAAACGGAGUCCGUAGGAAUUUCGCUGAUAAUGAGGUUCUGGAAGGAAAGAGGAUAUGCGCGGGGAGCAAAGGCGAGAGCUUUUCUGUGUCGAAGAUCUGGCAAUGGCCGAAUAAGAAGGGGAAGUUCCCUAUCAGCUAUUCAGAUGCAGGCUCCGUCGAUGGGAGUAUGCCAUGGAUGGAAAGAAGUGUUCAGGAUACAUAAAAACAAAUGUGUGAUGUGAUCAAUCCAUCUUUUUCUUGAUGAUUAUAUUAAUAUAUCAUUCAUGUGUUGAUUUUAUAAUGUUCUCCUUUUGUUACUUAACUUCUUUUGUGCUCAAUUAUAAAUGUCUGUGGGUGCGUGUGCUAACAUUGUUUUAGUUCUGUCUGAUCUUGGUUUUUCAUGCUGUUGUCUCGGAUAUCAUACUACCGAGUCAUAAUUCCACCUUUCUAACUAGGUUCCCAAAGUUCAUACAAAAUUACAAAUGUAGAGUGCUAAAACACGUAAGGUAUUUGUUAGAAUGAGCUGCUAUCCCUUUUUUGUGAAAAUUUAUAUAUAUUGCUAGAAUGUCUAGUUUGAAAUCCCAAAGUUCUCUUCGAUCUUUUACCAGUUGAAAACCUUUUUUUUUUUUUUUUCUUCUAUUGGUUCUAUUUUCUCCUGAGGAGGUGAUGGAGACUAUAAUUGUCCCUUCCUACUAACUAUAUUUGACAUGGAGAUUAGAGGUUUUCUUAAUAUUGUGGUGAUGGAUCCAGCUGGGUGGUCGAAAAGAGUUUUUCUUGAGAGUGAAGGGGGAAGAAUAUUUCUUCGUUUUAUUUUCUCCUUCUCGUCCUGUUUUUCCCCUUUUUUUUCUUUGCUUUGAUUCGUUUCAUUUUGAUGCUUUGUUCUUCUCUUACUUCAUCUUAAGUAAAAUAAGAACCACUAGUUCUCGUAUUGCUUCGCUAGGAAGUUUUGAAACCAGCAAAUUGGAGAGAGAUGUCUUAGCUCGCAAAGCAAGUAACUAAAUUUGCUUUCAUAUCUUUAUCAGAGGUUAGUAGAUCUGUACAUUAUGUUACAUUGUAUGAGUAGGUAGAGGUGAUACAUCGUAUUAUACUAAUCAUAGUUGGAGCUUUGUUAACUUCAUUGAUGCAAUGCUGAUAUUGAUACUCUGAGAAUAAGUAAACGAAAGCCAACCUAUUACUUGGACUCAGUAUUAUGUUAUAAAUGGCACAAGUAGGAUAAUAUGCUGUUUGACAGAGAAAUCCUAUCCGCAAGGCUUCAAAUAUAGUGUAUUGACUAUUGGCAUGUGGAACAGCAUAUGACAAUGGGGUUCCAUGGGUACAUGGUUAAAGAUUAGAUUCAUGGAUGUUGCCAAGCCAAAAUGGAAAAUAUUACAUAUGUGAGUAUCUUUUUUUAAGUUUAGUGCACCUAACAAGAUGUAAAAUGUUUUCUUGUUAUCAUGUUUCUUCUCAAGAAGCAGUUUAAAGUGCCAAUGGGAGAUGGCGAGUUUUACUGAACAUGCGUCCGGUGAAUCGUUGUUUUCACACAAAUUAGUGUUUCGGAAGGAAAACAGGAAGUGUAAAGGGCAGCAGUAAAAUGUUUCUGAUCAAAAGAAUAGUUGGUUAUGGUGUAUCAGAAAGUUGUGGUGUUUAUCCAAGUAUUUUAUACUCUCUACCUUUGUGGACAAUCUUUCUGCAAGUAUUUUUAUACUCUGUACCUUUGUGGACAAUCUUUCUGCUAAAAGGUGAAGAAUGGGGCUUUGCUUGUUCCCAAACGCAACAAUAUUCCUCGAAUCAACUUGAAAAUUUUCUUUUGUAGUUUGUUUAACUUGAAUAACAACGAGCUUAAACUGAAGCAACUUUCAUUUCUAAUGAUGGCCAUGGUAAUUAUUGACCUGUACAGUAGAAAUUAUUACUGCUACUACGUCAAUAUGGUAUGAGCUCUCUACCUGAUCUGGUAACUUGUAGCAAGUCUUUGUGACUUUUCAAUAUACUCCUGUGCAGAGCAAUCUUUUGCAGUCAUCAAGUGAUUGGAUCGCUACUAUUUUUUCUAAAAACCUAUCUGCUUUGUAACAUUACUUUAAGCCACUUCCACUCUUACUGCUGGUAUGUUAAUUUCCUUCUCUUUUCAUCCCCCUUUGCUCUGAAGAAUCUCCCAGGUUACUUUUUCCAUAACUGAAGAAAAAAGCGAGUGGACAAGAGUUACUUGGGUGUCGAACUUUACAAGAAGGGCUUUUGUUGUAUAUGUAGUUUUACUCCUUACUUACACAGGAUGUGAAAUUACAAGAAUAAAGCGUUUGAGCAUGUUGUGUCAAAAUCUUAAAAUGACAUCUUUGUUAGCUCCGUUAUACAAGAAAAUAUAGGCCCCUGUUUAGUGUUACUAUACAUUGUGUUUUUUCAGAUGUACAAUUUACUGGGUUGCUCAGGGUCACAAAUUUACUAACAAUAACCAUUCACAGCCUAUCGCAAAAUGAUGAUGAUGAGUCGAUGACCACCAACAAUAACUACAACAUACCAACAACAGCAGCAACAACAACACCAAUGACAAUAAAUAAUACUCGAAUAACAAUAGAUUAAAUCCGUCUAGUGAGUCAAUCUUUCUCUGAAUGAGCAGUAAAAGAAAAAAAAAGGGCAUGAUAAAUAACAGACACCUUAAUGCAAAAUUACAUAGAGAUAUUCCAUGGAUAAGCACAUAUCAAAGAAAUAUUAAUUCUACUCUGGGAUUGACCUUUUGUUGCAGGAUAAUAUCUUGGGCUUGCUUCCAGCUAGGAUAGUCUGAUAAAUGGAUCGAUUUGUAUGACCACUUGCCUCCUCCCAGAUACAUUCUCCCUUUUGAGUUGAUAAUUAACCGCUCACGAGCAAUGGCAUUGUUAAGCAAAUAAAUAGCAAGUUCCACUUCAUUGCAUUCAUUAGUGAAUCCACUGAUUUCGGCUUCCUUCAGCUGACAAUGGUGUUUAUAAGUAGGCUUUUUCUUCUGAGUUUCAGCACUGUAAGAUCCAUCGCAGAGCUGUUACCAAAACCAAUAAACAUCAGGUUCAAAGAUGAAGAGCACACAAUCUUGUAUGUUAGUGAACAAAAUAUAUCAAGGAGCGGAUAUAAUCCAAAAGAGCGAUUUCGUCGUAAGUCCACAUAUCUUGUAUGGCAUUGCUCAAGAGCAUUUUAUGAUCCUCUUGUAAAAAUUAGUACUUUGAGGCUGCAUUUGAUUUGGGUAUAAAUAAGAACUUUUUAUUCCAAAAAUAGGUAUAAGUUCAGGUAUAAGCAGGAACUAGACCAAUUUUGCGUUUGGAUGAAAAUUAGUUUAUUCCUAGGAAUAAGAUAAAUAGUGUUUGAAUGGUUAGAUGGGAACAAAGGGAAUAAGGCUUAUAAUUUUAAAUUAAAAAUAUUCUAUCUAAUUAAUUAACAUCAAAAUAUUACUUAAAAAUAAUUUAAUAAAUUAAUAAAUUUAUUAGCUAUGAAUAUUAUAUGAGAUAAUGAAAAUAUAUUAAUUAAUUAAUUAAAUAUAAAAAAUAAUUUAAUUUUUUAAUUAUUUAGUAAAUUAUUUUAGCUAGAUAACUAGUAAAAAAAUUAAUUAGAUUAAUAGAAAUAUUAAUUGUUGAUAAAUAUAAAUAUUAGUUUAUAGAUAAAUACAUUAAAUAAUAAUUUAAAUAUAUUAAUUAGAUUAAUUAACGAUUUAAUACCAUAAUUAAAAUUAAAUUUAGAUUUUAAUUAACCUUGUUUCCACCUGGGAACAAACUUGUUCCAAGGAAAAAGGUGGAUUAGCAAUUCCAGCCUUAUACCAGCUUAUUUCAGAAAUCCAAAAACUACUAUUCUUUGGUACCAAACGCACCGUUUAGGAACAAAGGGGGGAACAAGGGCUUAUUCCCCCCUUGUUCCCGAACCAAACACUGCCUGGGAGAACAAUAAAGGUAUGAUAGACAUGAAUCCUAUUUUUACGACCAACAAUAAUUAAGAUAUGAAUCUUCAACUUUGCACAUUAAUCGCGAGAGCUCAUCAUAUAGAAAAGAUCAAAGAAGAGUUGCAAAAUAGAUAGUUACACAAUGAAAAGCCAGAUUAGAUAGUACCGAAAGUUGCAAAAAACUGUAUCAACUCACCGAAAUAUGGAACUUCUCCUGAAGAGGACAAGCAUCAAGAAAAUACGUAGCAGAAAGAGGGUCAAAAUCGCUUGGGGCAAGAAAAAACAACUCCAAUUGUUUGAGAAAGCUGAAUUUACUCACAUUUGCAGGUAUUGGCUAUGUCUGUAGACACAAGAAAUUGCUAAUUAACACAUCUUUAUAGAUAGGGUGUGCAAAAGAAAAACCAAUUAUCACAGGAAAAUUUCUAAACUAUGUCGUAAAUAUAGACACCCUCACAAACCUCAAAAAAGACUAGUGACAGAGACUUCAGGCAAGGAAGAUCUCUUGCUAUGCCAUGGUACAUAUAUUCUGACCCCUCGGCAAAUGGAUGCAGAAAAGCCAUGUACAAUUUCUCUAGACAGGGAACUCUAACAAAUAUGAAAUUUUUAACUCUACCCCUGUAAUCAAAUGUCUUGAGACUAGUGGAACUAAUAAAGAUAUUAGAUAACAAACCAUAACAAUCACGCAAAGUUAAUAUCUUCAGAUGACGUAAUUGAUAGCAUAUCGUGAGUCUUUGGCAGGUCACAUGUUUCCAGUCUCCAGGACUCAAGGUUAAGACAACAUGAAUGUAUACUUUGAAUAUCACUUGCAUCCAGAGGGACUCUAUUCAAAUCGAGCGUCUUCAAAGAACUGAACUGGUCUAUGAAAUUUGAAGGUUUCAGCAAGCAUGUUUCGAGGCACAAACGCUUUAAGUAAGAUGAUUUACUGCAGGGAAGGAGAUGACAUGGGAAAUUAUAAAGGCCAUAAUUAGGUGAUAUAUUAGAAAGGGCGCGAGAUCAAUCUUCCUUGCUCUCAUCCUCAGUGCCCAACUGAUCCAGCUAUCGAUAUGACAAGCAGACUCAUCUCCAAGUCGAAAACCGACCGUGAAGCAAUAUAUAUCUCGUGAUAGAGCUUCAUAAACAUGCAAAAUCUGGUUAACCUCUCUUAUAAGUUUAUCCUUAAACUCAUUAUUGACAAGAAGACAAGAGCAUCGUCCAAUUUGAAUUCCAAACAUAGUAAGAGGGUCGAGGCAUAGGUUAGAUACGAAUGUAGGAUGACGCCUCCAUCUACGCGAUAGUAACUUUGCCUUGGCAGCAUCUCGCAAGGUAAGAAGCGAGAAGAUGCGAUUAAGAAUGUCGUCCGGCAAUUCACUGAUAUGGUCUCUGGUGUGAGCGUUUUGCUACAAAAAAUGUGUAAAUUAGCAAGAUCUCACUUUCCUAACUUUAGGAAGAUAAUAAAGAAUAAUGCGAUAAGUAAUAAAUAGAUGACUUGAGCUAGGGUGCUAUUUAUAGCACCAAGCCUUUCAUGUUAUAGGCCAUUAAAAAUAUCACUUUUGAGACCACUUGAUAAUUAAGAAAUAGAUUCAUGAAAUUUGAUUCCAAGGAAGUUCAAAUAUCCUAAAUCAGAUUCACUGAUGAUGAUUGUCGAAAUGAAUGCCCAAACAUUGAAAAUGAUCGAUAGCACAAAAGGCUCGAUCCUACUAUUAGCACCCCGGUCUAGCUCAUAAGUAGAUCAUCAACUUUAUUUUGCAACCAAAACACAGGAACAACAAGCAAACAUAACAGUUCCUGGCAAGCCAUAGAUAAGAUAGGCAUGGGACACUAGAAAUGCAGUGCUCGAACCAACACACCUGCUGCCUAAGCAGUCAAGACUCAAGAGCACCACAUGUUACCUAAUCAACAAUAACAUAUUUACCAAGAAAUUGGAAAAUAACAUGAAAGUUAAAAAUGUGCGGGACCUGUGUGAACUACAACAAAUUUUGAAAGCAUCGGCUGAUUUUGAAAUUUGAUUUUACAACCUAAGUUUAGUAUUUAUUAGAUUUGUCGAGUCACUUGAUGGCGCUUCCCAAACGGAAUCUUGAUAAGCCAUAUGUUUUUAUGGGACUUAAUUAGAGUAUCUUAUAUGAUUCACACGACUACAUCCUGUUAAAAGUUUUAUAAGCACGGUCAAUUAAAACGAAAUCGUGAAAUAAAAUAUGGUCUGUUAAAGCGGAGAGAAAUUUAUUCUUUUUGCCUAAUUAUUAAAACACGAGAAAUUGAUUGAUAACACCUGGAAAUGAGUCUCAAGUAAAGCUGCUAGAUUUAAAUAGAACAACUCCAGUCACAAUCCACCAAUGGAAUUGCACCAAAAGAAAAAAAAAAAAAAAAAAAAAAAAAAAAGGUAAAUAAGACGGAGCAGAAAAACAGAACCAGAUUUGCUCAUAUGUGAAGUGAUAAUCCGAACGAGCUCCAGAUCAUAGGGUUUUAGGCGCACAGAAAAAUCAUAUUUAGAGAAGAUAGCCUCAUACAUGUAGAAUAGGUGCACAAAAAAGUUGUACCUGAAAUUGGCUAACCGUUUUGGAGUGCUCCAUCUCAGAGUAUAAGGAAGGCGGCUAGGCGAGCGAGAAGAGUUCCAGACUGCCUUCGGCUGAGAUCGGGGUAGACUAAUUAGUACUCGAGAAAAUAUGCCGACGCCGACGGCUAGGGUUCAUUCAGGAGGAAUUAAUUCUAAUUUGAUAUAUUCUGCACUCCGACCGGGCGAAUUAGAGCUAAUCCAAAACGAAAAGGAAUAAUUUAUACAACUCCCUAAUAAAGAUAUAUUAAAUUAUGAAUAUAUCUCCUCCUGCCUUUUUCGGCCAGAACUAAUACCAGAAAAGCCAAACAGAUCACCACGGAACACCAUGAUUUUAAUGGGGACAAAGUCAAUGAUCUUCAACCUAGCCAAAGGCUUAAGCUACUUUGCAUGUAUGAAUUAAGACUAUGAAGGCUAAAACUAUGAAAACUACAAGGACUAAGGCCCCCGUUUGGAUACCGUUAAAAACGUAGCAUAAUGCUACACUAGUAAAAAAUUUAUACAAUUAUCGUAAUUUUUGGAUCAUAGGUAAACUAUACUAAAAAAAAUAGAGUAAAAUUAUAAUUCACUCUAACCAAAGAAAAAGAAUUCCACUAUUUUUGGACAAAGAUGCAUAAGUUCUAACUUUUAAAUUUCAACAUUAAAUUUUAAAUUUCAACAUAGAUUUCAAAUUUUAAAUUUUACAAUUUAAUUUAAAUUCAAAUUUUUAAUUUCAAAUUUUAAAUUUGAAUUUUAAAUUUGAAAUAUCAAAAAUUAAAUUUUAUAAUUUCAAAAUUUAAAUGUCAAAUUUUAAUUUUAUAAAUUCAAAUUUUAAUUUUCGAAUAUCAAAUUUUAGAUUUUAGUUUACAAAUAAUAAAUUUCAAAUUUUAAUUUUUUAAAUUUAUAAUUUUAAUUUUUAAUUCUAAAUUUUUUAUUUUCAAAUUUAAUUUUAAAUUUCAAAUUUCAAAUUUCAAAUUUAGAAUUUCAAAUUUCAAAUUUAGAAUUUCAAAUUUUAUUUUAAAUUUUAGUUUUCAAAAUUUAAAAUUUAAAUUUUAAAUUUCAAAUAUCAAAUUUUAAACUUCAAAUUUUAAAUUUUAAAUUUUAAAUUUCACAUUUUAAUUUUCAAAUUUCAAAUUUCAAAUUUAGAAUUUCAAAUUUCAAAUUUAGAAUUUCAAAUUUUAUUUUAAAUUUUAGUUUUCAAAAUUUAAAAUUUAAAUUUUAAAUUUCAAAUAUCAAAUUUUAAACUUCAAAUUUUAAAUUUUAAAUUUUAAAUUUGAAGUUUAAAAUUUGAUAUUUAAAAUUUAAAAUUUAAAUUUUAUUGAAAUUUGAAAUUUGAAAUUUGAAAUUUUAACUUUUAAUUUUAAAAUUUAGAGAAAUUCCAUGAAAUUGCACAAUGCGCAUCCAAACAGUUUAAAAAUUGAAUCCGUGAAAUUUUUUUAGAGUUACAGGAUUUCCUAUUUCAUUUGGACCCAAACCACAGUUUAUAAAUUCCGUGGAGAUUUUUUACUGUGAAUCCAAACAGGCCCUAAAGAGAAAAACAGUAUGUUGGAAAGUCCCUGGUGAUUCUUUUCUUUAGCCUACCCUUAUAUUGUAGAAAGAGUGGUUUAGUUUUCCAAUAUUUCCUUACCGAGAGAAGAUCAAAAGCAGCCGGCUCCAGUGCUGAGAAAAUGGCAGUCAAUCCCUGCACAAAGUUUGCAUCAUAAAAAUAUAUGACAAACAAAGAAUUGUUGUGCCAAUAACACAGUCCGCUACGACCAGCAUGUCCUAUCUAUGCCGCGUAUGUCGAUAAGAUCGUACCGCUCGUGCUGACGUGUUUAAAAUACGAUGUGUGUCGAGGCAUGUUAGCGUACCUCGCAUGCCAAUAGCAUACCAACACCCCGAAUACCAGUGGCACAAUGCCAAUAGCAUACCAACACCCCGAAUACCAGUGGCAUAACAUCCGUUAAAAUAAAUAAACAUAAAAGUUUAAAGUAACCUAAGAAGGAACCCUGCUCCAGUUAGAAAAUCCCGGUAAUGCUGACACACCAGGCCAAUUGUCUUAUGUUGGAGUGCCCAAAAUACUAUAAUUUUGCAUACAUUAAUACAAGUUAGAAUUAAACUUUCAUGACAACAAAUAAAUAAUGAAUAAAUGCACGUACCGAAACAUGCGGUCAAGAACGGCAACCUUAGUGUCCCCCUUGAAUAAAAUUCUCUUUUGGUCAUCUACCAUCAGAGCAAAAAUACAACCAAAUGACCACAUAUCAACAGUUGUACUAUAUGUGUCAAAUCCAAGCAACAUCUCAGGUGCCAUAUACGCGAGUGUGGUGACCUAGUAAUCAAAAUUACAAUAGAAAGUAAGCAAAGCACACUAGAGACAAAUAAAGAAAAGAUAAAAUGCAUCGAGGCCUCUCAAUGAUAGAUCAGAUUGAAAUCAUCUGCUCAACUUCAACUUUUGGAUUCAAACAUCAUUAACAUAUUUGAUUAUUGAAAAUUAAGUUAUGUUAAUUUUUUAAAAAUAGAGAUUUUAUCAAAUUGCUUAUCAUUUCAUCAAAUUUAAUUAUUCUAAUAUUUUUUAGUAAAUAAACCUAAACUAAUUAACUGUUAAUAACUAAUAGAGUCAAUAAAGUUGAUAAGAAAACCAACUAUAAAAGUUCAAAUUAAAAAUAAAAAUAAAAAUUAAGGGAGUCAAAUCCAAAAAAAAUGUUGGAGGGUCUAUUUUAGAAAGGCUUAUAGUUGAGGGAGCCUCCAUAUAUUUUAUAUGUAUAUUAAAAAAAAUGUUGCCUGCAUAAACAUUUCAUCCAACAAAAUCACAGUUCCACUACUUACAAAACAAGUGUAAAUUGGUUGAUUGAGAGUUGAAAAUAUUGUUUGUAACUGCGUUAAUAAUUUGACCUCCAAAUAGUAUUUCUCAUAAAACGAUAAAUUGCCACUCGAUGGAAUCAAAAUCCUAAAACAUAAAUGAGCUUAUCAUGUCUGUACUAAAAUCAAAUAUCUAUUAAAAUCACAAAAAAAGUUUCUUACACUACACAAUUGGGUACACAAUUGGGAGCACCUACAGGCUUAAUUUUUUCUUUUUUUCUUUUUUAAAGAAUUAUAUCUUCUUUUUAUUUAAUAAAAAAAGAUAAACAAGACUCAAACCCUUACUCUCAACAAACGGCCUUCGUAUGUGAAUUCCUUUCUCUUUGCAAAAUCACAAGCCAUUUAUAGGAAACCAAUCAAGAAUAUAUUCUCCACCAUUUUUCUACAAGACAAAAAUUACCUUUGUUAACUUGAUCCUCAAAGAGAUUCAUCAUUUCUUUUUGGGUGUUUGGUUCAAGCUACGCAAAAUUUCCGAUUAUUUCAAUGUAACCAAACACGCCCUUUAUGACAUUUUCCCAUUCAUCGCAUCAAUAACACAUCUAUCCCAUAGCUUACGGCAUUCCAAUCUUAUUUCUUCAAUCAACUGUGAGUAAACAUUGAUCAUAUUCGAUAUAUCUAAAUCUAUUGUGAUAGGUCUUCUCAUACAACAAAACUUUUCUACAUCUUUUGCUUAAAUGGCCAAAUUCUCCACAUGUGAAACAAUGUUCUUGCCCUUCCGCUGAAAUGGCCAAGUCUUAUUCACUUUAAAUCAUGACAUAGAUAGAGCCCCGAUUCCUUAACUCAUCUCUGCAAUCCUCUAUAUGGAAAGUGCUGGGACGAUGACAACCCCAACAUAUCCUUUGCUUGAUUAUAGCCAAUUCCUGAGAUAAGGAUUUAAAAAGUUCAAAUCGAACCCUAACCCUAAGCUAUGUAGAUGAAAACCUCUUCAGUGGACUAAUGACACUGUUUUCCUACGGCUACUCUAAGUUCCCACAAGAACAAAACCCUAAUUGAGAAUGGUCUAGCUUGAACAAUUCAUUUUUUUAGGACAUUCCUAAUCACCAACAUUAUCUAACGAUACCAUAAGUUAAUGUAAUAUGCAAAUGAAAAAUGUUUCUUAUGCUGUAGCAUAAUUAAGAAAUGUUGGUUCAUAGUUCACUAACAAAAUAGGAGAGUAAAUUGCAUUUUAUUUGUGGCAUCAGUAUCAUAUCUUGGCAAUACAGUCCCCGAGCACAUCUAAAGUCGGUUACUACGAUGCGGUCAUCUUGAUCCCAAUAAAGAAUGUUCUUUGACUUGAGAUCACGAUGUAUUACAACGUGGGAAUGGCAGUGGUGAAUUGCUGAAAAAAUCUGCUUCGAGUAAUCCUACAUUAAAAAAAAAACAAAAGAAAUAAGACCAAAAAGACAUAACAAUGUAUUAAUACAGCUAAUUUAGAUAAUUUACCUUCGUCAUUAUAGGGCAACGAUCUUCAUGCCACCGAAAGUGUGAAAUUAAAUUCAUCUUAUAUUCUUGCAAUACUAAGAAUACAUGAUUAUCUUGGCCAUAAGUGCGUUCUAACCUAUAAUUUAAAAAAUAAAACAAAAAUGUUAAUUCAUAGUGAUUAAAAAAAAUAGAAAGCCGAUGUUUUUUCAUACAUUUCUGGACAGUAGGGAAAAUUUUGGUCUAGACUGAAAGGGGAAUAAAAAAUUUUAAAAAUAUCAAAGUAAAUGCAAAAUUAUAACAAAAAUCCUUAAUAGGUUAAGAUAAUGGAUUUACAACAUUUUUCUGGGAUAUUUUAUCAAAAAUUUCUUUUAAGAUAUAGUCUCCGAAAUUUAUUAUCACAAUCAACUAUAAGAAGGACCUGAAUUUAGUAAUAAUUAUACUUAAUAUGUAAGAAAUAUACCUAACAUUAUUAUCAUAUUUAAGUUCGGUGAGUAUGUAAGAUUCCCUGAUUCCCUGAUGGCAUUGAUUGAAAGAUCAUCAGUAAAUGGUAUCCUUUUCAAAACAACUUGUUUGUUGCUUUGUUUGUCCUUCGCUAGGAAAAUUUCACCGUAACCUCCUGAAUCAAGUUUCUUAAUAGUCUCAUACCGAUCCAUCUACAGAUUGGACAAGUGACUGUUUAAAAAUAAUAAACACUUUAAUAGAGUAAUACUAAUCACGGUAAAAUUCACAAAUAUAAUUAUUACGAUAAUCACAUUAGUAUGAAUAAAAACAAUAAUAAAUUAUUAAACAAUAAUGACGGUUUAAGAACAGUGAAAGCAGUUUUAGAGUUUGUGACAAAUACGACACGUUUGGCCCAGAUUCUGGAAAAGUAAUUUCUGCAGAAUUGAUUUUGGUUAAAAGCUGUAAAGCGUUUGACUGAGUUUUGAUAAAAGUGAUUUUUCUAAAGCAAUUUUGUAAAUAUGUUCGGCAAUUUUUUUUUUUAUGUUUACAUAAAUUAAUAUUUUUAUUAUAUUUUAUUUUAAAAUAAUUUUAAAUUUAAAUUUAAAUUUGAAUUAAAAUAAAAUUUUUAAAAUUUUAAAAUUGUACAAAAUUUAAAAUUUGAUAUUUUAAUUUAAAAAAUAAAUUUUUGAUUAUUAGAGUUGCCGAUCACUAGAUUGUGAGUAAAAUUACAUUACAAAUAUAAAAAAUUAAGAUAAGAUUUAUAAGAACUCCUAAAAUGAUAGAAUCUUUUCUUUGAUUAGUGAAAAGGAAUCAAACAAUGCAAUAAACAGUGAGAAACCAAAACUAUUGCGAAGUACAUUACAAACAUAAAAAAUUAAAUUACAAAUAUAAAAAAUUAAGAUAAGAUUUAUAAAAACUCCUAAAAUGAUACUUUAGAACUUAAAUAACAAACAAAACCAAACGAUUUUGACUAAUUUGAGAAUAAUAAAAUAAAACGAGACAUAAUAGCCUCUUUGAUUGGUGAAAAAGAAUUAAACAACACAAUAAGCAGCGAGAAACCAAAACUACUAUCGCAGAGUACAUUACAAGAAAAAACAUAAAAUUUUUCAUCAUCCGAGUUGCCGAUCACCAGAUUGUGAGUAAAAUUAUAUUACAAACAUAAAAAAUUAAGAUAAGAUUCAUAAGAACUCCUAAAAUGAUGCUUUAGAACUUAAAUAACAAACAAAACUAAGUGAUUCUGACUAGUUUGAGAAUAAUAAACUAAAACGAAACAGAAUGGUCUCUUUGGUUGGUGACAAAGAAUCGAACAAUGCAAGAAGCAACGAGAAACCAAAACUACUGCGGAGUACAUUGCAAGUAAACAUAAAUUUCUUGAUCAUCAGAGUUGCCGAUCACCAGAUUGUGAUAAAAUUACAUUACAAACAUAAAAAAUUAAGAUAAGAUUUAUAAGAACUCCUAAAAUGAUACUUUAGAACUUAAAUAACAAACAAAACCAAACAAUUCUGACUAAUUUGAGAAUAAUAAAAUAAAACAAGACAUAAUAGUCUCUUUGGUUGGUGAAAGAGAAUCGAACAACGCAAGAAACAGCGAGAAACCAAAACUACUAUCGCGGAGUACAUUACAAGAAAAUAUAAAAUUUUUCAUCAUCCGAGUUGCCGAUCACCAGAUUGUGAGUAAAAUUACAUUACAAAUAUAAAAAAUUAAGAUAAGAUUCAUAAGAACUCAUAACAUGAUACUUUAGAACUUAAAUAACAAAUAAAACCAAGUGAUUCUGACUAGUUUGAGAAUAAUAAACUAAAACAAAACAGAAUGGUCUCUUUGGUUGGUGACAAAGAAUCGAACAACGCAAGAAGCAGUGAGAAACCAAAACUACUGCGGAGUACAUUACAAGAAAACAUAAAUUUCUUGAUCAUCAGAGUUGCCAAUCACCAGAUUGUGAGUAAAAUUACAUUACAAACAUAAAAAAUAAGAUAAAAUUCAUAAGAACUCCUAAAAUGAUACUUUAGAACUUAAAUAACAAACAAAACCACUUGAUUCUGACUAGUUUGUGAAUUAUAAACUAAAACGAGACAGAAUAGCCUCUUUGGCGCGUAGAAAAUCCGCUGCAGUGGAGGUGGAGGGAGAAGGCGGAGGAAGAUGACGCGUUAUCAUCCUCGUUAUCAUCGCGGAGGGCCAUGGAGGCAGUGGAGGAUGGUCGGAGAGAAAAAAAAAAAAGAGGAUCGCAGCGCGGCCUCGGCGGAGUCGGAGGCGAGUAGGGCAAGGGGUGCGCGAGCGAGGGUGAGGGCGUGAGCGGCAGAGACAAUAGGGGUCGUUUCCGCCUUCGCCUUCGUCGCCUUCUUUGGCGAGAAAAAAAAAACACAAAAAAACAUAAGGAGAGAGAAAAAGAUAUAUGGGUAUUUUGGUCAGUUUACUAAAAAUUCUGACCGAAUUUGCAAAAUCGAAAAAGACUGUCCAGUUUUGCAAAAACUUAAAACUUAUGGAUUUUUAUGCAAAUUAGCCAUAACUUUUCUAUUUUCUUACUAUUUCUAAUAAUUGUUCUGCUCCACUACCCCUAAAUAGUUUUUCGUGAAAAAUGGAAAAAAUUCUUCUAUUUCCUUCUUUAUCUCUAAACAAUUUUCUGUACUAAAGGGUAAAAAAUUCUUUUAUUUACUUCACUAUCCCUAAACAAUUCUCCGUGAAGAAGGGUAAAAUAUUCUUCUAUUUCCUUCACUAUUCCUAAUAGUUCUCUGUAAGGAAUGGUAAGAAGUUCUUCUAUUUACUUCACUAUCUCUAAACAGUCCUCCGUGAAAAAAGAUAGAGAAUUCUUCUAUUUCUUUCACUAUUCCUAAACAGUAAUCCGUCAAUUAGAGCGUUUGGCUGAGGGUCCGUUUGUUAUGUUAAACCUUCACUUCACCUACUCUCGACUUUCUACUCUAAAAUGUUGAAGUCGAUUUCCGCCACACUCAAUCUCCUCUAAAAAAUUUAUUAAAUAGUAAAACCUAAACUCUACUUCCUUUAUAAUGAGUUAGAAUUACUUUAUUUAUAAUAAAUUAGGAUUACCUUAAAAUAAUAAUAAAAAAUUUAAUUAUAUAAUAGGUUAAAUUUUAUAACGGUAAAUUUAUUACCAUAUUUAGGAGAUAACGAGAUCCACUUACUUACAUCAAAAUAAACAGAAAAAAUAAUUGAAUUUAACUUUCAGACUGUACGAGUUACGUCAAAACAAAGAACAAAAAAAUAAUCACACUUCAAGAAAACUCAAAUACCAUUGCAUUUGACCUACGUUGGAUCUACAUAUUCGUCAAUCCAAACGCCCCUUGAGUUUAGGUAAAAGUAAUUUUUCUGAAGUGAUUUUGUAAAUCUGUUUGGUAAAAAAAUUUAGAUGCUUGCAUAUAUUAAUAUUUUUACUAAAUUUUAUUUUAAUAUAAUUUAAAAUUUAAAUUUAAAUUUAAAUUUUAAAAUUGAAUUUAAAUUUAAAAGUUAAAUUAAAAAUUUAAAUUUGAAUUAAAAGUAUAAUUUUUAAAUUUCAAAUUUGUACAAAAAAUAAAUUUGAAAUUUCAAAAUUUUAAAUUUUGAAUUUAAAAUUUAAAAUCUAAAUUUAAAUUUUUAAAUUUAAAAUUUAAAAUUUAAAAUUUGAAUUUUGAAAUUUAAAAGUAAAAUUAAAUCUUAAUUUUGAAUUCAAAAAUUAAAGUUAAAAAUUUUGGAUUUUGAAAUUUAAAAUUAAAAUUUAAAAUUUAAAUUUUAUAAUUUGAAAAUUAAAACUUGUAAAUUUAAAUUUUAAAUUUUAAAUUUUAAAUUUUAAAUUUUAAAAUUUUAAUAUUUUAAAUUUAAGUUUUAAAAUCUGAAAUAUCAAAAUUUAAAUUUUAUCUUAAAUUUAAAAUUAAAAUUUAAAAUUUAAAACUUUAAAAUUUGAUGUUUGAAACUUAUAUUUAAAAUUUAAAAUCUAAAUUUUAAGUUUGAAAUGUUGAGAUUUAAAAAUCAAAAUAUGAAUUUAAAAUUUUAAAAUUUAAAUUUAAUGUUAAAUUUAUAUUUUAAAUUUAAAAUAAAAAUAAAAAUUUAAAGUUUUGGAAGAGCAGCUUUUUUCUAUUUUUGAUUCUGCAGGCUUCAAAAUUAAUUUUAUGAUUCUAAAAAAGAAUUCCAAAUUUUUUAUCGAUCUUUCUCAUUUACUGAGUACUGAGUUUAAAAGUAAUUUUGGAUUCAAAAUUAUUUCUAAGAAACUAGGCCAAACACCCCAAUAUGGGCAAAGAAAUGUAGUUUUUCCUUUUAUAUCCCUAGCUAAUCGCUCAGAUCAGAUCAAGCCUCGCUCCGACCUUCGUUGUCUUUCUCCUGUCUCUUCUUCUUUUUCCUCCUAUUGUCUCAGAUCCCUCGAUUCCCUUACUCCGAUCUCUUCCUUCGCUCCGGCGAGGGGUCUCCUACGCCGAUCCCUCCCCGUUCUCAAUCGCAAGCGCACGAGAUCCGGCGCGAGAUCCCACGCUGGAUUUAGCCAUGAAUCCCUUCUCCUCGGGAACUCGGUUAAGGUAAGCUCUCCAUCAUUUCCUACCUCUUCGAUCGAUUCGCGCGCUUCUCGAUCUCGAUCGUGCGAAUUCGUGCUCUCCUUGGAAAUCGUUCGAUUCAGCUUAAUUAGAUCUGUUUGAGAUCACAGCUUAAGGAUUCGAUGUGUCGCGUUCGAGCUAGUUGAUUCUUGGGAGUUAGAACCUUAGCAGAUCUCUGUUCUCAUUGUGUCGUGAUGAGUUCGUUUUCAGGUUUUCUUGAAUAUAAGUCAGAACAUAAAGUUAUGCUGUUUUCUUUGAUUGGGGAGUCCGUUCAAGAAUGUCUGCGAUCCACGAUUGGGAGGGAAAUUUAGGAAAUUUUUUGAGCCGGUUCAAUUGAAUCGAAUGCAAACAUGUUCUUUUAUUCACAUUUGUUCUAUCAAAAGUAAGGUUGCCCCCCUCUCUUUUUCCUUGGUUCUAGAUUUUAAGUGUGUCUUAUUGAAUUCUUUUAUUUCUUGAUGCAUAUGCAAGAAUUAUAAAAUUUGUUGUUGUGGUACGCUAGAUGCAGGUCCAGCAAAACUGCAAUUGCCUUGGUUCUGAAUUUGAAGCAUUUCUAUAGAUUGUUCCCUGACCCAUAACUGUUAUUUACUUUAAUCCUUGAGUUUCUUGAGGAUAAACACUGAAGGAACCAAAAAUGUUCGUAACAUUAGAAUAGUCAACACAGUCUACAGUGAAUUAUAUAGCUGUUUGUUAGAGAAGGCAAGCAUAGUAGAAAAUGAAGGAGAGAAAAUAUGAGAAGGAAAGUGAUUUUCUUUGUCUUGGUUGGAUAUUUAUAGAAGAAAAGAAGAAGAGAAUAGCCGUCCUCUAUGUUGUUUAAAAGGACAUGGCAGAAAGUAAAUCAAAUACUACUGUACCCUUAUUUGGAUGUUCUUGCUUUCGAAACUGUUGCAUUCACAUUCCUUUGUUAUAUUUGGUGUCCUAACAUCAAAAAUGACCGCUGCUUAGUUGGUUCUUAUUUAAAUGGAGUCUAAUUGUUGUUCAAAUGGAAAUUGUUGUUAUAUAAAUAUUGGGAACCAUUGGUAUAAUGACCUCCUAGGAUGUUUAACUAGCCUGAUAUCAAUAUCAAGACUUGUUAAAUGUGAAUCCCACGUUUUGAGACAUGUCCCUUUUGUUGACUAUCUUACUAUUGAUUUGCAUCCUUCCAGAAGAUUUCUUUCAUGUUCUUCUUGGUUGAUUUGGCACGAGCUUUGUAUUUGAACUCUCUGAUCUUUCUUCUUGUUGGAAUUUUUAUGCUUUAUAGAAUACAUUUCAACCAUUUCCACCUUUUUAAAACUGAAGCAACUGACACACAUCUUCUAAUAUUCUAGUGUGCUUACUUCCUACCGUAUACAUGUUUAUGUGAGCACACGUCCAUUCUCUUAAUGUGAUCACCAUUAUGCAAGCAUGUUUCUGUAUACGUAUCUGUGUAUAUCAGAAGUUUGUGAACAAUAUGAAGUAUUUCUUUUCAUUAUUGGAUUGUAAUGGUUUCAAUCUUUCAGUAGAAAUACUUUCCUUGUUAUUUUUCCAGUUGUAUGUUGAGUCAUUUAUAGUUGUAUUUAGCUUGAGAAUAUAACUGCAUGAUACUUUGAUCAAUUUUUCUUCUUUGUCCAGUUCCUGUGUAGAGCCAGAUGAGCAAACUUGAAUUCUUAAACUUAAAUUGUCAAUAUCUUCAGUUUUUUAAGAGUCUAACCCUUAAAACUGCAGGGAUAUGAUUCGAGCUAUACGUGCAUGCAAAACUGCUGCAGAAGAGCGUGCGGUUGUAAGAAAAGAAUGUGCUGCUAUACGUGCCGCAAUUAGUGAAAAUGAUCAAGAUUAUAGGCAUCGUAAUCUUGCAAAACUCAUGUUUAUUCACAUGCUUGGCUAUCCCACUCAUUUUGGUCAAAUGGAAUGCCUUAAGUUAAUAGCUUCUGCUGGGUUUCCUGAAAAAAGAAUUGGCUAUCUGGGCCUCAUGCUGCUUCUUGAUGAAAGACAAGAAGUUCUUAUGCUGGUUACAAAUUCCCUGAAACAGUAUCCACUACAUUUGUAGUUUACUGCCUAGCUUUACAUCUACUUCACUAGAACUGUAGGAUAUUUUACACUGAUUCCUAUUAAUUGAUUUUGUACAUUGCAAAAGUCAUCUUUCUAUCUAUUUAGAAUCCUUGACAUGUGCAGAGAUCUAAAUCACUCAAACCAGUAUAUUGUGGGUCUUGCUCUUUGUGCUCUUGGAAAUAUAUGUUCUGCUGAGAUGGCACGGGAUCUCGCUCCGGAAGUAGAGAGACUACUGCAUGGGAGAGACCCAAAUAUUAAGAAAAAGGUACUUACUUUCCCUCUCUAUAUCUAUUUGUGGAUCAUAUUUAGAUGAUUUAUGUCUUUUAAUCAGAGCAUUCAAGUUUAAAUUCAGUAAGUACUAAAUUCAUUACAGUCCCUAUACUGUAGGAGAGUAAUUCCCUCAGUUUAUAAAUAGUACUUCAUACAGAGAACAAUAUUAACUUCUCUUUAAUUUGUCCUAGAUUCUUAGUUUUGGUUAAAUGUCUCUUUACUAUCGAGUACAUUAUUAUUAUUAUUUUAAUUUGUAUUUAAAACUACAAAGAUCAUCAGCUCAGCGUCAUGCUGAUUAAUUGAAUAUUUAUUCAUGCAUUUUCCUUGUUGCUUGGAUGCACCUCUUUGAUGAGUUUUUCUUUUGUGUUGUUCCUCAGAGUCAGGUACUUUUUAAAUUUGAUCACCAGCUAUUUCAUUUGAAUUCAGUAAAAUUUUGGGCCUCUUUUGUACUUUCUAGGAUACAACCUUAUGUGGUUAGAAUCUUUUGAGUUAUGGGAUAAGCAUAAAGAAUAAGGAAUCUAACAAAUGGCAUAAAAAAAAUUGGACCUUGGUUUUGUACCUGGGCUGUAAGAUCUGACCAUGUAAGCACAGAUUUCCGAAAUUAACUAGGGAAAUAAGACUGGGUUUACUCAUUUCUAUCUAAAUGUUAUAAUAGUUGUUUUAUUGUCUGGAAAAGAAAUAGUAUUGCUUUACUAUUUCCUGAGAGAUCAUUCUAUAAGUUGUGACUCUCUAAUAUGUCCUAGCAUAUUUUAACUAUUGUAUAUUCCUUUUCAAUAAAUGUGUUAAGUUUCUAUGAAAUAUGUAGCUAAUGUUGGAACUGUUGGAAGCUGGUUAAAGACGGGGCGGGACGUGGUGGUAAAUAUGCUUUUGGAGCUUCACAAAGUCAUUGCCAACAUAUUAUGAUGAUGGGUGAAAAUUUACCAUGAACUCAUCAUGCCAAUCUUAUAAUGUAUGAGUGCGAAGCAAUUGCUUCCUUUUGAUUGCGGUGAUUAAUCAUAGGGCGGUGUUAAUCUCUGCAAGUUGCACUCCCUAUCUUGAUAUAGUACUUUAAAAAGUAAUUUUCGUGGAUGGGGGAUGUAGUUAGUUUCUCUCUCGAUGAAUUCCUAUUUGUGAGAAUAGUUUGCAUUUUCCUUGAUGAGUAGCUAAUCUAAAUGGCUUUUAUUAUCCAUUGAUUAAAAGUUGCUUCUUGCUUCCUAGGCUGCUUUGUGCUCUAUAAGGAUCAUAAGAAAAGUUCCUGACUUGGCAGAGAACUUUAUGGGACCUGCUGCUUCGCUGCUGAAGGAAAAGCAUCAUGGAGUUCUCAUAGCUGGAGUUCAGCUCUGUACAGAUCUAUGUAAAGCCAACACAGAUGCCUUGGAAUAUUUGAGAAAGGUAUCAUGCACAUUAUGAGCAGUAUUUGGGUUUUGUGUUAAGGUCUUUUGGAUAAUGCAAAUGCUUAACAAAAAUUUCUUCCCAUGAUACACUUUUACGGAUAUUUCUAUUUUGCAGCAUAUUCUUCCCAUGGUUGACAUUUACUGAUAUUUCUAUUUGGCCAGCAUACAUUGUUUAAACACUAAUUUUUUUUUUCUAAAGAAAAUAAAAUCAGUUUCAAUGAGGGCUGACCUUGAUGCAUGGAUACCACUUUUCGAUUGCAACCUAGUUGUCAUGAUUCUGAAUCCUGGAAACAGCCUCACCACAUAGUGGCGCAGGCCUGCACAAAAGUUGUCCCUCUGGCUUCAUAGAAGCUAGAGCCUUGUGCAUUGCAUUGUGCCCUUUUUUCAACCAAAAUCAGAAAUAUAUUUGAGCUCACUGCUUUAUUACAACGAAACCGCAUUUGUGAGCCUAUCCAUAUUGGCUUGUUUUUUAUUUUGGAGAAUCCAUAGAAGAAAAGGAUCAACAUGGUUUGUUUGGCUUAUCUAAUUUUAUGCCUAAGCUUCUUUUCAAAUUGUUCAAGGGAGCUUGCUGUUUCUCUUGUUCAAGUAAUUGUUUGUCCAUUUGGAACAAUCUUGAGUAUGGAUUGUCCCUUUGAAAAUGUGAACUGCCAACAUUUUCUCAAGUUCAUUUCUUUUUCUAUUCUAAUAUCCAUAACUAAAGUGAUCAUGUAACUAGUGUCAAGUGUAAUACUUAAAGCCGUUUUCUUUGGCUCGGUGUAGAGUUGAGUAUACAGCAAACUUAGACAUUUUAAAAUAUGGUAUUCCUGGAAUCUUAUGGAAGUGGCUGGAUUGGACCCAUCAAACCUGAUAUUGUUGUGCAUAAUAAACUUGUGGAAAACCUUUAAAGAAGAUUAAUAGAAACAAUUAUUGAAUGCAUGAAGCUAGCUUGCUUUGAGUAACUUUGAAAUCUGGAAUGGCGUGGCUAAGAAAAACAUUAAGAAGAACACAAUGAGCAUUUUGUGCUAUAGCUAGUAAUGCCAAAGGUAUCGUGAUAGCAGAUGUUCUUUUGGGGAGUAUAUGUAGAAGAGCAGUUUGUAUAUGCUAUUGUUUUUUUUUUAUCUUUGUGUCGGAGUACCAGUUUGCUUGCCUCUUUCUUUUGAGAUGGAAAUAUCAUGCUUCAUGAAGACAGAUAUUUCAUCAAAACAGAUUAUAUACGUUAUAACAAGUUAUUAUCUGUCGCUGUCCUGUUGUCUAUAUCUCUUCAUCAAAUCCAUUAUCCUGUAGAAUAUUUCUGCCAACUUUCUAAGUGUUUACUGUUUGUGGUUCUGGCCUCUUCUGAUGUAAGCCAUGUAUAUCUUUGUUGGAAACUAGAGAUCGUAGUAGGUACUUUUCUUAACUUUGUUUUAGAUUUCGGUGGAUACAUUUUCUUACGUAAACUGUAUUUGUUGCUUAAUGUUUUUUUUUUUCAGUUGGUUUUCUUGACACACUCCUUUUUGAUUGUAGAACUGCACAGAAGGAUUGGUUCGUAUCUUGAAAGAUGUUUCAAAUAGUCCGUAUGCUCCUGAGUAUGACAUUGCUGGUAUCACAGACCCUUUCUUGCACAUCCGAGUGCUUAGGCUGAUGCGCAUGUUGGGCCAAGAGGAUGCAGACUCUAGUGAAUAUAUGAAUGACAUUCUUGCACAGGUGAGGAAUCAGGAUCCUCUUUCUAUUUCCUCCAAGUAUAUAAUGUUAUGUGUACUUACGUAAAUACUGAUCCUCCAAAUGUUUUAGUUAAUGUCCUGGUUCAAGGUUCUAACAUAGAUUUCCCUUUUCUUUUUCUUAUUGAAGUUUAGAUGGUGAUUUAGUGAUUUUCUGUUGAAUCCUUAUGUACUUGAAAAAGUUUUACUGUGCCUUUUGUCUUCUAAAUUGUCCGUAUCAAAGCUAUCUAUCUUGUUUUCUGCCAUGUAGUUUCUAUAGCUAGUUGGAUUACUAAACUUGCAUCAUUUAGAAGUUGAUACAUACAUGUUGGUUGUAAAAUUUGCAAAUUUUACUGUUUUGUUUUUGGCUUUUCCACUUUGUUUGCUUGCCAUUUUUAGGUUAUUCAUAUGGCCCGAGUCAUAGCUUCAGUAAGAUGUGUCUAGAAGUUUUAGCUUGGUUUUAAAUAUCUUCCAAUUGAUAUGUCCUAUAUCUGCAGUUAUAUUUUGUAACUAUUUAUUUCCUUUCCUAGGUUGCGACGAAAACUGAGUCAAACAAAAAUGUUGGGAAUGCUAUUCUUUAUGAGUGUGUUGAGACUAUAAUGGGGAUAGAAGCUACCAGUGGCCUACGUGUUCUAGCUAUCAAUAUUUUGGGAAGAUUCCUGUCAAAUCGUGAUAACAAUAUCAGGUAAAUACUCUUUUUAUAUUUGUGGUUUAUUUAUGCAUUUGUGAAAUUUGUACUUUGGGAAGCGUGGGCCCAUGUUCUACAUCUUCUGCAUUUAUGAAUUUGUUGAAAGUGAUAUAUGUAAUCGACCCCAAUUAGUGAACUAACAUUUGACAAUUGCUAUUUGACUAAUUUACAUAAUUACUGAAUGCUGUUGAUAAUUAAAAUGCUAAUACAUAGUGUGGAUUUGGUCCAUGCUUCUGUGUGAGGGGUUGGGAAAAACAAAGCUUCAAACUAAUUAGCUUAUGAAGUAUUAGGGUAUUCUCCUUUGGACGUAAUUGAUUGGGAUAAAUGAAAUACACUUGUUAGACCUACCAAUUGGUUGGAUUGGUUGCUUUCGUCCAUUUGAGUAUUCGCAUAAUUUGAUUAAGUGAAGAUUACACGUCUAGUUUGUACACGUUAAAAGUUUUAUCUAGUUGAUAACAGAUUCUUUGUUGGGAAAGUUCCAGUUUCUUUUUCUCUUGAAUGUUAGUUCACUUAUUUGUUUAAUAAUCUAUUCUUCUUUUGUUUUCCCCUUCCAGAUAUGUUGCACUGAACAUGCUCAUGAAGGCCAUUACAGUAGAUGCUCAAGCGGUGCAGAGGCACAGGACAACGAUAUUAGAAUGUGUCAAGGUAAUACAGCUUCACCCUUUAGAUUUUAAGAAAGAAAGGACUAAUUCUUUUCUUUAUUGAGAAGAGCAACAGUACUUUCGUUCUCUUAUUGCAGAAUGAUAUGGUGUAGAACUGAAAAUUCAUGUUGUGGCUUGCUUUGUACAUAAUUAUUACUAUUUUGAUUAAAUAGAAACUAUCUUUUUUUUCCCCUCCCUUUCGGUCUUCUAUGACAAUCUGAAGUCUGUUUCUUUUAUCUUUUACAAUGUGCAGGAAAUUGUGUUGAAAUAUGAAUCACUUCCAAGAUCUAUUGAAACAUCUUUGUUUUAUUGUUAAAUUCUUUAUUUAGUUUUCCGAUGUUACACUUGCUGGACAUAAAAAAUAAAGUUGUUCUGCUGGAUAGUUCGAUCACUUAAUAGAAGUUAAACUAAAGUAGUAUUCGUCUUAGUGAGAUCAUAUAUAUUAGUUACUUUAUUCUAAUGGUACAAAUGGAACACAGACUUUGCAGUCAGUUCUGUGUCAUGCUUGUGCAAACUCUCUAUUAUUCAUGUGAUUGAUUGUGUGCUUCAAGUUGCCUCGAAUUCUAUUUUCCAUCUUUAACUAGAUUUUGGUAUAGUUCACUAAAGGGUUCAUAGUUAGCUGUCUAAAGGUGUCUAUUAUCUCUGCUACUUGUAGUCAAAAGGAUGUAAAAUUUGACUUGCAACUUUCAGGAUUCUGAUGCCUCAAUACGGAAAAGGGCUCUGGAGCUUGUUUUCCUGUUAGUCAAUGACGGCAACGUGAAGCCUUUGGCUAAAGAACUUAUUGACUAUCUAGAAGUAAGUGAUCAAGAAUUCAAGGGGGAUUUAACUGCCAAAAUUUGUUCAAUUGUUGAAAAGUAAGUUCUUUCAACUUUUUGUUAAGUUUCAUAAGAUAUAAUUUUCAACAUUUUAAUGCUUAUAAUAUCCACAUUUCCUGCCUUUUAAAACUUUAUUCAAUUAGUUCUGCUAGUCGACUUGUUAAUAUAGUAGCAUCUUUCUUACACCCACCAGAAACCCACCAGAAAUAGAAUUCACUGAAUGCUGACAAAUCCUUUGCCACUCAAGUUUAUGGCAUCUGCCUCAUUUAGGCCCCUUCUUCCCUUCAAUAAUCCAAAAUUGAAUCUGCCUGCCUGGCACUGUAUGGUAUAGGUAUGGUGUGUAGACCAGCAACCCUUGGAUUUUAGGUGGUUAGCUAUUGAAGUGAAAAAAAGGCUGGAUGUGAAAAUUGUUAUGCAUUAAAUUAUAAAAAAACUUCUUAGCUCAAAAAUGAAUCUUUGUGAACAGUGUGGAUAUCAUUUGAGCAUGUUUCCCAUCUCUUCUUGAGAAACAGGUGGGGGUAUUUCCUUGCAAAAUUUUAUUUCACUUUUUCUAGCUUAUCUCCUGGUUUGAAAUUGAAUUUAAUUUCUUUCCAUACUUAACAAACAACAGCUAGUUCAGGGCUCCAUUUGCUAGCUUCAACGAUAAUUUCAGCGCCUUCACGAGCAAAGAAUGGCUUUCUUAUUCCCACCUGGGACUUGUUUGGCUAAUGAAUGCUUCUACCCUUAGUUUGACCCUAUGGAAGAUUUACAUUGUAGUGAUUGGGGUCUUCCUUCUUGAUUUUUGUAUGGUAUAACUAUAUGUGGCAUAAUAUAGUAACCUCCUCAUGAGAAGUGUAUGAAAUUUGGGUUAUUAAAUGCCCUUUCAAGACCAAACCGCGAAGUUAAGCAGCAGCAAAUGCAUGUUUGAUGCACGGUGUGUCUUUGUGUACGUAUCUCGCUUCAAACCUUAAUUUAACCAACAAGACUGGAAUUGCAUACGCUAGCUUAGACAGGGGUUAGCAAGGACUGAUAUGCUGGUUGGCAUAGCGAGCACGUGCUAACUGGGCUUACUGUCUGGGCCGCUUGCUGAUGAGUGCUGGCACUUAAAUGGGCUCUGUACAUGGUCUGUACUGACCGUGCUCAGAGUUAGUACUGUGCAUAUAGUGGCAUGUAUUGUGAGGCAUGCUGCAGUAAGUGAAACAUGAUUGCUAGGGCUUGGGGGAAAAAAUAGUUCUUCGGUUGCUGUAGUGUCAUUUUUUCUCCUGUUUGUUUAAGAAGUGAUUGAUAGCAAGUUAUGAAAGAAAUGAGACUGCAGCUAAAUGUUCUUUUGAGACGAUAAUCUACUGCAGGGUUAUUUUUGCUCUUCAACUUAUAGUUGAUAAAAAAUAAAGGUGGUCUUGUUUAGUUAUAUUUUUACUCUCAAAUUGGAGGGAAAUCAUUAUCUUUGACUAAGUAGUUAUUCUUAUUAUAUAUGAGUAUGAAAGUUGAGACCUGAAUGAUUACUAUCUAAAUCCUCUCUUUAACACACUUAUGUAGCUAAUGAUUUUGCUACUUCCGUUAUGUAGGUUUUCUCAGGAGAAGCUGUGGUACAUUGAUCAAAUGUUCAAGGUCUUAUCUCUGGUAGGUGAGGAAGUAGUUUCAUGAUUAUUCUGAAAUUCACGAAACAAAAAUAUAAACUUUUUUGUUUUUGGUAUCUUGCUGAAUUACACAUUCCUAUCUAAUUUUAAAAUUUCUUAUGGUUCUACCUGCAUUAUAUGUUUCAACUGCAAUCACUUGCAUCUUUUUUUCCAGUAAGUGUCUGGUAUUAACAUUCCAUCUAUUUUGUGGUCGUAGUUUAGGAUGACAUAUGGCGACUGGUCCUCAGCUAUUCAUUGUAUUCUCUGCAAGUUGCAUAAUCCUUGUAACAACUGCGACACAUUACUCCUUACCUUCAGUGAUUUAGUAACUUAUUACUGGUGCAAAUCACAUGCUAAAUUUCUUAGAACACCAUUGAUAAAGACAUAAAUAAUGUUACUAUUUUUUCAAGUAUGCAUAUUUUUGGCAAUUAUCAUCUUAUUUUAUAUUGGUUAUUUGUCUAAAGAAUGUUUAUUUACUGUGAAAAAGUGAGAUCAGGCUAAUAUAAGGAAAACGUGAGAUCAUGCUAAUAUAGUUCUUCCUUUUUUUAUGGGGACAAUAUCAGCAUCAUCUUUUUAUAAUUAUUUUUUACAGGCUGGGAAUUACGUAAAAGAUGAUGUGUGGCAUGCCCUUAUAGUUGUGAUAAGCAAUGCACCCGAUCUUCAAGGUUACUCUGUUAGGUCCUUGUAUAGGGCAUUGCAAACAUCAUACGAGCAGGUAUCUUGAAUUAUGCAUUGCUAUUCUUAAAGGUGUGCAUUCUUGGUAUUCACUUUGCUUCAUGCUUUCCCAAUUUUUGUUGCUUAGGAAAGUUUAGUACGAGUUGCUGUGUGGUGCAUCGGGGAGUAUGGCGAGAUGCUGGUCAAUAAUGUUGGAGUUCUUGAAGUGGAGGAACCUAUGACAGUGAGUCAAUUGUUAUUCUACUCCUAAUAAUUCUAGCAUUAUCUAGCAUACUCUAAAUGAAUGGACUUAUUCUGAUGAUAGACCCUGAUUUCUUAAUUUAGCAAUGUCAUAGAAAAAUAUUCUGGAAGUAGAAUUUAUGUUUUCCUUUGAUAAUCAGACUCUAAAUUCAUGUAUCCCAUACAUAAGAUGGUUCCUUAAAUUAAUUUUCAAUGUGUCAUAAAGGAAGGCACUCUCUGUAAUUCCCAUAUAGGUUGUGCUACUUUGUGCCUAUGGCACAUGGGCUAGUCUUAUCCAACUGCUCAUCUCAUAUCCCCUUUAAAGUCUAUUAACUAUCAAGGAAUAUGCAGUGCUAACAUGCAGAGUUCAUUGUUUGGUGUUAACUGAAUGAAGCUUAUCAACUUUGGAAAUAUGCUUAGAGGACGCACUCUUUUAGGGUAAAUUAUUCAGGAUAUUCUUGUUAAAGGGCGUGAACAACACAGUUUUCUUAUCCAGGUAACAGAAUCUGAUGCUGUGGAUGCCGUAGAGGUUGCCUUAAAACGUCAUUCUUCAGACAUGACUACUCGAGCUAUGUCUCUGAUUGCUCUUUUGAAGCUCUCUUCACGAUUUACACCCACCUCAGAGUAAGUUUUUUUGACAACCGGAUAUACCAAUUGCUUUCUUCUCAUCCUUUAUAUGUUUGCAACUUUGCAUGAUGUCAUUUGCCUGAUUUCCUUCUUGUUUUGCACACUUUCUGAAGUUUUGAUGUCUGUUGCCUUUGUAUUCUAGGUCCAUUGACUUACUUUGUAUAGCUGUAGUAUGACUAGUUUAACAUGAUAUACUUUGUGUUUGUUAUGUAAAUAUGCAUUUUUUGUAUGGUUAACCUUUUGAACCUUUGACUUUUGUCACAUUCUCUGAACUUGAAACCUGAAAGACUAUUAGCCUUUUUCUUGCCAAUUGGGUUUAAUCCUUUGCCUGCUGAUAGCGGCGUCGUCUUUUAUUACUCUAGAUUUCAUCUCCGGUACUCAAAAGGAGAUUUUACCUUUUUCUUCCACUAGCUUAAUUUCUGGACUUUGAUACUUCUGCAUUUGUUUCUGCAAUGUCAUAAGAUUGCAAUUCUUUUACAUUGUUUGAUUUGUCAGGAGGAUAAAAGAAAUAGUUACACAGCAUAAAGGGAGUGUCGCACUAGAAUUGCAGCAAAGAUCAAUUGAAUUCAACUCUAUUAUCCAGAGGCACCAAAAUAUCAAGUGGGUAACUGAUCUUUUGGUCGUCAACAAUAUAGCGAGACAUCCAUUAAAAAUUCUUGUGGUUGAAUCCAUGCAUUUAUUGUUAGGCUGCUGGUGCAUGUGCAGAUCUUCUUUGGUGGAACGAAUGCCUGUCUUGGAUGAGGCAGCUUAUUUAGGAAAGAGAGCAGGUUCUUCUCAACCAACGCUUUCAGCUGAAAAAUCUAGCAAACCGACCACUUCUGCUGCAUCACUUAAGCUUCCAAAUGGCGUAGCUAAGCCACCAGCUGCUCCUCUUGUGGAUUUGCUUGAUUUAAGUUCUGAUGAUGCACCAGUUCUGCCUUCAGCCCCUAAUGAUUUUCUAAAUGAUCUAUUGGGAAUUGGCCUACCAAAUUCAUCAUCAUCAGGUUUUAUUCUGCCUUAUUCAGUAUUUUUUUUUCCUUUUAUUUGUGGACAUUCUUAUGCAUGUAUAAGAAUGAGAUAAUGACAAUUAGGAUGCUUGAUGCCAAUUAUUCCAAGAUACUUCUUGUAUGAGUUAGAGCGUAAUCUCCGUUUUAACUACACUUAGUGAUUAACUAACAGUUAUAUGAUGACUCUAGUAGUCUACUUUUUGCCUAAGUUUGAGCAUAAUUUUUGGUGAGUUUUUCAGUUUAAUCUGUUUCAUCAGACUUAACAAUGCAAUGACUUAAACUCCAUUCUUGUUAAGUUGAAGAAUGCCAUCCUUUUCUUGUAAAGUAACAUUGUCGUGUUUGAAUGGUAGUUUAAGUAUUAAUUUCGUUAUAAUGUUCUGUUUCUAGUUUUUAAAUCUUCACAUGCCCUAUGAAAUUUACUGCAGUUUUAAUGUCCUUAGUAAUAUGUUAUUGUGUUUUAUGGUCUAGUCACUUUAGCUGAUAAAGACAACAUUUUGCUGCCUUUUCUCAAUGGAUUUAAUGCAACAUUUCUUAUGUGACAUAAUCAUUACGUGAAAUUGUAUUCUUUCAGCAGAUGCUUUACAACACUUCUUCUCUAUUACAUUUUCCAGCUUCUAUGUUUUUUUCUUCAAUUUACUUCUUACCACUACUAUCUCAGAGUGAAUGUGAUCGCCACCAGACAUACCUUAUGCUUUAGGUGGUACAAUAACUGCAUACCAUAGUUCUUUCAUUUGUUGAAAGACUAAUCUAUAAUCCAAUAGAAACUGAAACCUCAAAUGCCUUUUUUUCUAUUAUUUUUGCGAGUUCACCCUUGCCUCUGUGUGAUUCUUUCUGGAGCUUUUUUUAAAAAUUUUUUUACAAGCAAAUCUCUCCAUCCUAGCAUUGACAGUGCUAAUCUCAUGCAUUUCGAGAGGGGUUCUUCUGGUAAAUCGUAAAUGAAUCUUUAGUCGGAAUUUAACUAAUUGGUUUCUUUGUUGUACAUUUUCAGGUGCAGCGCCAUCAACAACUACAGAUUUACUCAUGGAUCUUCUAUCGAUUGGAACAUCUCCUGCACAAAACGGUCCAUCAGAUUCUAAUGUUGUUCCUUCAAGCGGUAAUAUUUCUUUAAAUCAUUCUGGCGAUAACAAUCUUUAUUUAUCUCCAUAUUCCCGUCUGACGAAUGCUAUAUUUGGUUGUAGCGAAAGCAGCAGAAAGUAAACCUGCUCCUGUUACUGCUCCAGUGAUGGACUUAUUAGAUGGCUUGCCAUCAAAUGCAUCUCCUCCCAGUAAGCUCUUUUGGUGCUAAUAUUCUUACUUGGGUGCUAUGCUAAUAUUCUUUUGGUGCUAAUAUUCUUAUCAAUCUCUUGUUUUAACAGGAGAUGAGAAUUUGGUUUAUCCAACUAUUACGGCUUUCGAGAGCAGCACCUUGAAGAUAGCAUUCAGCUUCGAGAAACAACCUGAGAAACCACAAGUGACAUUGAUCAGUGCUACAUUUACAAAUCUGUCAUCAAGUACUUUGACAAAUUUCAUUUUUCAGGCUGCUGUGCCCAAGGUAUUGGAGCUGUACUUGCAUUUUAGUUUUGACAUCUUUUGCAAAUUGAACAUUCCUAAACUAAAUUCAUAUAAUUUAAUUUUAGAUUACUUAGUCAGGUUUGGGAUGGUUCUUUUACUUGAUUUCAGUUUAUUUGUUCUGUUUUGCGUAUUGAACUGCGUUGUUUGGGUCUAUUGUGGUUAGUUGGGUGAGUCAGUUGGUAUAGUCUUCUAUGCAGCAUUACCUGGCUGAUACAAAUGCCAUAUGCCCUCUGUAUUUGCCUAUAUAAUCGUUUAUUUGUUAUUCCUAAUGUAUAAAUCGAAUUUUAGUGUGAGCAACAAGGGCUAUUUUAAGCUCGGUGUUAGUUGGCAUUUCUUACUUCCACUUGACUUGCGUGGGACUAAAAAGGCCACGCCAUCUUGUUUAACAUAGCUGGUCAUCACCGUGUGGUACUGACAAUCCCAACUAUACGUUGUAGGUAGAAAUAUUUUCCAGUUGUCAUAGGUAACCGUUGCUACGAGUACUCAUGCAUGUUUUGUGAUUCUGUCCAUUCACCUUUGAUGUAAGUGCUUUAAGAAAUGGAUAGAUAAUUAUUUUGUGCAGAUGGAGGAUCUUAUAGGUUGAUUCACUUAAUGAUAUUGCAUCUUCUUUCCUCAUACAUGCAAGAGUUUCUUUUCCUUCCCUAGAGGUAUUCCUCAAAAUUAUGACCACCAAAUCUGUAUCUUUCAGUUUGUCCAGUUGCAUCUGGAUCCAGCUAGCAGCAGCACACUCCCAGCCAACGGAAAUGGGACAAUUACACAAAGCCUUCGUGUUACUAAUACCCAACAUGGGCAGGUAUUAAUAUUUGAAUUCUCUACAUCUUCUCAUGAUUCCUCUGAAAUGUCAUUAUGCGAAUAACUUUUCGCUUUCCUUUCUUUAUCAUGAUGGUUUAGAAUUUAUAGCUCUCGAACGUACAACUAUUAUGUUACUAUCUAGCAAAAGCUCAGCUGUGAACGCAACAUUCAGCUGUAAAAUGCAUCAUUGUAAGGAGCAUGGAACAGUUAAUUAGGGAGGAAAGGGUAAGAUUUAUAAAAAAGAAAUAAUUGCCUAUGUACCCUUGAAAAGUUAUUGAGUUUUGUAUUCAUCCUUUGGUUCAAAUGGACCCCUCUAAGGUUCUUUGUUUUUCUUAUACCCUUACUUUGAGGGUUUAUUUGUAAGAAUUUGGAAUUUCAGAAGGAUAGAUUUGAGCAUAGCAAUUUUUGAGGGGUAAAUAUAGAAGUCGGAAACUCUUAAAGGGUAUAUAGUCAAUUGCCCUUUGAAAACAUGUAACACACAACCAGGCGACAAAUUAAAGUCCAAACUUUUCAUUAAACAUGAUUUAGGGCUGAAUUGCAGUUAUGUGUAUCUUCAGAGAACAUUGAAAAAAAUGAAUUCUAAUAAUCAUAAAUCAUACCGAGUGAGCUUAAGCUUUACAUCAGAGUGUGACAUGGAAUAUAUUUAGAGGAAGAUACUAGAAAUUUCAAUGAUCACACAACUAAAGCACACAUCGGUAUUUCUUUUGUUUAACCAUACCAUGAACCAAAUUUUCUAACAACUUUACUUUCCAGAAACCCCUUGCUAUGAGAGUAAGGAUGGCUUACAAAUUUAAUGAUGAGGACAAGUUGGAGCAAGGACAGAUCAGCAACUUCCCUCCCGGAUUAUAGUGUUAUUUGCAGCUUGUGAGACUUACUUAGUGCGAGUUUAUGGCUGGAGAGCGGCACAGUUGUUCUCUCUUCAAUUUUCACCCACUUUUUGGUGUCACUUCGACACCCUGGGUAUUUUUCGUCGUUCAUUAUCCCUCUAUAUGUAUACUAGUCAGCAUUGUUGCGGAAUCUACUUUUACAGAAUGAAUAUCUGGGUUUAUGUACACCGCGCGUGACCUUUUUCAGGGAUAUGCAAUCAGAAAAGGACGUUUGUCAGUGUGGAACUAGUCUAGAUGAUAAUCGUCUGGAAAUGUUUUGAUAUUCUAUUUAUUCAUAAUUUGUAUUGUGUUUUCCUCGUGUAUUUUUCAGAAUUUCCAAAACAGAGUAAAUAGCUGGUUGGUUAGUAAAUUGAAUUUUACAGCAACGAGCUUGACCCUUCGCUCUAGUACUUGAUUGGUAUAUGCUUACUGUUAUUCCCAGCUUUUCUGAUUUUAGCGGAUAUGAAGACUAAACUAAUGCACAUUUGAAUCUGGGUGUGAAGUUCCUCAAAUGCUUCUUUUAUCUUUUGUCUGAAGGUGUGCCAUUUGUGAUCUGAGAUAUGGCGGAGUUGUAGUUCUAUCGUCUCGCUAGUUUGUAAUGAGUUCAGUAGUUUUAUUGCUUUUGCGUCUGAGCUGCUUUUUCCUUGGGUAAAAUUGUGUUGGCAGCCGCCAUUUUGAAGUGGUCUCCUCAACUUUAAAUAUAUUUCUUGAAACCACGCAGCUUAUAUUUUUUUUAAAAAAAUAAUUGUGACAUUAGUCUGAAUAAUUAGAGAUUUAUCAAGUUUAUUGAUGAUUUUAUUGAAUUUAAUAAUUUUAAUUAUGUUUUUGUAAACAAAAUUAUAUUAAUUGACUGUUAAUAACUAAUAUAUAGUCAUUAAAGUUAUAAAAUCUCUCUUCUCCACAAUCGCUAGAUGCAUAGCCCUCUUUCUUACUUCCUCUCCGUUCAAACUCGUUCGUCAUCUUCUCGCCUCCGUUGGACACCAAUUUACGCUUUACGAGAUCUUUUGUUGCGGCGUGCAGGAUCCCGAGGUGAUGGUGAUGCUGGUAGGGGAAUAGGAUUGGGAGUUUCUUGCGAGAGUUCGCUCUUGGUGAUUACUUUGAUCUGCUUUUCUCUUGUACUUGCUCUUUUAUUUGUUUUGGGCUUUAAUCUAAUAAGACCGAUUAAUUUGGUCUUUAAAUAUUUAUUUAUACGUCUGAGGACCGAUCUAUAUAUCUUCCCUUUUUCUUGUUUGGAGAGAUUUGGGACCAUCCACCAAUAUCUAAGGCAGACUUUAUAGUCGUGGGCUCGUGGCUAUUAUGACACUCCAUAGUUUCCGACACAAGAUAUGCUCAGGCUAACAUUCAGAAGAGGCCAGAACUAAAAACAGUAAACUUUCAGGCAGUUGGCAGACAGAUUCUACAAGAUAAUUCUAGCCAAUAAUCUCAGAUGAAUUGAGCAUUGCUUUGUGAUGAAAAAUGUGGAUUUCCAACUGAUGCAGCCAACAAUUACUUCAGACUAGAAGAAAAUUCAGAAGAGCAUCAAAUACAUGGUAAAACGUAUCCCUGUACGAUCCUGAUAAUUCUACUUGGCACCUCUUCUUCUCAAUCGAACCACCAAUAACCUUCCACAUAAUAUAGUCCUAGCGUCACAAAAUUCUUAUAAAAUGACCAAUUUAAGCUACUCGCUUCAAAUUACUUCAAAUAGGGUUCAAAAGGUUAUUCUUGAGGAAAACUUUUGAUUGUUUUGAGGGCGAGGUAAGGGACUAAAAUGCACUCUAUUUAAAGCUCGCGGUCAAAUUAGAAGUAAAAGGACUAAGUUGCAAUAUCAGGAUGGUACAGUGAUUAUCAACACACUUGAUCCUCAAAGAAUUGACUCUGUUGAGUCGGAGCAGCAAUUUUCUAACAAAACACCUCAAGGAUCUUUUACCACCUUCCAGUUGUCAAGCAGCCAGUCCAGAAACCAGUACUUUCCCCUCCUUUUUGAGGGUGCAAAAUACCAUUUUAAAAGGAAGAACCAAACACCAAAAAAGCAUUUAAAAAAAAAACAAGAACCGUUUAAUUGUUGUUGCUGUAACCCAUAUAACUGUUCCGAUACCGAAUACCGUACUGCUCAUAUAAGUGGUCCUCAUAAUUCAUAGCCCUGAUGUCCGCUCCACGCCGCUUGCUAUCCAUCUCCUGAACAGCUCCGAAUACGAUCUCAUUAUUUGAUUCAUAGCUCUGCUCAUAAUAAGUCUGUGGGCCCGAAGAGUAAUGCCGGUGAUACUGCACCUGCUGCUGCUGCCGCUGCUGCUGCUGUUGCUGAUGAUGAUGAUCUCCAUCCCACCCAUUAAAAUAAUUCGGUUGGGCGUGCCGGAGGUGGUGGAUCUUUUGUGGCUCUUUGGACAUGAAAGCAUAGGUCCUUUUAGGAUUAGGGGUUCUUCCUUCUAGUGGUGGCGGCGGCUCAUCAUCAGGGACGACAAAGCUUUCUUGAGACGGCCAAGGGUUAUCCCUAGGAUUGUAGGGCUGAGAUUGAUUAGUUGGUGGUUUCUUUUUUGAAAACAGGGAUACAGCACCAAGAAUUUGUAAUGUAGAUGAUUUGAUUCCACCAAGGAGCUUUCCUAUUGACGAAACGUAGCCACCUUCUUCAUCCUCAUGGUUUGUGGUUUCAUCCUCCGGUGGGAUUAGUGGAGGCCGGAGAGAUCGUUUCAUUGGCUUUUGGUAGGGAGGCAUGCUUGGUUUUGUAGGAGUUUGAGGUUCCUGUUAGAAAACUUCAUUGUUAGAAUUGGCAUUCAUUUAAGCAACAGGACUUUUUGGCUUCACAUCUAGCUUUGCUCCAGGGGACCUAACCAUACUGUCUUCUCUUCGUGUUCUAUUUGACUAAAACAGAGUUAGCAUUGUAUCCCUAAAUCAAAUAAUAGAUAAUAUAAUGAAGAAACAUAAAGCAAAAUUCUUUGCAGGAAACAUUCUCAGACAAUAAGAUGCAGUUACUUUCAGAAAGUUCGAGAUCCAACUGAAUAAAAUGUACAACAAAAGAUGGAAAGAAAAGAGAGAAUUUGUGAAAAGGGACAGAUUUAAUCUUAUUUUCUUGUUUUUCAACGACCAGUCGGAAUUACUGAUGGUUUAUAAAACUCAAGCAAUGCAAUUCAGCCAAAUGGAAGGGCUAUUUGGUAGUAAUGACGAGAUAGUUUUCAGGUGAAGCAUUACUGCUACGAGACACAACAACUUGUAAUUUUGUCCACUCAUCAUUAGAGUGAAAGGAGAGAAAUGUGAAGUACUCACAUUCGUGGAUGCCGAUGAGAACAUCAAUCCUACUUGCUUUUGGAGCAAAGCAAGCAUGUAACCAAAGAAGCCAGCAGCAAGGAGCACAGCAAUUCCUGCAUUACAUUUGGCCAUUGGAUUAGGAAGUACCAUUAAAGUGAAGGCCUAAAGCCUAGAAUUCUGGCCAUGAAAACCUCCAAAAAAAUGGCUCUUUUAUAACUUCCGGAAGUUUGUGCUCAGCAGAUGAUAGAACGAAAGAAGACGCUCUUAGCUAAGUUUCAGUUUCAUCCUGAAUAUCUAAGUCUAGAGUAAACUCCUCUCUGGUACAGUGCAUUUACACAUCAGUGCUCCCGUGGUUUCGUUUGUUUAGUGUAGAGUUCCUGAGGUUCCUCUUCUGUUUUGCAGCAAGGACCUUCCUGUCAACCCAUUGUAUUGAUUUUUGAUCAUGUUAUGACUAUGUUUGUGUCAGGAUUUGAUAUAAACUCAACUUGCCACUCAAAUCCAAACUCAAAUUCUGAUGGGUUUCAAGUCGAGUUUAGAUCAAAACCCACUACAUAUUAUCCCCACCCUCUGGCAUAGAUCAAAAUUGAGAGAUUCCUAUUAGACCUGUAAAAAGGUUUGACGGGAAGGUCUACAACAAAAACAAAAAUUCACAGAGUAUAUGAUUGAAUUUAGUCGAGAACUAAAGUGAGCUUAGCAAAGAUAUAGGAAUAUUGGUGUAUUCUACCUAAUUUUACUACGAAGAUGUACGUACCUAAAGGAAAACCGGUUUCAUAAUGGUAAGCACAGUCAUCGAAAUGAAGUUGGAUCUCCCGGAUCGCCUGGUUUCCUCUAUCUAUGACCAGAAGGGAACAGCUACUACCAAUGUAAACAACUUCAAAGUCGGUAGAAAAUUUUGCAUCCUCACUUGCCCCAUCGAUGUGCCCUCCUCUAUUCCAUUUUCCUCCAGCAAUGGUUGUAAUCCCUUGACAAAUAUGCAAACAAAAUAGUAAGACCAAAAUCUCUUAGGUUCUUGUAUUGUUUCUUAUUAUAUUGUUUUUCAUAGCACGACAUGGUUAAUAUGCAUACAGGGUUGAAAAUUUCACGUCAUAAAGGUUGAAACAGUAAAUUUGCUCCCCUACGAUCCAAUUAAGUUCUUCAUGUUCUCCACAACUUCAUACUAUUUUAUCUUUACUCGGACAAGAAUUUGAGCUGAAGUUUUAAUCCCCUCUUCCGAAUUCUAAAGAACUGAUCUAAUCAGCCAAUCUCUUCGCUAACAUUGUGAUCUUCCACUUAUCCACAUUUUGAUCAUUCCAUCUAAUUUUCAUGAACCUACCGAUUAUUAUUAUUAUGCAGCAACCCCAACUCCCGUUACCUGAACUCUUCUCCCAAAGUUUGAAUUGCAGGAACCUUGAAUUCACAAGAAACCACUUUUACAUCAUAUAAGAACAAAUGCUUCUUACUACCUGAAGCACUGAUCUUCCUAACUGCCAUGUUCAUUGCGUCGGCGACGUAAAUGUUUCCCUUAUCAUCUACUGUAAAUCCUUUUGGAUGGUUCAUCCUGGCUUCCCGCGGCUUCCCGUCGACGUGACCAGAAUACCCUUCUGCCGAACCGGCAACAAGCUUAGGUCUACUGUCUGCACUUCCAAAAACUUAGUUUCAGAUACAGGAAUACUUCAGACAGCCAUAAAAGAAUCUGAAGUAGAUGAUUUUUUACAGCAAAAACUGUAAUUUACAAAAAAUCGUCAAUUUGGCAAGCAAAAAUUUGUAACAAACUCACAUUUUGAUAAUGGCAACGAAACCCUAUGGAUGUUGCUAUUCGCGGAAUCCAAAAUAAGGAGAUCCCCGCUCGGACUCAUCUCCACGGCGUGAGGUUCGAUCCCGAGCUUGCUCCCGUCGAACACCGUUUCCACGGUGUACCCGCUCUCGAACUUCAUCAUCGAACGCCCAGAGAUCGCUGGUAAUUAUCUACCCACUUUAGCACCCUAAACCCUAAACCCCCCCUAUCAGCUACAAUGGAUCAAAAUCGUACCUGUUUUGGGGGACGAUUUCAGAGACCAUAGCUGCUUCCAGAGGAUCGAAAUCGCGUUGGAGAAGAGCCCACCUGCGAUUUCUACAUGUCAAAAAAAAGAAAAAUAAAAAAACCAUGGAUUCAGUACAAACUAGAUCAUGAAUCGAAUAAUAUAUAUAUAUAUAUAUAUAUAUAUAUAUAUAUAUAUAUAUAUAUAUAUAUAUAUAUAGAAUUUAAAAAGAAAAAUGGUAAGAGGAGUAGAACCAACGUGCUGGAGAAGCAGCAGAGACGGAGCAAAAGCCAUUGAGCAAAAUCGCGGUCACAAAAAGCAAAACUAAGCACUUCGUCGUCUCCAUUUCCCCUUCCGAUUAGUAAGAGUUCUCAUCUAAGCCUCUAACAAACCCAUUUUUAAAUCACUGAGGAGCAAGAGCAACUACAAUGCACGACGCCUCGGGGAAAAAACAAAAAAAACAAAAAGAAAAAGAAAAAGAAAAAGAAAAAGAAAAGCAAAAGAGGAAUAAGACAAGGAGAGAUUUGUGCUGUUCUCGCUCUUCUUUUCCCCCCCUUAUUACUCUCCGCUUGUUUUAGAGGGGAAGAGAACGCAGAGCACCGCCCGAGAAAUAAUUUGAACGCACCGGGUGCAUCAUGCACCUCACUUUCUAAGCGUAAACUACCGGUGAUUAUAUUUGAUGAAUUAAACUUUUUUAAUUGGUUUACUGGUUAUAAUGGUACACCGGGUGCAGGGAGUGCGGAAAGAGAAAAGGGUAGCAUCACGUGCCGCGGAGCCGAUGGUCGUUUAAAGAGUUUUUAUUUUGUAUAGCAUUAAAUCUCUCAAGUAUCCAAAAUAGCAACCAUUCUUUUUGCACGGGGACCAGAGAUGUCAAUCGGCACAGAUACUUAAAAUUUUAUCCGAAUUCAAAUGCAAACGAAACAGAUUUACCUGAUGAUGCUGCACAGAUAUGAUUUCAAAUAUAAAUAUUAAAAUUAAAAAUUCGAUGAAUAUGAAUUUUGAUUUUAUCCGAUCCGAACCUGAACCUGACCCAAAUUUAUUUUAUAUUAUAUAUAAUAUGUAUAUAAAAAUUUAAUAUUAUCUUUGAAUUUAUAUUUUAAAAUUUAAUAUAAUAUAUUUUGAAAUAUUGAAAAAAAAAAUUAUUUUGGGUUCGAAUUUUCGAGUUUAGAUUUUAAAUUUUUAGUCAAAUUUAGAUUUAAAUAUAAAUUUUUAAAAUUCGUCAGAUUCAAAUUCGAAUUUUAGUUUAGAAUCGAAUUCUGAUACGAAUUUUUAAAUAUUUGCCCAGAAUCUGAUCCCUACCUGGGGUUAGUGGCUCGGUGGGAAAAAGAUGGAAGGGGGGAGGGGGUUUGGGACUACUACAUCCCUUUUUCUAUUUUUAAUAUUUGGAUCACAGUUUGUCACAGAUUUCGAGGUGGGUUACAGGUUUUGGUUUUUUGACUUUUUAAGUUUCAAGGUAAAUGCAAGAUAUUAUAUUAUUCUUCGUGUAACUUUUGGACUUUAGUGGUCAAUCAAUUAUAUAUGAAAUUAUCGUCGCUAUCUAGUAAAAUUUGUUGGUUUCUCAUAUAAGAACUGAUUAAGAAGUCGACAAUUCAAUCUUUUCAAUAAUCUUGAUAAAAUUCAAAGCAUAAAACUAUGCCCGUUCCAGAAAAGUGGAAUGAGCAUUUUCAUUUUAAAGCAAGAAUUUAAAUUUAAACUAUUCUACUUUUAUUAUAAAAAAUAAAAUAUAUCUUUAUGAGAUCAUUAUUAAUUUUUUUUGAAGUAUCUCUAUUCAAAUUUGUGCUUCCGCUAAGACUUUACUACAAAAAUAAGCAAUUAGAUAUCAACAUAAAAACCAACUGCCUCUAGCGUAAGUGAUAAAGGGUUUAAUGGUUAGUACCCGAAGUUUCAAGUUCGAAUUUUAGUUGAUUUAUAUUUUCAACUAAAUUUAUCUCUAAAUGAAAUAAACGAAACGGGUAGAUGCCUGCUUUGAGUAGUAUUAGAUAGCA
rnacentral:lncRNA from 1 species